AACAAAAGCCAACUGACUUAGGGCAGCGACCGUUGGCCACAAAGGCGCGAGCGCAGUGAUCCCAACAGCAAAUCCAGGGGGGAAGGAGUUCGUGUGAGCAUACAAGCUGUUGGGGGGACCCUCAGUAGAACUGGAGAUGGGGUGAAUUGGCUCUGUCCACAUUAAGGGUGGCCUCAAGAAAAGACAUGCAACAGUACAGCAUAACAGCUGCAGGAAGGACCCAGGCCAGAAGAAGCAGUGUGCACAACCCGUUGUUACCUGUCAGAUGCCUCCACCAGCCUGCACACAACCUCUGCACAACUGAUCUACAGAAUGUGAGUAAUUAGCUCCCCACCCUUUGACAUCAUUGUUCCCAAUGCACUAGUGCAGGGACAGAGAAGCUGUACACAUGACCAUCCUAUGAAGACACAACAAACCUCGUUCUGCAGUCCAGGUAAGAAAAUUUAUUACAUUUCCCAUCUGCCUCAUUAUCUUCCCAUGCCAUGGUCCCUGUGGCACCUGUCUCAAACAGGUGGGACAUGCAGUAACAGUAUCUCCUAGCCACUAAACAUCCAAGACAACUAUGACAAUGUAAGUAGAAGUCAUGAUGAGUGUGGAGUACCAUGGUGUUUAGGGAGUAUCUUCCUAUGAGCUUCUAAGAUUGGGAAAUUCUUCUAAGCAAGUAAUGAAAAAUUUUCAUGGCCUUCCUCAUGAGGUCGUGGAAAUGUUAGAAAUGAUAAGUCUGUGAAAACUGUUACCUCAUUAUAUAUUGUCAUGGUAAACUAGCAUUUGGUACCAGGAUAUUCAGACUGAGGAUUCUGGAAGAAGGGAACCUGAGGCAUAUCUCUGGCCAUCUUUUCUCAAGGUAAAAGAAACCUGAGACAAUGUGAGGGAAAUGUGUUCCUGAGAAACAAGAUAACAGAAUCUAUUAGGGAUACAAUUCCAUAGGCAAGACCAGAUCCUUAUAACAACUCUAAAGCACCAGACCUCCUCUGUGUUGAAAUAUUGGCUCAGCAAAGAACAUAGUCAUUUCUAUGGCCCUUUGAGUCACCAAACCUACAGUUCAGAUGUUAACACAAGUCACAAUACAUCCUUUUUUAGCUAAAGUUCCUGGACCAACUGGAUGCUCAUCAUCAUAGAAAUUUAUAAUAACCAAUGGUCUUCCUCAGUUUGUAAUUUUCCACAAGUUUGACAAAUUCCACAAUACAAAAAAUAUACUCAUUCUCCAGAUGGUUAUGCCUCUUGUACAAAGUUUCAGCACAGGAUUGACCACUACAAAGGUCCAUGUACUCUCUGGUGUAUAAUAUGCUCAUGAGAGAUAUCAUGAAAUAAAAAUCUAACCAUCAAAACUUUCCUUCUUGUAGCAGAAAUGAGAGCUCACUAAACUAAAUACGUGUUCUGAAAACAUGAGCAGAUGAGCUGAGAUCUACUGAACAAAUAAAAGCCUUGAAUUUCAAUGUGACCUAUAUGUUAUGCCUAUGGGGAUAGAAAUAGAAGGAUAUAGACUCUUUUGUAGCCCAAUGCAGAAUGGUCUGGCCACAUUUCUCACCUCCAGCUUAAAGGCAAGUGUCUCAGAAAACAAGGGCAAAAUAACAUGUGAGACAUUUUACUACUUGCACAUGAGCCAACACAUUCAAGUGCUCUAAACACACAUAUGAAGUUAUAAACCUAUACCUAGACAAAUAUACACAAGAGGUAUGAAGAAGGGGGAAUAGAGAAAACCAUCAGUGAACAUUUUAUCUUUCACAAUGAUGGUUAUACUGGUUGGUUCUUUGUGUCAACUUGAAACAAGCUGGAGUUAUCACAGAGAAAGGAGCCUCCCUUGUGGAAAUACCUCCAUGAGACCUAGCUAUAAGGCAUUUUCUCGUGGUGCCAUCCCUGGGUUGGUAGUCCUGGGUUCUAUAAGAAAGCAAACUGAGCAAGUUAAAGGAAGAAAUCCAGUAAGCAGCAUUCCUUCAUGGCCUCUGCAUCAGCUCCUGCCUCCAGGUUUCUGUCCUGUGUGAGUUCCUGUCCUGACUUCAUUUGGUGAUGAACAGCGAUGUGGAAGUAUAAGCUGAAUAAACUCCUUCCUUGUCAACCAGAUUCCUGGUCAUGAUGUUUUGUGCAGGAAAAGAAGUCUUAACUAAGACAAUGGUCUUUUCGUCCAGCAGCAUUCAAGUAAAAGGUUCAUGCAAAGCUGUAUUUAACUUGAUGUUUGUCUCAUUAGGUGUGUCUUCUGCAGAGUAUGCAUUGGCUACCAACUGUAUCUGUUCUUAAAGGUUGCUGGGUCAAGCUUCUCAGAUGACACUUAUCUUAGGCACUUGUUCGCAAAUACAGCAGAAUAUCUUUACUUGUGUCAAGGGUAGGCAUUCUCUCAUAGCAUAUGUUUCAAGAUAGGCCAGUCAUUAGUUAGCCUUUUCCUCAAUUUCUACUCCAUCUUUACUGCUGGACCUCUUAUAAGAUGGGCAUUUGGUGAGUUGAAGGUUUUACGGCUGGGGUUGUGUCUCAUUCCCUUCACUGGAAGUCUUUUUUGGUAACUGGAUAGAAACAUUUUGGGUUCAUAUCUACCAUUGCUAGGAGUCUUAGGGUCCCCUUCAUUGAUUUCUGGAAGUUUCCAUUGCACUAGGUUUCUAGCUUGUAGAGAUACAUGGUACCACUACAAAUUCCAGUUCUCCCUGGUACUCUCUCCCUCCCUCCUCACCUCAGUAGAUUACUCCUGCUCUCAUCUUCACCUCUCCCUCACCCAAUUCCUUCUUUCUGUCUACCCCUGUUGUCUACGCUAUUUCCUUUAUACAGUGUUACUCACUUGUCCCCACUUGGACCCUCUUUUCUAUUGAGCGUUUUGGCUCUGUAGAUUAUAGCACGUGUCUUGUACUUCAAGGUUAGUACACAUUUAUAAGUGACUACAUAGUAUGUUUGUCCUUUUGAGUCUGGAUUACUUCACUCAGAAUGUUAUUUUCUCUAGUUCCAUCAAUUUGCCUGCAAAUUUCAGGAUGACUUAAUGUUUAUUAGCUGAGUAGUAUUUCACAGUGUAAAUGUGCCACAAAACACAUUAUCCAUUGUUUGGCUGAGGGAAAUCUAAGUUGUUUCCAUUUUUUUGUUAUUCUGAAUAAAGAUGCUAUGAACAUAAUUGAGCAAAUAGCCUUGUUACAGCAACUUUUAGGUAUAUGCCCAAGAAUGGUAUAGCUUGGUCUUAAGGUAGAACUCUUCCCAAUUUUCUGAAAAACCACCAGAAUAAAGUGGUUGUACAAAUUUCCACUCCCAUCAACAAUGGAGGAGUGUUUUCAAUGUUCCAAUAUGAGCUGCCAAUUGAUGAACAUUUUAUCUUUCACAAUGAUGGUUGUACUGGUUGGUUCUGUGUGUUAACUUGAAGCAAGCUGGAGUUAUCACAGAGAAAGGAGCCUCCCUUGUGGAAAUGCCUUCAUGAGAUCCAACUGUAAGGCUUUUGCUCUUAGCCAUUCUGACGGAAUCUCAGAGGCAUUUUGAUCUGCAUUUCCUGAUGACUGUGGAUGUUGCACAUUUUUAAGUGCUUCUGGACCAUUGAGUUUCCUCUGUUGAGAAUUUUCGGUUUACAUCUGUACCCCAUUUUUAAUUGGGCUAUUUGGUUUAUUGAUGUCGAAUUUCUUAAGCUCUUUAUAAAGUUUAGAUAUCAGCCUUCUCUCAGAUGUAGGGUUUGUAAUGAUCUUUUCCUAUUGAAUAGGGUGACAUUUUUCCCUUUUUACAACAUCCUUUGCCUUACAGAAGGUUUUCUGUUUCAUGAAAUCUAUUUAUUAAUUGUUGAUCUUAAUGCUUGAGUCAUUGGUAUUCUGUCCAGGGUGUUGUCACCCCUACCAAUGAGUUCAAGGUUAUUCCCCACUUUCUCUUCCAUGAGAUUUACUGUAUUUCACUUAUGUUGAGGUCUCUGACCCACCUGGACUGGAGAUCUGUGCAGGGAAAUAGAUAUGGUUCUAUUGGUAUUCUUCUACAUGAAGACAUCCACAUAGACCAAAGCACCCCUUUUAGGGAUGCUUUUUUCUCCACUGUAUAGUUUUGGCUUCUUUUCAAAAAUCAAGUGUCCUGACUAUGGGUGUGUUUCUGGGUCUUUUAUUCAAUUCCAUUGAUGAACCUGGUUUUAUGUCAAUACCAUGUGGUUUUUAGUACUAUUUGUAUUUUGUACUAUUUUAGUACAGUUUGAUAUCAGGAAUGGUGAUAUCUCAAAAAGUUUUCUCAUUUAAAGGAUUGCUUUAGGUAUGCUGGGAUUUGUUUUACCUUGUUUUGUUUUUCUAUAUGAAUUUGAGUAUUGUUUUCUCAAGGUCUUCUAAAGAAAAACCUUCAUUACUACUGUCCUAUAGGAUCCUUGUCUGAUUUCUCAUAAGAAUUCCUAGAUCUCUUAAGACAGAGAUUGGUGGUUGAAGUGUUAUUGAGAAACUCUUGUCAUUCCAGAGUACUAAACACAAUAUGUUCUAUUUCUAUGUCCAUGGAACAUGGAGCCAUCCCAUCCUUUCCCUCUGGAAAAAAAAUAUAUUGGUUUGCAUCAUUACUAAACUGCAAAUAAUAAAUUUAUGUUAUUGGAAAUAAGUGAAAACCAACCUAUUACAAGAUGGAAGGUAGAAGGAGGACUUCUUUUUCUAUCCAAAACUUUGCUUCUGUCAUCUAUAUGUUUAAUGCAAGGGCUGUACUCAGUAUGUGUCUUACAUUCUAUUUAUUCCGUUUAGGUUUUCCUAAAGCACUGAACCUAAUCUUUAUCUCCGCUGUCCAUGUAGAGAAAACUAUCCAAAUUGUAGGAAGAUCAUAAAAGUAUCAUCUAGGAGAAGAUUUCCUACAAUCUUUCACUUUGUCCUCCAUUGUAUGUCUUGAGGAUAGUCAGAUAGGGAAGUCCUGUCACUCCUUACGGUUUCAACUUGGUUUAGUCCCUGCCAUUGAAAUGGCCUCAUCCACUGCCAUCUGUCUGUAUUUCCUCUUGUAGAACCUGAUAUUCAUGUAUCUUCUUAGUCCUUCAUCUGGACCUCCUCUUUUCCCCUUGCCUCUGCAGUUGGUCUCAAAUCUGUAGCUCUGAUCUCACACACAAGCUGCUUUGCCAACUCCUCUGCAUCUUCACUUCGAUUCUUCUCUCAUCCCUGUAGACUGCGUCCAUUUCUACUCACUACUUCUGAAGCAGACGUCUACUUUGGCCUCUGAAGCCUUUAGUAUCAGUGUGUAACCUGUGGGUAGCUAGCAAUCAAGUAAUCAGAGAGAAAGGAAAGUAGGAAAAAAGGAGAGAGAAUGGGUUACAGAGACAGAGAGGGAGAGAGAGAGACAGAGCAGAAGGAAGGAAGGAAGGAAGGAAGGAAGGAAGGAAGGAAGGAAGGAAGGAAGGAAGGAAGGGAAGGAGAGAGGUUGGGAGUGAGGAAGACAGGUGGGGAGGAAGGAAGAAAUAUUGAAAGAUAGAGAGACUAUUAACCUUGUAAGAUAUGAUUAUCACUAGUAUUCUUAAUCAGCCGAAGUUGUCACAGAAAGUGUGAGUGUCUGACAAAUUCCUGCCUUUGAAACUUCCAGAUCUUAUGGAUUUGUUACUCAGUAAAUUCUGACAUUGUGGAAAGACACAGUGUCCCUUUGUGUACUUAGGUAAUAUCCUUCCUUUUGGAUGGUAGAACUGCCUAUGAGCACCUUGCACUCAGCUUAGCUAGCCUUGAGAGAGAGCUGUCCACUACUACCCUUUAUGUUUAUGUGUUCAAAGAGACUCCCAGUUGCUCUCGGUGGCAGUACAACUAGAGCUGAAUAUUUUACUUUUUGUUACUGCUUAUGGCAAAUGCUUCUAAGUAUACCUUUGAAAAAUUGUCUACAAGAAAUUCCGGUCCUUGAGGGAAUUCUUUGGGUAGGCUCUAGCACAUUCCCUUUAGUGUUGUGUAAACUAUGUGAAAUUGUUGAAACACUGAUGCAGCUUUUCUGCUGAAGAGAAAGCUACCACUCUUCCUUCAAAGGAAAGUGGGACAGUUCUCUAAUAAACAGAAAUGAAAAGAAGUUAUGAAAAGUUGCUAAGUCCUGUGGGGAAAGUAAAAUAUGAUCUAUAUCAUGCUGGACAUCCUGAGCUCAGACAGCAUUGGGAGCUGCAGAUAGAACAGCUGUGUUAGAUAACAGAGCCUCUGUCUCUCCCUGCCUCAGAAUUCAGCACAAGCCAUGCUGCCUACACCUGUCUCUGAGACACAGAAUUGAUAAGAAGCCAGGCCUGCUGUGGUUUUGUAUCCCUUCCAUUCCCCUGGCGGCAGCAGAAUAAACUCAUGAGCCAACCUAGUGUCCCUCCCUUUGUGUGUGGGGGCCAGUUUUCUUCCUGUGGAGCACCAUUGGUGUGAAAUCCAGAAACUCCCUUGGUGGUAGGAAUUGAUAGUCCUUCUGACUUUAUAUAUUCCAGCAAAAGAGAGGAAAGAUCAUAUGAACAAUUUCACAGAGUUUACAAACACCAAAAGUACAAGUUAGAGAGCUCAACCCAGACAACAGACAUGGCAGGCUUUCAAGGACUGAUUAAGAACCUGCUUUGGCUCUGGCUGCAAUGAUUGGGCUUCAGAAGCUGGUCUGGAUGUUCAGAAUGCUGAUUCUAGGAAGUAUGAACUCCACCUUUUUUCCUGCCCCCUCCAGCCCUGGUGCAGGUAGUAGCAAGAAUCACCUAUCAUGCUGAUGAGGAGAAAACUGGAAUACGGUUUGAUAAAGACAAUGGGCUAAUCAGACAUAAAAUAGAGUCCCUCACAAUUACUUUGGUGGUCAGGAUGGGGCUGAAUCUGGCAGGAACAGGGACCAACUAGUCCUACACAGUCUCAGCUUUGCCAACUUAAAAACAGCCAUAGAUGAGAACAUGAGAAAUUUGGAAAGAGAAAUAGCCCACUUAGAAAGAACGAUGAACUCUAAGUCAGAAGUUGUGUUACAAAAUAGGAGAAGGUUAGACUUUUUAUUCUUACAGCAAGAAGAAUCAUAUGCUGCUAUGAAAGAGAAAUGCUAUUUUCAUGUGAAUCAUUUUGGGGUUAUCUGGGACUUACUGGCCAGAGUAAGGGAAAAUUUAAACAAAAGAAAGAGGGAUAUGCAUUCCAUGGAUGGUUCUAAUGAUGGUUUAAUAGUCCCCCCUCAUUGACCACCCUGAUUUCUACCCUGCCCAUCCUCUUAUUAUUACUAGGGUUGCUAUUAAUGUUUGCACCCUGCAUAUUAAACAGAGUAAUAUGAUUUAUAAAAGAUAGAGUAGGAGCAAUAGAACUCAUGGUACUUAGAUCCCAUUUUAUAGAACUAACACCUGAAGGACAGGAGGAAUAGCUUGAAAAUAUCCCCUUGACCCUGUUGGGACCCCCAUGUUUAGGCUCUCUAAGGACACAGAAAAAAAGGGAGAUUUACAAAACCCAACCAAACCUCUUUUUUUAAGAAACUCAUUUUGUGCCAGACCUAGUGUCCCUCGAUUUCCAAAAAUAAAAUCACAGAGUCCUCCUAAGCAAACAUUCUAUUGCCCCCCUCCCCCUUUAGCGACAGUCAUACUACAAUAGUAGGAACAAGGUAUGUGGAGAUAACCUGAGACAUCUUGCAGAGAAUAGAUAAUCUGACCAUCAUUUUUGUCAGGUGGUUCUGCUCUCAUGCUUGGUUCCUAGAGAUUAUUCCAGAAAUGCAUUUUUUUAAAAAAUACUAAUUUCUGACUAACACAGAAAUUCCUCAAGUUUGCUGUAACUACAAUAAAAAAACUGGACACCUAAACUUCAGUUCUUACUUUGACCCACUGCGAUGGUGAGAGUCUGAGAGACCUUGCUUGGGAACUCUUAAUAAAGACCCUGAGGGGUUGGGGAUUUAGCUCAGUGGUAGAGUGCUAGUAAGUGCAAGGCCCUGAGUUCAGUCUCCAGCUCCGAAAAAAAAGAAAAAAAAAAAAGACCCUGAGGUGUUUUACAUUGGAAUUGGCUCCUCGGUGGUCUUUGAGGACCUGCAACUUAGAUAUAACAGAACCACUAACAUUAACAGUACCUGCAUGCCCAUAUUGCUGUGAAGUCACAUUCCCACCAAAAAUGGAAAAAGGCCUCUUUGGAGGAUCAACAGAAAGUGAUAGGAGCACCAAGGUACCCACCCUGUUUUUCCUUACAAACUGCCAGCAUUCACAGCAGAUAGGAAGCCAGGACCACUCUAAUGUAAAUGAAAAGGAGGGUCUCAAACUACCUUGGCCUAAUCUCUGGGUACAGUGACUCUUCACAUCAAUGAUGGAUGACAGGCUAUUGCCUUUGGAGAUUUCUCUACUAUCAAGAGUUACAGCAUGCUGAAUAAUCACUCCUUGGUUUCAAGGCUAUGAGCAGAGUUAUUUCUGGCAGUAUGAUCCAGGACAUUAGUCUACUUGGUGCUGCUUCAUUACCACCAUCCUCCCACACUACCCUAUUUCUAAAAUCCCUGCCGUAAGGGUUCUGGAUAGGCAUAACCCAUCCUUCCACUGUGAGGUACUGCUUGGGCCUCCCAAUACCACAUUACUACACACUAUUUUCUUUGGGCCACUUCAUCAGUAAAGAAAAUGUCUCUAAUAACAAAGGUACAUGAUUUCUGAAGGGUUCCAAGAAUAUGAUCUAGACUUUUGUUUUUUGUCAUUGUUUUUGAUAGCUGAGUAAUGUUCCAUUGUGUAGAUGUACCACAUUUUCUGUAUCCAUUCCUCUGUUGAAGGGCAUCUGGGUUCUUUCCAGCUUCUGGCUAUUAUAAAUAAGGCUACUAUGAAAAUAGUGGAGCAUGUGUCUUUGUUGCAUGUUGGAGAAUCUUUUGGGUAUAUGCCCAGGAGAGGUAUAGCUGGGUCCUCAGAUAGUAUAAUAUCUAAAUUUCAGGGGAAUCACCAGACUGAUUUGAAGAGUGGUUGUACCAGUUUGCAAUCCCACCAACAAUAGAGGAGUGUUCCUCUUUCUCCAUAUCUUUGCUGGCAUCUGUUGAAACCUGAGUUUUUGAUCUUAGCCAUUCUGACUGGUAUGAGGUGGAAUAUCAGGGUUGUUUUGAUUUGCAUUUCCCUGAUAACUAAGGAUGUUGAGCAUUUAUUUAGGUGCUUCUCAGUCAGUCGAUAUUUCUCAGCUGAGAAGUCUUUGUUAACCUCUGUACCCUAUGUUUUGAUAGGGUUAUUUGAUUCUCUGGAGUCUAACUUCUUGUGUUUUUUGUAUAUUUUGGAUAUUAGUCCUCUAUCAGAUGUAGGAUUGGUAAAGAUCUUUCCCCAAUUUAUUGGUUGCCAUUUUGUCCUAAUAACAGUGUCCUUUGACUUACACAAACUUUGCAGUUUUGUGAGGUCCCAUUUGUUGAUUCUUGAUCUUACAGCACAAGCCAUUUGUAUUUGUUCAGGAAAUUUUCCCCAGUGCCCAUGUGAUCAAGACCCUUCCCCAUCUUUUCUAUUUGUUUGAGUGUAUCUGGUUAGAUGUGGAGGUCCUUGGUCCAAUUGGAUUUACGCUUUGUACAGGGCAGUAAGAAUGGAUCUAUUUGCAUUCUUCUGCACGUUGAUCUCCAGUUGAACCAGCACCAUUUGAUGAAAAUGCUAUCUUUUUUCGAUUGGAUGGUUUUGGCUCCUUUGUCAAAGAUCAAGUGACCAUAAGUGUGUGGGUUCAAUUCUGGGUUCAAUUUUUUUAUCACUAUUGCUCUGUAAUACUGACUGAGGUCAGAGAUUGUGAUUCCCCCAGAAGUUCAUUUAUUGUUGAGGAUAGUUUUCACUAUCCUGGGUUGUUCAUUAUUCCAAAUUAAUUUGCCAAUUGCUCUUUCUAACUCUGAAAAAUUGAGUUGGAAUUUUGAUGGGGAUUGCAUUUAAUCUGUAGAUUACUUUUGAUAAAACGGCCAUUUUUACUAUAUUAAUCCUGCCAAUCCAUGAGAAUAGGAGGUCUUUCUAUCUUCUGAGAUCUUUUUCAAUUGCUUUCUCCAGAGACUUGAAGUUCUUGUCAUACAGAUCUUUCACUUGCUUGGUUAGAGUCACACUGAGGUAUUUUAUGUUAUUUGGGACUAUUGUAAAGGUUGUCAUUUCCCUAAUUUUUUCUCAGCCUGUUUAUCCUUUGAGUAGAGGCUACUGAUUUCCUUGAGUAAAUUUUAUACCCAGCCACUUUGUUGAAGAUGUUUAUCAGGCUUAGUAGUUCUCUGGUGGAACUUUUGUAGUCACUUAAGUAUACUACCAUAGCAUCUGCAAAUAGUGAUAUUUUGACUUCUUCAUUUUCAAUUUGUAUUCCUUUGACCUGCUAUUGUUGGCUGGUUGCUCUGGCUAUGACUUCAAGUACUAUAUUGAAUAAGUAAGGAGAGAAUGGGCAGCCUUGUCACUGAUUGUAGUGAGAUUGCUUCAAGUUUUCUCCAUUUAGUUUGAUGUUGGCUACUGGGUUGCUGAAUAUUUCUUUUACUAUGUUUAUUUAUGGGCCUUGAAUUCUUAAUCUUUCCAAGACUUUUAACAUGAAGGGGUAUUGAAUUUUGUCAAAUGCUUUCUCAGCAUAUAAUGCAUGAGCAUGUUUUUUUUUCUUUGAGAUUUUUAUCUAGUGGGUUACAUUGAUGUAUUUCUUUAUAUUGAACCAUGCAGGCAUCCCUGGGAUGAAACUUACUUGAUCAUGAUGGAUAAGCAUCUUGAUGUGUUCUUUGAUUCAAUUUGUGAGAAUUUUAUUGAGUAUUUUUGCAUUGAUAAUCAUAAGGGGAAUUGGUCUGAAAUUCUCUUUCUUUGAUGGAUUUUUGUGUGGCUUAGUUAUACCUGUAAUUGUGGCUUCAUAGAAGGAAUUGGGUAGUGCUCCAUCUGUUUUUUUUUUUGUUGUUUUUGUUUUUUUUUGUUUUUGUUUUUUUUUUUUUUUGUGAAAUAGUUUGGACAGUAUUGCUAUGAGGUCUUCUAUGAAAGCCUGACAGAAUUCUGCACUAAACCUAUCUGUAUCUGGGUUCUUUUUGUUUGGGAGACUUUUUAAUAACUGUUUCUCUUUCUUUAGCAGUUAUGGGACAGUUCAGAUGGUUUCUCUGAUCAUGAUUUAACUUUGUUACCUGGUAUUUGUCUAGAAAAUUGUCCGUUUCCUUCAGAUUUUCCAGUUUUGUUGAAUAUAGACUUUUGUAGUAGGAUAUUAUGAUUUUUUGAAUUUCCUCAGAUUUUGCUGUGGUGUCUCCCUUUUCAUUUCUGAUUUUUAAAAUUUUUGAUCCACUCUCUGUGCCCUCUAGUUAGGCUGGUUAAGUGUUUGUCUAUCUUGUUGAUUUUCUCAAAGAAGCAGAUUCUGUCUUUUUGUUUGUUUGUUUGUUUUGUUUUGUUUUUUUUUUCUUUUUUGAUUCUAUGUAUAGUCCUUUUUAUUUCUAUUUGGUUGAUUUCAGCCCUCAGUUUGAUUAUUGCCUGCCAUCUACUCCUCUUGGGUGUAUUUUUGCUUCUUUUUGUUCUAGAGCUUUUAGGUAUGCUAUAAAGUUGCUAAUGUAUGCUCUCUCCUAUUUCUUUUUGGAGGAACCCAGAGCUAUGAGUUUUCCUCUUAGCACUGCUUUUAUUGUGUCCCAUAACGUUGAGUAUGUUUUGUCUUCAUUUCAUUAAAUUCUAAAAAGACUUUAAUUUCUUUAUUUCUUCCUUGACCAAGUUAUUGAAUAGAGCAUUGUUAAACUUCAUGUAUAUGUGGACUUUCUGUAAUUUUUUGUUGUUAUUGAAGACCAGUGUUAGUUCUUGGUGAUCUGAUGGGAUGCAUGGGAUUAUUUCACUCUUCUUGUAUCUGGUGAGGCCUGUUUUGUGACUGAUUAUAUGGUAAAUUUUUGAGAAGGUAGCAUGAGGUACCAAGAAGAAGGUAUAUUCUUAUGUUUUAGUAGGAAAUGUUCUAUACAUAUCUCUUAAAUCUAUUUGGUUCAUAACUUCUGUUAGUUUCUCUAUGUCUCUGUUUAAUUUCUGUUUCCAUAUGUCCAUCGAUGAGAGUAGCGUGUUGAAAUCUCUUACUAUUAUUGUUCGAGGUACAAUGUGUGCUUUAAAUCUUAGUAAGGUUUUCUUUAUGAAUGUAGGUGCCCUUGAAUUUGGAGCAUAGACAUUUAGGAUUGAGAGUUCCAAGAAGGAUGACCAAAAUGUGAAUGCUUCACUCCUUCUUUAAAAGGGGAACAAGAAUACCCUUGGCAGGGAAUAGGGUGGGAAAGUUUAGAACAGAGGCAGAAGGAACACCCAUUCAGAGCCUGCCCCACAUGUGGCCCAUACAUAUACAGCCACCAAACUAGAUAAGAUGGUUGAAGCAAAGAAGUGCAGGCCAACAGGAACCGGAUGUAGAUCUCUCAUGAGAGACACACCAGAAUACAGCAAAUACAUAGGGAGAUGCCAGCAGCAAACCACUGAACUGAGAAUGGGACCCCUGUUGAAGGAAUCAGAGAAAGGACUGAAAGAGCUUGAAAGGGCUCAAGACCCCAUAUGAACAACAAUGCCAAGCAACCAGAGCUUCCAGGGACUAAGCCACUACCCAAAGACUAUACAUGGACUGACCCUGGACUCUGACCCCAUAGGUAGCAAUGAAUAGCCUAGUAAGAGCACCAGUGGAAGGGGAAGCCCUUGAUCCUGCCAAGACUGAACACCCAGUGAACAUGAUUGUUGGGGGGAGGGUGGUAAUGGGGGAAGGAUGGGGAGGGGAAGCCCAUUUAGAAGAAGGGGGAGGGGCUAGGGAGAUGUUGGCCUGGAAACUGAGAAGGGGAAUAACAAUCGAAAUGUAAAUAAGAAAUACUCAAGUUAAUUAAAAUAAGAAAAAAGGAUUGAUAGUUCAUCUUGGUGGAUUUUUCUUUUACAGAAUAUGAAGUGUCCUUAUAUUUUUUUUAUAACUUUUGGUUGAAAGUCAAUUUUAUUCAAUAUUAGAAUAACUACUCCCUCUCAUUUCUUCAGAUCAUUUCUGAGGUGGUGUCUGUCUUUGUCUCUGAGGUGUGUUUCCUGUAUGUAGCAGACUGCUGGGUCCUCUUUAUGCAACCAGUCUGUUAAUCUAUGUUUUUUAGUGUGGAAUUGAGUCCAUUGAUGUUAAGAAAUAUUAAAGAAUAGUGAUUGUUGCUUCCUGUUAUUUUGUUUUUAGAGGUAGAAUUAAGUUUGUGUUUCUUUCUCCUUUUGGUUUUGUUGCAAGAUUUCUUUCUUGCUUUUUCUAGGGUGAGGUUUCCCUCCUUGUGUUGGAAUUUUCCAUCUAUUAUCCUUUGUAAGGCUGGAUUUGUGGAAAGAUAUUUUGUAAAUUUGGUUUUGUCAUGGAAUAUCUUGGUUUCUUCACCUAUGUUAAUUGAGAGUUUUGCUGGAUAUAGGAGCCUGGGUUGGCAUUUGUGUUCUCUGAGGGUCUGUAUGACAUCUUCCCAGGAUCUACUGGCUUUCAUAGUCUCUGGAGUGAAGUAUGGUGUUUUUCUGAUUGGUCUGCCUUUAUAUGUUUCUUGACCUUUUUCCAUUACUGCUUUUAAUAUUCUUUGUUUUGUGAGUUUGGUGUUUUGACUAUUAUGUGCCUGGACAAAUAUCUUUUCUGGUCCAAUCUACUUGGAGUUCUGUGGGCUUCUUGUAUGUUUUUGGGCAUCUCUUUAGCUUAGGGAAGUUUUCUUUUAUAAUUGUUUUGAAGAUAUUUACUGGCCUUUUAAGUUGGGAGACUUCAAUCUCUUCUAUACCUAUUAUCCUUAGCUUUGAUCUUCUCAUUAUGUCUGGGAUUUCCUGGAUUUUUUGGGCCAGACGCUUUUUGUGUUUUAUAUUAUCUUUGAUGCUUGUUUUGAUAUUUUCGAUGGUAUCUUCUGUCCCUGAGAUUCUCUCUUCUAUCUCUUAUAUUCUGUUGGUGAUGCUUUACCUAUGACUCUUGAUCUCUUCCCUAAGUUUUCUAUAUCCAGGGUUAUCUCCCUUUGUGCUUUCUUUAUUGUUUCUAUUUCUUCUUUUAACUCCUGGAUGUUUUUUUUUUCAUUUCUUUUAUCUGUUUUGUUUUCUCCUGUAAUUCUCUAAGGGAUUCUUUAAGGUAAUUUUGUGUUUCCUCUUUAACAGCUUCUCCUUGUUUACUUUUGUUGUCCUGUAUUUUUUUAAAUGAGUUAUUUUUGUCCUUCUUAAAGUCCUCCAUCAUCAUCAGAAGAUGUGAUUUUAAAUCCAAAUCUUGCUUUUCUGGUGGGUUUUGAUAUCUAGUGUUUCUUUAGUGGGAGAACCGGGCUCUGAUGAUGCCAAGUAGUCUUGGUUUCUGUUGCUUAGGUUCUUGUGCUUGCCUCUUGCCAUCAGGUUGUCUCUAGUGUUAGCUUUUCUUGCUGUCUCCGACAGUGGCUUGACCCUCCUGUAGGUCUGUGUGUCAGCACUCCUGUAGAACUGUUUUCUUUCAGCCACAUCUGGGAACAGAGAGCUGCUUCUGGGUUUGUGUGAUCUGAAGCCUCCAGGUGGGUUGCUUGGCACAGCAGACUUGGUCUUACCUCUGCUCUUAGUUGUAAAGGUGCUCCUGGUGACUGGCUUUCAGCUCUCAGGGUAGGCAGAAUCCUGAACUGUCCUGCCCCUGACUGCUCCUUGGUUCAUGUGCACAGAGGGCACAGACACCACUAGCUGAUUUUCUCUUGGGUCAGGAAUGUGGGCAGAAAGUAGUCAUCUCCUCUGAGUUUUCUGGAGUGUCAACACUUCUGAGGAUUCUGCUCUCUCACCCACAGGAUUUGGGAGCAGGAAGCUGAGGGACCAGUUCAGUUGAGUUCAGAGCUCAGGCAGAAAUCAGCGGGUUUUUACCACUGAAAGCUCCUAUGUUCCUGUAUCCAGAGGCACUAUGCAGUUUCCUCUUGGUCCAUGAAUAUGAGUAGAAGUGAGUAGAGGUGGCAGUCUCCCCUGAGGUCUCAGGAUUGUCCACACUUCUGGGAGUUCAGCUCUCUCCCCCAUGGGAUUUUGGUGCAGGGAGCUGUGGGAUUAGUUCAGUUCAGUUCAGGGCGCAGACAGAAACCAGCAGGUUCCCGCCUCUGGCUCUUCCUAUAUUCCUGUAUCCAGAAGCACUGUGCAGUUUCCUCUUGGUCCAUGAAUAUGAGUAGAAGAGAGGAGAGGUGGCAGUCUCCCCUGAGGUCUCCAGAUUGUCCACAUUUCUGGGAGUUCAGCUCUCUCCCCCAUGGGAUUUUGGUACAUGGCACUGUGGGACUAGUUCAGUUCAGUUCCAGGCAUAUCCAGCUGUUCCAUAUUUCUUGAAGUGAGUUAUUUUUGUCCUUCUUAAAGUCCUCCAUCAUUCAGCAAUUUUCUUUGGGUCAGGAAUUUUAAAUCCAAAUCUUGCUUUUCUGGUGGGUUUUGAUAGCCAGUGUUUGCUUUGGUGGGAAAACUGGGCUCUGAUGAUGCCAAGUAGUCUUGGUUUCUGUUGCUUAGGUUCCUGUGCUUGCCUCUCGCCAUCAGGUUGUCUCUGAUGUUAGCUUUCCUUGCUGUCUCUGACAGUGGCUUGACGAGUAGGCCUGUGUGUCAGCACUCCUUUAGAGCAGUUUUCUUUCAGCCGGAUCUGGGAAGAGAGAGCUGCUCCUGCGUUUGUGUGACCUGCUUGUGCAGGUUGCUUGGUACAGAAGAGCUGGUCUUACUACUGCUCUCAGAUGUGUAGGUGCUCCUGGUGACUGGCUUUCAGCUCUCAGGGUAGACAGAAACCCGAAGGGUCCUGCCCCUGAUUGCUCCUAGUUCCCGGAGCCCAAAAGGCACAGAUGACACUAGGCAGUUUUCUCUGGGUCAGGAAUGUGGGCAGAAAGUAGUUGUCCCCUCUGAAUUCUCAGAAUUGUCCACACUUCUGAGUGUCCAGCUCUCUCCCCAAUGGGAUUUGGGUGCAGGUAUCUGUGGGACCAAUUCAGUUCAGUUCUGGGUGCAGGCAGAGAUCACCAGGUUCAUGCUUCUGACUGUUCCUAUAUUCCUAUAUCCGGAGGCACUAUGCAGGUUCCUCUUGGGCCAGAAAUGUGAGCAGAAGUGGUGAUCUUCCCUGAGGUCUCAGGAUUGUCUGCACUUCUGGGAGUUCAGCUCUCUCCACCAUGGGGUUUGGGUUCAGGGAGCUGUGGUACUGGUUUAGUUCAGUUCUGGGCAUAGCCAAAAUCCAGAACUGUCCUGUCCCAGAAAACUUCUGGCUUUCUGUGUCAUGAGGCCACUAGGUGGGUCGCUUGGAGCAGAAAAGUAGGCCUUACCUCUGCUUUCAGGUGUGUAGGUACUCCUGGGGACUGGCUUUCAGCUCUUGGUGCAGGCAGAAACCUGAAGGCUCCUGCCCCUGAUUGCUCCUAGUCCCUGUCCCCAGAGAGCACAGAUGCCACUAGGCAGUUUCCUCUUUCAGGAAUGUGGGCAGAAAAUAGUUGUCUCCUCUUAGUUCUCUGGAGUGUCCACAUUUCUGAGGGUCCAGCUCUCUCCCCUAGAGGAUUUAGGUGCCUUAAAACAUCUUCUUAACUGUCUGUAGAAUCUUUUUUUCUGAGAAGAAGCGGAUAAAAUCUUUAAUUAUUCACCAUUAUUAAUAGAGAAGUUUUUAUAACUGUGGUCAUCUAUGGCUUAUUUCAAAGCAGAUGAUUAAUCAACAGUGUUUCCUAAAUCUGAAGAUGUCUUUAUAUCAUUAGAUUUCUUUUGACUAUCUUCUAAAAUAUAUCGCAGUUGUUCCCAAAUAUUUGAAGAUAGUUUUCAAUAAUGAUUUUUACAAUAGCAGUAUAUAACAUCACAAAGCAAAAACAAGAUCCUCUGUCAUUUCACAUAUUUAACAAAUUUGAAAUCAAGUAAAAAAUUGAAAUCUAAAAAUAUGAGGAAAAUAGCAGUUACUUCAAAUACAUAUGAGUCCAUGAAAUGAAGUCUCUGUUUGAAUUGGAGACUCUAAGUUCUUUGCAUCUCAUUAAAACUUGUUAAAAUUUCAUACAAAUUACAAAGAGUAAAGGCACUACUAAAAUAAAGCAAUAUUUUAGAACUGAUGUGUUGCCAAGAAGAACUGUGAGUGAGUCAAAUUAGUGAUUUUAAAGGUAUCUUGACUAUGCUUUGUUGGUUUUGGGAGUGCUGUAGGGAGGAGGUGGAGUUUCAUUGUGGUGUUUUGAAUGGAAUGCCCCUCUAAAUCUAGGUAUCUCAAUAGUCAUACCUUAUUUGUGACACCACUUGAGUGGUAAAGUGGCUUGGCCUUCCUGGAGGAAGUAUGUCAUAGGUUAGAAUUUAGGGUUACAAAAGCUAGGAGCUAUUUGCAGUAUACUCUUUCCUUCACAUUUGCUGCCCAAGAUAAGCAUUAUUAGUUCUCAGCUUCCUGUUUGGUUAUCUCUCCUUCUUGAAGCCAUGUUCCUCUGUCAUGAUUUGAAGGACUGUAAUCCCUCUACAUCUCUUAGUGCCAAAUAGAUAAUUACUUCUAUUAGUUGCCUUCCUCAUGGUAUUUUAUGAAAGUAAUAAAAGAAGUCACUAAGAGGAGAAGUUGGUGAGAAGAGGGAAGCUUUAUUGAGAAAAUGACUCCACCAGAUUGGCCUAUGGUUUAGGGAAGUCUACAGGAUAUUUUCUUGAUUAACAAUGGAAUGUUUAGGGCCCAAAUCUCUGGGAUGGGGCCACUCUUGAGCUACUGGUCAGGAUGACACAGAUAUGAGCUACAAGGCAUUAAGCAGAACACCUUCAUGGUUUGCUUCAGUUCUUGCCUUUAUUUCCUAUCUGGUUCAAUUUGGAGCCUAACAUUUCUCAGUAAUUAACUGGUAACUAGAAGUAUAUCAUGAAGUGUAUUCUGUCUUCCAUAAGUUGGUUUUCAUCAGAGUUUUAUCACAUUAGUAGUAGCAACUUAAGACACUUCCUAAAUUGAACAGCAGAAUUAAUAAUUCUUUCUUCUGAAAUGGUGGGUUAGGUUAAAUCAUCUUUACUUAUUACUUGUGUUUCUUCCCAGGAUUCACCUAAUUUUAUGUUUCACUAGUGUUGCACAAGAUGGGAUAGACACAAAUCAGGGGAAAUUGCACUCAGGUGAUCCUCUUACUUUAUUUGUAAAUGGUUCAGAAUAGUUUUGCUUAUUUGUUUUCAUACUUGACCAUAAAAAGGAAUGCAUUUAAUAGAACUGUCCAUAAAAUGAGAAUCAUUAAUAAUUAUUAAGAGUAGGAAAAUAUAUUUUAUUUCUGUAUUUGGACUGAACAUGAAGCUUGAUAUAAGCUUCAAUUUAGGUUGUCAGUAGUUUGGUAGUUCAAGAAAAAUGUGUCACUAGCCCAAGCCAAGUAUAGUUCUGGGUGAGAGAGCUAUUCAAGUUGUGCCCCAAGCUAUCUUACUCCAUUUUGAGUCACAUCACCGUGACUUCCUUCAUGUAAACCAUAUCCCUGGAAACUACUAUUUAAAUUAUACCUAUGUGUUCUUUCUUAUUUGUUUUCUUUUAUUGUCUGAUUUUUCUUUUUAAAAAUGUAUGUUUUUUAUUGAUUUUCUUUGAAUUUUUCAUCAAGCAACCCAGUAACAUUCAUUUCCCAAUCUUUCCAUAUCUGCUCUUUCCCCUUAUAACUCCUCCCUCCCACAAAUAAAAAAAUUACAAGUUAAAGUUUUAAAUUCAAAUUCAAAGUAAAAUUGAAAACAAAAAUUAAAAACCCUUAAAAGUUGUACCUUUUAAGAUGUGAUGUACUAUGGUGUGUCACAUUGUCUAUAUCCUUUUGCCCAAAGAGCUUUACUUGCAAAUGUCCAUUUAAAUGAGUCAAGGCCCCUGGAUUUUGUUAUAUCAUCAAUACUGGAACCUGCAAGAGACUCCUCUCCUCUUAUACCCUGGAUAUCCUGAUGUUGCCCUUAGUCAUGGAGGUCCUUCAGCUUUGAAUCUGUAGGACCAGCUCCUUCCAUGCUUCAGCAGUUGCAUGUAGGUCCCCUACGUACAUGUAGCAUAUGUGCAGCUUGAUCCUCAUGUGGGUCUCCUAACAAUUGGUGAGAGGGCUUUCUAUGAUUCUGUUGUCUUUCUCUGUAUUCUUUUCUUCUAGCUUGCAGCCUUAUCUGUCUUCAGUAUGUGAAUGUGCACUUUUUCCUGUUGUGAAUUGAUAUAUGAAUGAGGGAGAGUUCAUAUCCAUGAGUUGGGGGUAUCUACACUUCUCUGAAGAGAAGAAGAAAUAAAUUAGAGUAAAUGUUUUGUAGACCAGCUCAUAUUAUAAUCAUAAUUCAAAAGAAGUAAGACUAUACAGCUAAAAUGCUACCUAAAAUAUUUUCUGCAAUCACUUUUCUGUGUAGAAUCAUGGGAAAUAUUUUAAAAUAGUGUGUGAAUUUCUGUGUGACUGGUACCUAUAAAACCAAGAGGAAGGUAACAGGAUCCCUGAAACUGGAAUGUUGAUGGUGGCAUGCUAUCUAUGUUAAACUGAACCAUCAUCUUUCUAGCAAACGUGGGGACAUAUUUAGUAUCUAACUUAGUAUAAGUCCAUGUAACACUCUUGUGACAUUCUAGAACCAUGUUGACCUGAAAGCACAUAAAUGGAUGUAGGCAAUGCAAUUAUAAAAUAUAGUGUUAUAGGUAAGGCAAAAAUUCUGAGGUGCUGGCUAGGAAUGGGAGCUCAAAGCUCCUCUGUCACCUAUGAAAUCAUUCUAUGGGGUAUAGUACAGGAAAAGAUAUACCUGACCUAGAUUUUGCUAGGUAGCUAUAUUUAAGAAAGAUAAAUUCAGUAAUAGCUUCAUGUUCCAGUCAAUGACAUAUAUUAAGCAUGUAAAAUAUUCACUAUAGCAUAGUAACAAUAUUAGGAUAUAAAUAACCCACAGGUUUUAUACACACAUGCUUCGUUUAAUUUACCUUACACAGGAACUCAAACAAAUAGUAUAGCCUGGCCUGGACACAACUGUGUAGCAUAGACUGUCUUCCAAAUCAUGACAGUUAUAAUGUAGAAGACUCCCAAGUGGUGGGAUUACAGACCUGGUACAACACUCUUGCUUGAGAAAUGCAUCGGUUUGCAAAAUGACAGUACAUGUCUGAGCUAAGGAUAUUACUUAACAUAGGACAUCAUUCCAGUGGAUAAUCUUGUAAAUACAAGUCUAUGUAUCUUCAAAAAUACAUUGCUUCUGUCUUUGUAUGUUUCCCCAUGUGUUUGAUUUAUCAUUACCUUUGUAUAGCAGAAAAUUUUCAUCCAAAUGUUCUUGAUCAGGGACAACAAGCCUUUUAAAAAAUUAAAUCUCUAGAAAGUCAGGUCCCUUGUAUAGUUUGAACAAAUUUCUUCUUAAAAAGAAAAUAAAAACAAGAGUUGGAAUGAUCUUACUUUGUAAGACAUAUUUGAAAAAUAUUUUUUGUUGAAAUAUAGUAGUUUAGACAAGGCAUUCUAAACUUGUGUAUGGUUCCCCAAGAGUUUACUGUAUCAUUAUCUUUAGAAAGCAGAACUUUUUGAUGCAAAUUUUCUUCAUCGGGGAUACAAAGUCAAUUAUAUAAAGUCAUGGUAAGCAAGCUUCCUUCAUGUUUAGAAUGAAAUUUCUUUUUAAAGAAAAGCAAAUAAAUGAGAAUUGCAAUUGUCAUUGUACAUUCGAGAAAUGACCUGAGAAACAUUUUUGUUGAAAAAUAGCAGUUUAGACAAGGCACUCUAAACUUGUGUGUUAUAAGCCCUUUGUAUGGUUCCCCGGGAGUUUACUGUAUCAUUAUCUUUAGAAAGCAGAAUAUUUUGGUGCAAAAUUUCUUGAUCAGGGAUACCAAGUCAAUUAUAUAAAUCUAUAGAAAGCAAGCUUCCUUCAUGUUUAGAAUGAAAUUUCUUUUUAAAGAAAAGCAAAUAAAUGAGAAUUGCAUUUGUCAUUGUACAUUCGAGAAAUGACUUGAGAAAUAUUUCUGUUGAAAAAUAGCAGUUUAGACCAGUAAUUCUCAACUUGUAUGUCACCAUCACUUUGGGGAUCACAUAUCAGACAUCCUGCAUAUCAGAUAUUCCAUGGAUUACACAUUAUAAUUCGUAAUAGUAGCAAAAUUACAGUUUUGAAAUAGCAGCAAAAUAAUUUAAUGGUUAGGGAUCAACACAAGAUGAGGAAUUAUAUUAAGACAUCACUGGAUUAGGAAGGCUGAGAACCACUGGUUGAGACACUACUUCCUUAAGAAAUCCCAACCUGUCACCUACUUAAGAAUCUUGGUCAGCAGUAGAAUCUACAAGCAAGAACUUGUUUUGCUCACCUAAACCUAGAAUCAAAGAAGCAGAGGUCUGGAUGUGCCAGUAAUGAAACAAACCUUCUGUUUGUUCAAAUUACCUUUCUGCACUUCUAUUCCAUACUAUUACCUGCAAUGACAGAACUAUACUCCACUCCUCAACCCCCUUCUUUCCCUCUAAAGAGGUCAGCAUCUAUGUGACACAGUCAGACAGGGAAUCUCUCAUAACUCCCCUCUGAGGAGCUCUACCCAGCAGCUGAGGGAAACAGAUAUAGAAACCCAUAGCCAAAAAUUGGAUGGAGCUCAGGGACUCUUAUGAAAGAGUAGGACGAAGGAUUCAAGGUCCUGAAGAAGAUAAAAACUUCACAGGAAGAUCAACAGAGUCAACCAACCCGGACCAUUUGGAACUAUCAAAGACUGAGUCACCAACCAACAAGCAAACACAAGAUGUACCUUGAACUCUGGCACAUAUGUAGCAGAUGUGGAGCUCAAUCUCUACGUGGGUUCCCCAACAUGUGCUAUCCAUAAAGUGGUUGACUGCCUCUGCAAACCCUUCUCCAACUGGGCUGUCUUAUCUGGCUUCAAUGGGUGAAGUGCCUAACCAUGAGGGGACUUGAUGAGCCCAGUUGGAGGGAACCCAGGGGACCCCCUAACCCUCUCAAAGGAGAAGGGGAGGAGCACUGUGAGGUAUGAAAAGUUGGGGAGCAGUGUUCAGAAUGUAAAUGAAGCAAUGAAUGAAUGAACACAUAAUAAUAAUAAUAAUAAUAAUAAUAAUAAUAGUAAGUAUAAAAAGUACCCCCCCAAAACAACGAAACAAAAAACAAAGUGCUCUUCCUAGAAAUAAAAAGCCAUCAAAAAAGGGCAGGGCCAGAAAGUACCUCUUCCUGGUUGUAUAAUUUGGAGAAUUGGUACUAUUAUUGCAUAGUAAGUAAUGUUCUAGUAUGCAUGUAUACCUCUGCUUACAAGCCCACCUGAAAUACGGUGAACUUUCUUAUUUGAACACCCUGUUUCACAUGUGAGAGGUUCUCACAGUUUCACAAUCCACUACCUUAAGUGUAUAAAUAUUCAAAUAUUUAAAUUAAUUAUACACAGCAGCAUUUGGUGGACAGAAAAGUUGCUGUGUUCAUGAAACACCACAAUUGACUUUCAUGCUUUACUGAGGAAAGAGAAAUAAGAAAAAUGAUAGAUUCCAAGGUGUUCUUACAGUUUUACAGUAUUAUGAAUGUAUAUGGCUAUCUUCAGGCACUGAUCUUUAAUUUCUUCCCCAUGAUGUGGUUCUAGGUUUCUGGAAAUGAAAACCAGACACACUUCGCAAGCAUUAAGGCAAGGAGGAAACAAUCAGUAUCUUAGUCUAUUGUUACUUAGCAUGCCUACUCUCAGAGCAUUGUCUUUCUCUUGAUGUCUGGGGUCAUAGACCCACAGUCUACUGAGAGGCAAACUCAGAACAUCUCCCAAUUAAAAUAUAAAAAUAAUAUUUGUUCUAGAGUCACUGCUGUUCCCUGGCAAGUUAAAAGUGUUAGAAUAUAAGUAGGUUAGGCAAAUUCUCAAUUAUUUUACAUGGGGUUAAGAAGAUGGCAACACCUAGUAAAAGUGAAAGUGCUGGGUUUUUUUUCUGGGUUUGUUUUUGUUUUUGUUUUUUAGCUAGUGAAAGAAAAAAUUUGUGUAUCUACUGGACAGAGUGCAACAUCCAAGUCUCUGAUAACCUAUUAUAGGUCAGUGAUGUACUAGCCAUUUUAGACUAUUGUUAUUUAUAAGGGAUAUUUUUUGUUAAGUAUGAUUUAAGACGUGUAUUUCAUAAAACACAUUAUUAUCACUAUUAAUACUUAUUCUACUAUUAUUUCAUAAGGUAUAGUCAGAAAUGAAAUCUAAGGGCUUAUUUGUAAUGCCAAACCAAAGCCCAUAUGAUAUAUGAGGAAGUUAACUUCCAACACAAGGUCUUCAGACUGUGUCUUUGUGAUGAAUCCACUAACUUGUCAGACUUUUAUUUAUCAUACCUCUUAUCCCAAGGUUCCAAAUGUUCAUAGUUGAAGGAAUCUGUCAUCAUCAGUUUAUUUCAAGCAAGUACAUAUGAGUUGCUAGAGGAAUGUUGAGUGUUGGGAUGCAAAAACUGUCUACUUUUAAAACAGAUACUCUGACAAUGACUGAUUCUUCACUCCAAUUUAUUUCUUGUUCAGCAUUUAUUUUAUCUCUUCAUGACCAAGUGUGAUUAGUUUGCUGAUGUUGUGAAUAUUUUACCUGAAUCCUGACUCUUUUCAGCAAUGAUACAUAGCAUAUGCUGUAUGGGAAAAAGACAAGCUUCUGUUAUUGUAUAUCCGUACUUCUGAAGCACCAGUAUGUCUCUUACUGUGAACCAGAGCCAAGGCAAUUAUGGGUGCAGGGCUACAACUGAGAGGAAUGAAGAAGGCUUUGAACUAUUUUCUAUUUUAGCUUCCAAAUAUAUUUUCUCCCUUCACCCAUUUUUCCCAAUUUGAAACACUGGGUUUUGGGUUUUGUUGGAAUCAGAUAAUCCUCAGUGAAUCAUACUUCUGUUCUCCAAAGUAUUUUGGUGAAUGGUCCUCUCUUAUUUUUCCUUUCUUCUAUGAAUACCCAUCCCUCUCCAGAAUGCCAUUCUCAGUUAUUAUUGGAGUCUUUCUCUUUUAGAGAUCAAAUCACUAUAUCACUUCCUUUCUGUCCUGGCAUAAAUCCCAAACUAUGUGUUUUCAAGAAAGCCUUUUCUCAAUACACUUCUGAGAUACUUAUUUCCUUUUUCUGUGACUUCUUAUUUUCAACUGUCUGUUUCUAAAUGUGCUGUCUCAGUUAAGAACCCAAACAAAUUUCAAUCCCUUUUCUAUGGUUUCACUCUGUAAAAUGUCUAUCAUCCACAGACUUACUCCAUAUUUUCUCUAUUUUCAAAGUUGGGAUGAUUGCAAUCUAGUUACCAGAAACUUCUGCUGUAAAAAAUCUAAUGUGUAGGCAGUAAUUGUCAUUUGUCUGACAUAAUAAACUUGUUCCCGUGCAGCAUAGAUUCCUGGCACAGGCUUAGUGCUAAAAUGGGUGCUGGACAGUAAAUAAACAUGUCCAAUGGCAAUUGAACAACUUAUUAGAAGAGAUCAAGCCAUAAUAGGUGGCUUUUACAUAUAGUCUAUUGUGAUAAUUCAUAUAUAGCAAAGAACAAUGUGUAUAUAUUAUUCAUUAGUAAUAUAAAUAAAGGUCUUUAAGUAUUUUGCAUUAUAAGAUUGGGUGAUCUUAGAGUCAAUGAUAUUAAGGGAGAAUCCAGAGCAAUAUGGAGUCAUAAAGAAGCUAUAAGUGUUGAUAGUUGGAGACUUAGAGGUACACAUGCAGAGACCCAUUUCUUCUAACAACCUAGUGGGUUUGGGUCUUUUCUGAAAUCACUGAAAAGCAUGGAAAUAAUAUUUAUUUUUCUUUUUUCAAUUUUCUUUCAUUAUACGACUCAAACUUCAGUUGGAUUUAUUUUUGUUUUAAAAGGAUUUUGCCCUUAUGGAUAUCUAGGUUAGCUAAACACCCAUCAGUUUGAUGAAAUAAUUCAUUUAAUACAAAAGUUCUGAGAAAUUACAUGAAGCAGGACAGCUGUAGAAACCCAAAAUGAAACUCUCCAGUAUUGGAGUGAGCAGAUUUAUAUCUUUAAAAAUAUUGGUGAGAAAUUUUCCAAAAAAGUUGUUUCUUUAUUGGUAUUUGGCUGACUUUCAGAACCUCCAACAAGAUGUUCCUUUUUUAGUGCUGGUGAGGUUAUAUACACAUUGUCUUAGUCAGUAUCAUAACCACAGUUACUCAUCAGGUUUAUAAAAGUAUUUAUUUCGUUACGUUUCUCUGAAUCUAAGAAAGAAGGAAAAGCAUUGUUUGUUAUAGUUGAACUCACUUAGCCCUUGCAUGCCCUUUUCAUUUUAUAGCAUGCAUGCCUUCUGCAUUACCAGAAGUACACAGAAAAUAACUAAUCAAUAUUAUAAUAUUUAUAAUAAUGGCAUUGUUUCAUAGGGUACUAGGUAUCUCAUUGUGUAUGGCCCAUAUUUCUGGGUACAAUCAGUAAAUUCUUAUUUUUCCCUUGAAAGCUAUGCAUAUAAGUAUUAGAAUCAAGCGAUAGUAUAGCACCAAUCUUUAUGUUGCCCUGUGUGGCUUUCUGAUGGACCAGCCAUGAGCAACUGUAAAUUAACUACAAUAUCUGCAUUUUACAACACAGCAUGUCUGACUUCACUUCUAUGAUAGCUGAGCUAUGAGCUUAAAUAUGAGACAAUAGUGUCUAUGUCUCCACUAUGGGUAUAUUAUGCUAUAUUAAGACUUGCAUAAGUGACAAGCAUGGUGGUGGCACAUGCAUUUAAUCCCAGAUCUCAGGAAGCAGAACCAAGAGGAUUUCUGUGAGUCUGAGGUCAUCCUGGACUAAAAGCAAGUUCCAGGACAGCUAGACCUUUUACAUAGGAAAAACCCAAUUUUGGUUUUGAGUUGCUAUUUUAUUAUUAUAAAUAUCUAGGGCAAAAUUUUUACAUAUGUCAAAAUAAGUGACAUUUCUUCACAUAUCCUUAAUCAAUCUCAUUUAUGGGGUUUGCCUCUUACAUAAACUCAGGACCACUGUAAAGAGGUUCCCAAGUUUAUAGGCAAUUCCUAACAAUAGGAACCUCUAAUGCACAGGCGAAGAUUCCCUUCACAUGGUUCAGUAAUUUCCCCAUUGCUGUUUGUUAUAUAUCAUGUAUCCAGAUACAUGAUAAAAGAGUCUGCCUUUUAAGUUAUGGGAGUAGAACAUUAUACUCACCUAUACUCCUCUCCUUGUGAAAAGGAACAUUUGUACUUCUGGGAAGUGCAUCAUGAUAUGAGGUGCAUGUCCUCCCACUGGGGCAGCUGCUGUGACCAUGUUCCUUUUCCUUUAUCUCACCCAGGUUAUUUAGAACGGUUGUUCCAGGAGCCAGAGUCCUCUCCAUAAGGGUGAAAUAAUGAGGUCUCACAAUAAACUAAAACUGAGUCUUCUUCAAAUAAUUUCAGGGAGUUUUCAAUUCGAAAGGUUACAAGAGAAAUAUGUGACAAGGGGGGCAAGCACAGAGGGUCUCUGUCAUUUUUCAUGGUUGCAAAUCGCAUUUGAUAUAUGACUCUUGUAAGCUAAAAAUAUGUAGUUCAAAAUUCUGAGGAAAGUCAGCUGUUACAAAUUAUAGGUUGGACUUUUGUUAGAAAUUUAAAAGAUGAUUUUGAGGUCAGAUGUUCAAAUGUGAUCAUCACAGUGUAAUAGUAUAUAAGGGAUGAUUUCCGGUUUUCACAUAGUAAUGGCCAGUAUGUGAUACAUACUGUUCACUUGAGUAACUUUGGUUACAUUUGACUCAUACAUAACUGAGCAUGUUUAUAAUGAUGAUUAUAAAAAGGCACAACAACUAAAGAUGACCUCUCACUGUGGACACCAUCCUAUUGAAUGUUCCUUUGGCCUGACUAAAAAGGAAGAGACAGGUAAAUAAAUCCAUAUGAAUAGUAAUGUUCAUGGUCUCAGACAUCUCAGUGCAGAUGGAAUGGUAACAGCUUGAUCAUCGGCUUCAUUAUAAUGGGAGGAAUUUGAAAGAAGGCCUCUUUUCAGGAAACUGGAUAAUUAUAGAUAGGUUCUUCAAUGAUAGGUUCUUUGGAGCCCUAACUUUUCCUCCUGAAAUUUGACUUUAUACAAUAUGAGGAAAAGUCUAUUCUGAGAUAGGAUCUCCUAUAAUCAAUUCAUUACAGGUCUAAGGGCAAUUGGUGAAUAAUAAAUCAGAAACUCAAACUCUGAGUAUCAAAAUUUCCAUUUGAUCCCUAUAGUGUAUAAAUUUUGGUAUUGUAUUAGAGUUUUGAAUGGUUGCUACCAUUGAAAAAUGUGUUCAAAAAUUUCUCUAAACCAAUCAUAAUCAACAUCAAGAGGCCAAAGGCAUAUUUAGUCACACUAACCAGGUGUCAAAAUAUAUCUGAUUAAAGAAACAAUCCAAGUUGUAUUUCCUUUGCUUUGUUGGGUAAACCACCUUAAAAUGGUAUAAUUUCACACAUGGGUAUAAUUUAAUACUAGAUUUAUUAUAUCAAAAUUUAGUCUUGAUAGCUGAACCCAGUACCGAUAAAUUUUUAUUUUUAUCAUUUCACAACACUUGUUCUCAGUGGGAUAUUCUAAAUCCCAAUUGACAAAAGAUUCAGUCAUUGAGCUCAAAUACCCCACUUACAUUCUACUGACUUAAAAUGCAACAAUGAUUCUUCCCAUCCAGAAGGUCACAAUGAAAAGCUAUAUUUAUUUUACAAAAUGAAACAGUACCAAACACAAAACUCAACAAUAACAACAGCAGCAGCAGCAACAAAAACAACAACAACAACAACAACAACAACAACAACAACAACAGCAACAACACCAAACCCAGACUCUCAGGAUAAUCCUGUAUUCCUGUUUCAUUGCUAAGACUUAUCAAAGCUAGACAUAAAACAUGUCACAUUACUUUUUGGUAAUACCAUUUGCUAACAUUUAUUAUGGGAUUUAGGCAUGCAUAGGAUACUUCGCGCUAUGCCAACAGAUAAAUCAUAACCUAUCAUCUGAUUCACAGAAGAGUUUCUCUUAAUUUUUUAUAGUGUUCUGUUUGGAUACAUUAGUUUACUCAAUUUGUAAAUUUGAAAAAAAGAGAAUAGAGUAAUUAUAUCUCAGGCAUGGCCCUCUGAGAAUGAAAUAAAAGUUAGGAUGUAUACUAGAGAUAUUGCUUGAAGUUUUCCCAAACUCUAAAAAAGAAAGACAAAUUUAAUUGGAAUAUAAAACUAAGAUUAUGAGCAUGAACCACUGUAACCCCAAAGACACACUUCUCUUUGAAAAUGUCUUCAAUGUUUGUAAACAAUUGAAACCUUUUACUGUCCCUCAGUAUUUUUAUUGAAUAUGUCUGUGGUAUAUAAGCUCUAAUGUGUGUAAGCAAAUAUUACUUCUAUUUUGUUGAUGCUCAUGCAAUUCUAUAGCCAUUACCUGAGCAGAUUUUCAGAUGGUCUUUUUUUUUCAUCUUUAUUAACUUGAGUAUUUCUUAUUUACAUUUCAAUUGUUAUUCCCCUUCCCAGUUUCUGGGCCAACAUCCCCCUAGGCCCUCUCCCUCCCCUUUUGUAUGGGUGUUCCCCUCCCCAUCCUUCCCCCAUUUCCACCCUCCCCUCAAAUAAUCACUUUCUCUGGGGGUUCAGUCUUGGCAGGAUCAAGGGCUUCCCCUUCCACUGGUGCUCUUACUAGGCUAUUCAUUGCUAGGUAUGCAGUUAAGAGUCCAGGGUCAGUCCAUGAAUAGUUUUUGGGUAGUGGCUUAGUCCCUGGAAGCUCUGGUUGGUUGGCAUUGUUGUUCAUAUGGGGUCUCGAGCCCCUUCAAGCUCUUUCAGUCCUUUCUAAGAUUCCGUCAACAAGGGUCCCGUUCUCACUUCAGUGGUUUAAUGAUGGCAUUCGCCUGUGUAUUUGCUGUAUUCUGGCUGUGUCUCUCAGGAGAGAUCUACAUCCGGUUCCUGUCAGCCUGCACUUUUUUGCUUCAUCCUUCUUAUCUAGUUUGGUGGCUGUAUAUGUAUGGGCCACAUGUGGGGCAGGCUCUGAAUGGCUGUUCCUUCUGCCUCUGUUCUAAACUUUGCCUCCCUAUUCCCUCCCAAGGGUAUUCUUGUUCCCCUUUUAAAGAAGGAGUGAAGCAUUCGCGUUUUGGUCAUCUUUCUUGAGUUUCAUGUGUUCUGUGCAUCUAGGAUAAUUCGAGCAUUUGGGCUAAUAUCCAUUUAUCAAUGAGUGCAUACCAAGUGUGUUUUUCUGUGAUUGGGUUACCUCACUCAGGAUGAUAUUUUCCAGUUCCCUCCAUUUGCCUAUGAAUUUCAUAAAGUCAUUGUUUUUGAUAGCUGAGUAAUAUUCCAUUGUGUAGAUGUACCACAUUUUCUGUAUCCAUUCCUCUUUUGAAGGACAUCUGGGUUCUUUCCAGCUUCUGGCUAUUAUAAAUAAGGCUACUAUGAACAUAGUGGAGCACGUAUCUUUGUUAUAUGUUGGAGCAUCUUUUGGGUAUAUGCCCAAGAGAGGUACAGCUGGGUCCUCAGGUAGUUCAAUGUCCAAUUUUCUGAGGAAGCUCCAGACUGAUUUCCAGAAUGGUUGUACCAGUCUGCAAUCCCACCAACAAUGGAGGAGUGUUCCUCUUUCUCCACAUCCUCGCCAGCAUCUGCUGUCACCUGAGUUUUUGAUCUUAGUCAUUCUCACUGAUGUGAGGUGAAAUCUCAGGAUUGUUUUGAUUUGUAUUUCCCUAUGACGAAAGAUGUUGAACAUUUCUUUACGUGUUUCUUAGCCAUUCAGCAUUCCUCAGCUGUGCAUUCUUUGUUUAGCUCUGAACACCAUUUUUAAAUAGGGUUAUUUGUCUCCCUGCAGUCUAACUUCUUGAGUUCUUUGUAUAUUUUGGAUAUAAGCCCUCUAUCAGUUAUAGAAUUGGUAAAGAUCUUUUCCCAAUCUGUUGGUUGUCAUUUUGUCCUAACAACAGAUGGUAUUUGAUUGCAGAAAAAUCUCUUCUUAGCUCAACAUGCCUCUAGUUGACAGCUGAAUAAACUAGCUCACAUAACAGAUCAAAACCUCAGGUCUAUUACUAUUUUUAAAUGACAGAAAUAUACCAUCAUGGUAACCGUAACAAAGACAACCAUAAUAAGGCAUUAUCUGAUUUCUCAGGAGCAGAAAACCAUGCCUGGCACUGGAAGCAUGAAGUCCCAUGAAGUGAUGGUUUUUAGAGAGGGUCCUGUCACUGUUUCACUAAACAAUUGUGAUUCCCAGCUCUAUUGUAAAUAUUUAAGCUAAUAUUCACAGAUAUUGUAGCCCUUACCCAUUCAUCAAAGAAGGUUCUCUUUGCAGUUGAUGAGACUAUUAGAGAAAACCACAGCUACUCAAGGUAAAUAGAAAAAAAUAUUCCAUGACAAAGAGCUGCAGGGCAUACAAUAACAUAGUAACCCCAGAACCAUACAUAGGCUCUGAACAUUGGGUAAAAUAGUUAGAAAGAUUGUUGAACAGAGGAUCAGAAACUUUAAGACUUGGUCUCUUAGAAAUGAUAGGGAGGCUUCACUUUUGAUAGUCCAACAAUAUCAUUGCUUAAAUAAUUUCUGAACCAAACGUCGUUAGUUACAUUAAUGCAGAAUGAGGGAAUUUCAUGACACCAACCUUCUCAAUAAAAAACUCUAACCACACAAAGACUACUGAGAGUGAGUAUAUUAGUUUUUCCCAAAAAUGAACUCUAUAGAUUAUAAGCCAAUCACAGUUGGUUAUCUCAGAAAUAGUAUGUAUACUACCAAGAAUAAUGAACUCAUCAAGUUGUUUGAAAAUAUUUAUGGAUUUGUUUCUAUGUAAUUAUAACAGUUGAAGAAAAUGAGGCAACAAUUAGAGCUUAAAUGGGAGAUUAAAAGGACACAACAAUAAAGCAAGGGAAAGGAUGGAAGAAAUAAUAUAGUUGAAUUUUAAUUUUAAAAAUAAAAAUAUCAUGGUGUUGAAGCAGAGGCCUCAGUGAUUAAGAAUACCUCUUUCACAGUCAAGAGGACCUACAUUUAGAUACCAAUAUUUUAUGAGAGCAAGAUAAACAGAUCAUGAGAUCUACUUGGUAUGUAUAACAAAGUUAUGCAUGAAGAAGUCCCAAGCUUUAUAUUGAGGAAGAGAAACCCGCCUCUCAGAAAUGGAGAGUGAGAGAGAAUGAGGAACUCUGGUAGUCUAUGUAUUUGAUUAGGCAUACAUACCAGGUGAAACUCAUGUACAUGUAUGAAGUGACCCUCCAUUUGUCCACAUGGAAGAAUAAAAUGAUAGUUAAAUUAUUGUUCUUUAUGUAUUUUUUUCCUGUUGAAUCCUGAUUUCGUAUGCUGUAUCAAAGAAACCUUUGAGCUUACCAGAUUUCUCUCAUAUAUAUAUAUAUAUCUACUCUCACUCAAGGGAGUGUUUGAUGAAGGAAAAUAUGCAAGUAGAUUCAGAAGAAUCCUGAGGGUUGAUGAUGCAAGGACUUUCCCUACUUUUAUACAUGCCACCAUAUACACUGAUUGACUGUUUAUGUUUACAUCUUCUUCACAAUCCAACUUUUCCUGUGGCGAUUGAUGUGACGUUAUGUUGGGUGGUAUUAUGAAUAUACCCUCAGUGUUGGUCCCUUUUUCAUUGAUGAGGGACAACAUACCCAGAGACGAAAAUGGGAAAUACCUGUCAGGCUAUAUACAGCAUAAGCACUAAUUGCUUCUUGAGAACCAGAACAAUAAUGUGCACAGCUACAGUGUAAGGGCUAGCAUAGACAGAGUGGACCUUGAACUGGUUUUGUGCCUUAAUAUAUUUUUGGACUCAACCCACCCUAACUUUCACUCUGAAAGCUCAGGCAACAUUUUUUUUUCAGAUUUUGCACACUAGUAAAGAGAUUAAAUCCAACUUUGCCAGUGGAUGGAUCCUGGUAAAUAGUCCUUUCUUACCUUCUUAUUGUAUUGGCAAUGAUUUGAGUCACAAUUCUUUCUCCACAUGGUGAUAAGAUUUGAAAGGGUGGUGUAUUUAAGAAGCAGAAUUUUGUCCUUAGGAAAGUCAGAGAAGAACCAUCUUAAACCUACAAGAAUUUCUGUGGGGAGGUUUUCAUCAUCACAAAUGGAAGCAAGAUCUUUGACAAAUAGUUUUCCUGUCAUAUCAAAUGUCAGAACUGUGCACACUUGGUCCUGGUGGGGCACAGAACCCCUGCGGAACAAUGAAGAUAUGAAAGACCAUCCUUUCUUAACUCUUCUUUCCUUUGCAUUUUAGGAGGAGAUGAGAUCAUUACAUGGAGUAGUGUAAUUAAUAUAGCCAUUUUAAAAACAGAAUUUCAAUUGCAUAAUAUCCAUUUUAUAAUUGGUUAAUCAUCCUAUAAUGUCUAUAUGUUUUUCUUCCCUAUACUUUACACUCUUAAUAAUCUUUGAAACAUGAUCUAGUGUUCACCACUGGGAAUUCUCAAAAGAUGAUGCUGUCUAACUCUGUACUACAUCAUGAGAUACUUGAUACCUAGGUUGCCCAAGCUUCCUGAGUUAUGUACAGUCAAUUAGUUGACUUAGUGGUCAUACCCUCUUUCAUAGCCAAGUUCACUUGUAUUCACAUCAAGCAGUUUUCUGUUGUCCUCAAAUGUCAUAAUGAAUCUCUUCCCUUUCUUAGUUUUCUUGACAAAUAGAACCAUUGUCAAAUUUCCCUCAUCAGCAGAAUGUAAAAUUCAUGAAAAAGUAUACAUGGCUAUUUUUUUCAGACUCUGAACCAUUGCUCCCACACUGUUAGUUAAAGGUUGAGAUCAAAGUUUUUUCUUCUUCCUCUAAGAUUUCUGUUAGAGUAUUGGACCACAAUGAAGUAUUAAAUAAGUUACUUAAAAUGAAAGCAUUAAAAGUAAAUGAAAGGAGAUAUAUAACAAAAUAUAAUAUAAAAUCUCUGUGUAGAACAUCCUAGAGGGCUGCCUAAUACAAAAUACAUUUAAAUGUUUCUUGGUUAUUAGAGAUUUCUCUUUUUAACUCAGUAUCCCAUUUUUAAUUGGGUCUUUGGUUUCUUAGUGUCUAACUCCUCGAGGUUUUUAUAUGUUUUGGAUAUUUUUUAGAAAAGGAUAGCUAAAACAAUACUGUACAUUAGAAGAACUUUUGGGAACAUCACCAUUCCAGAGCUCAAGCUGUACUAAAAAGAAAGUAUAAAAAUGCAUAGAAAUAGACAACUUAAUCAAUAGAAUCAAUUCAAAAACCCUGAUAAAACCCACACACCUAUGCACACUUCAUCUUUGAUAAAGAAACCAAAGCUAUACAAUAAAAAAAACUGUGCAUUCAACAAAUGGCAGUUUUUUAAACUGGAUGUCUGCAAGUAGAAGACUGCAAAUAGAUCCAUAUUCAUCACCCUGCAUGAAACUCAAGUCCAAGUGGGUCAAAGACCUCAACAUAAAAUCAGAUACACUAAAUAUAGUAAAAGAGAAAGGGAAAACAGCCAUAGUUUUUAAACUAUGCAUUAGUUCAAGAGACAAUUUUUUUCAAUAGAAGACCAAUUGUUCAGGCUCUAAGACCAACAAUUGAUUAAUGGGACCUGAAGAAACAGAAAAUCUUCUGUAAGGAAAAGAACAUGGUCAAUCGGACAAAAUGGCCACAUACCCAUUGGGGAAAUAUUUUCAUUAUUAAUUAUUGGUUGGAGACAAAUAAUGGAAGAGACUCUGUUUAUUAGUUUGGAGAAUAUUCAUAAUGCUAAAUACAAAUUUACUAUAUCAUCCAGGUAUAAUACUCCUUAAACUAUGUCUAAAAGACUCUGAAAAUAUUCUACAAAUACUUGCACAAGAUUAUUUAUUGCUCAUUUAUUUACAACAUUAAGAAUAUUGAAGCAAUGUAAAUAUCCUUGAACUGAUAGUUAAAAUGUGAAAAUAUGUAUAUACACACACACACAUAUAUACAUAUAUAUAUAUAUUCUAUUCAGCUGUAAAAAUUGAAAGAAAACUUGAAAGAAAAUGGAUAGCCCCAACAACACAGUAUAUUAAAUGAGAUAAAUGAGAUAUACCAUGCCCAAAAAACAAACACGGAAUGUUUCCUCUCAUCUAUGAUAGCCAACUCCAAGAAUUCAUAUGUAAGCAUAUUUAGGUGUGAAGUAAAAAUUCUAGAGAUGGAAAUAGCAAGGCAAGUGAUAAGGAGGACAAAUUGGAAGGAAUGGGGUAGAAUAUAAAUGAAAAAAAGUUUAAGGUAUCAAAAAAGAAUGAGUAGAUGGGAAAAUGACUUCAUCUUAAUUUUAAAAAUAUAUAAAAGUAAUAUUCCUCUUAUUUACUGAAAUUACAUAUAAUAUAUUAAGGCAAAUAUGCAUAUAUGUGUGUGUAUACAUUUAGGUAUAUAUUUCUUAUAUAUAGUAUAUAUGUAUAUAUGUAAAAUGUAUAUAUAGAGAAAUAUAUGUACUUAUUAUAUUUAAGUAUAUAUUUAUAAACAUACAUCUUAUGACACUUGGGAUGACAAUGCUCCCCACCAAUCCCAUAGACUGUCUAAUAAAACCACCAGUGUUUGAUGAAAAAAAGAUACUCUAUUGUUUUGUUUGCUUUUGAGGAGGAGAGUGAAGAUGCUCAAAACAGUGUAGGCUAAUGCUAUUGCUCUUCAUUGUAUUCUAGAGGUUGAAUGUAUUUACCAAUUUUUGAAGACACAAUGUAUUUUAGACAUAGGACUUGGAGCAUCUAGAUCUGAAAACCUCCUUGUUGAUGAUAUUUCAUAGUAUAGGAAGGUUUUCUGCAGGCUCAUAAGAGAAGAGAAGCCAAUCUUCUCAUAGAUAUAUCUAUGAACUACAUAAAUAACUAGCAUGACAAGUUGUCUUUAGGGUCUUAUGGUUGCAUUCAUAUCUUGGUGGAAAGUACCUGCCUUUUAAUUGGGUUUAAGCCCAAUUCAACAGAAUGGCGUGGUGUUAGAAACCUAGCCAACUACCCAGGGAUAAAGAUGUCAUCGAUCUUGAGGGGAAUUUCCAACCUCCAAAUAAUAAAUUGCCAUAAUUGUUAGCUGUAUGAUAAUAUACACUUCUGUACCCAGAUAAGCAUAACACUCACCUUAAUUAAAAAGUCGGGGCUGGGAAUUUAGCUCAGUGGUGCAAGCGCAAGGCCCUGGGUUCGGUCCUCAGCUCCGAAAAAAAGAAAAAAAAGUCAUCAAAACAAGACAAUUACUCAAAUUACAGUAAGAUUUUUGUGUGUGUAUUACUUCUACAUCUAAGACUUGGGAGGAGGUAUGGAAAGAGUGCAGAGACAGGUAAGACAGAGUGAUACAAAGUCUACUGUGAGUUUCUUUUCCUUCCAAAUAGCAAAGACGCUUUAUUUAUGAUACUUCACCAAUAUGGAUGCCUAUACAAACACUAUCAAUAUACUUUCUAAUGUUGAAGGGGGAGAUCUCAUGGAGUUCCUUCUCAACAAUAAAUUAAAGGAAACUUAUGAAUGGAGAGAGGAAAUAUUUGUCUUCCCAAAUGAUGAACAUCAAAGUUUGUUAAAGAUAAUUUGGACUUGAAAAUGACUUUAAAAGACUGUGAAACCAAGAAAUUUGAGAAUGAACAACAAAGAAAAUUCAUGGAUUUAUCAAAGGUUAUCUGUGUAAAUUUAUGAAUAGAUAUAGACACUGGAUCAUUUGUGGUUCUUUUGUUUUGUUUGUAAAAAUGAUGCAAGCUUAAAUAUGUCUGUUCAGGGGAAAUUUCAACUAGGACAAUGCUUUCAUUAGAUUAGCCUUUAGGCAACUCCAGAGGUCAUUUAUUUUAUUUGACAAUUGGUAGGCAAAAUAUGUGUAAUGUGGCAACCCCCAGGCAGAUGGUUAGACAGUCUAUGGGAUUGGUGGGGAGCAUUGUCAUCCCAAGUGUCAUAAGAUGUAUGUAUAUAAAUAUAAAAUGUAGGUUCAAGAAGCCAUUAGAUGUAUGCCCAAUAAGCAGUAUUCUUCCAUAGUUUCUGCUUCAGUUUCUUGCUUUUAACUUCUUGUCCUUACUUUCCUUCAUUCUGGACUGCAAGAAUAAGCUGAAAUAAAGCCUUUAUUACCCAAGUAGUUUUUGGUCACAGUGCUUUAACACAAUAGAAACCUAGUAAGACAAACAUGAAGCUGCAGGAUUGUUAUAUUUGUUUGUAUAUAAGUUCUAAUACUCAAAUAUGUAAAUAUUGUACAAGAAGCAAGUAUUCUGUGUCAAAUAGGUUAUUAGUUAUAGAAGCUCAUUCUUUUACAUAUUAUAUAUGGAAAGUAGGUCUUGUACAUUUUUAUAAUUUUCGUAAGGACCUUAUAACUUCAUAUGAUUGGAAGAAACAUUGAUGAAAUUAAAAGUGCAGCUUGGAAAGACUGGAUCAUUUCUUUCCAGAUACGAUAUUAAAUAUAUUAUAUGUCAUAUGAUAUUAUACUGUCCUAGAGAGAAGUGCUUAAUUAUAUAUAAUUACUCCUAUUGAUUUAUAGACAAUAUCAAAGAGAUUGCAGUGUGGAGAAAAAAAUAAGGGUUUAUUGAAGUGGCCAAUUAGAAUUGUUAUAUUUUGCUUGAAUGUUGCGAUGUUUAUGUUUAUCACCUUUAAUAAAUUUGUAAUUUAAAGUGCAUUAUAUUACUUAUUCUUACUAAACUUUUAACCUUAUGUAUCACUUUUUUAUUGCAUCGUGGUAAUCCUAUCAUGCCUGGAUACAGAAAUGAGAUUACGUUAAGAUUUAAUUAUUUGUUAUCUAGAAGAACCUCUUUUUCUCUCUAACAUCCAAUAGCAAAAAUUCUACAGAAUUUUAAGUCCCUCACUUGUAUAGUAUAUGAGUAUAUAGUUUUUGCCUAAAUUUUUGCAUUGUUGAUCCAUUUGAAAUAAUUAAAUUGGCACUCAAAAUUUGUAACAGGUUCAAUCCUUUGGAAUAUAUGUGUAAUGUAUCCAUUAUAUCGGCUGUUCCCUUGGGUUGUACAAAAACCCCUUUAAUCAGUGGCAUUGUGCUUUGUGUUUGUAGAGUAGGAUAGUUUUCUCAGAACACCAUGUACUUGUGCCUUCUAUGUGUGUAUUCUGUAGGUGUAAACUAAGCUGUACACAUCCCGUCUAAAACACAGUCACAGAAGAUACCUUAAGCAAUUUUUAUGCCAGCAUCACAGGUAACAUGUUAUUACCACCUGUUUAACAGGUGGCAUACAUCUAGGCUGUUGCCAAUUUCUAAAUAUAAUAAAUAGAACAGAAAUUAACAUGUACAAGUAAACAUCCAUAAGAUACAGGGUUAAUUGAAUAUAUGCCCAAUAUUGGUAUAGCAAAAUCUUUUAACAUAUUUAUUUUCAUCCUGUUGAGAAAAUUCCAUGUUGAAUUUCACAAUGACUCAAAUUUUUAUUCCCACUGACAACAAAUAAGUGUUCCUCCUUUUCUAUCAACCAUUUUAUCAUUUUCUGUCAAUAGUUUUACUAAUAUUAGACAUUCUGAUUAUUAGAUAGAAUUUUUAAAUAGUUUUAAUUUGCAUACUCCUCAGCCCUGAUGGAGAUGUCCAAAGUCAAAGCCUUCUCAUCAAGAUUCAGAAAUCUAUGGGGAAGAGGAGACAAAACUAUUUACUCACACAUUCCAGUCACAAAAUAAGACAAUGUUUCUUUUUCCAUCUUUAUUAAAUUGGGUAUUUCUUAUUUACAUUUCAUAUGUUAUUCCCUGUCCCCGUUUCCAAGCCAACAGCCACCUAACCCCUCCCCCUCCUCUUCUAUGUAGGUAUUCCCCUCGCAAACCUCCCCCCCCCCAUUACCUCCUUCCCCACAAGAAUUCCGUUCACUGGGGGUUCAGCCUUGGUAGAACCAAGGGCUUCCCCUUCCACUGGUGCCCUUACUAGACUAUUCAUUGCUACCUAUGAGGUUGGAGCCCAGGGUCAGGCCAUGUAUAGUCUUUGGGUAGUGGCUUAGUCCCUGGAAGCUCUGGUUGGUUGGCAUUGUUGUUCAUAUGGGGUCUCAAGCCCCUUCAGCUCUUUCAGUCCUUUCUCUGAUUCCUUCAACGGGGGUCCCGUUCUCAGUUCAGUGGUUUGCUGCUGGCAUGUGCCUAUGUAUUUGCCAUAUUGUGUCAACUAUGGAGAGACAUUUGAAACAUGGGAAAUCCACAAAACAGCAAUUUGUUUUUCUGUGGAGUUGAGCAAGGCCCUGUUGAUGCUGUUGGGAAUAAGUGGAUGUGACAAAGCACAAGGACUAUGCCUUGCUGAGGCAAUCUCAACUGGCAUUACAACUUAGUGGGAGAAACAGUGGAUGUGACAAGGUACAAGGAUUAUGCUUUGCUAAUACAAUCUCAGUUGGCUUUACAACUUGGUGGAAGAACCCAGGGUUCCUUCUCAGGAUAGUAAUGAACAUCUUCCAAAGUGGUUCUUAGAAUUUUUGACAGGGCUAAUUCUGAUUUCAUGGAUCAGCAGCUUGCCUACUGGAAAUUGUUGAUCUAUUUGGGAACUCUCUUCACUUGAAUCAUUGUUUUCACUACACCAAUUCUUUUGAUGGACAUUUGUUAAGUUUAAGAGAAAGAUAGCGUUUUCAACAAAUGGUGCUGGUUCAACUGGAGGUCAGCAUGCAGAAGAAUGCAAAUUGACCCAUUCUCAUCACCCUGUACAAAGCUUAAGUCCAAGUAGAUCAAGGACCUCCACAUCAAACCAGACAAACUCAGAAUAAUAGAAAAAAAACCUGGGAACGUGUGGGCACUGGGGAAAAUUUCCUGAACAAAACACCAUGACUUAAACUCUAAGAUCAAGAAUCGACAAAUGGGACCUCAUAAUACUGCCAAACUUCUGUAAGGCAAAGGACACUGUCACUAGGACAAAAUGGCAAACAACAGAUUGGGAAAAAAUCUUUACCAAUCCUACAACUGAUAGAGGGCUAAUAUCCAAAAUAUACAAAGAACUCAUGAAAUUAGAUUCCAGAGAGCCAAAUAACCCUAUUAAAAAUGGGGUACAGAGCUAAACAAAAAAUUCGCAGCUGAGGAAUAUCGAGUGCCUGAGAAGUACCUAAAGAAAUGUUCAGCAUCCUUAGUCAUUAGUGAAGUACAAAUCAAAACAAACCCGAGAUUCCAUCUCUCACCAGUUAGAAUGGCUAAGAUCAAAAACUCAGGUGAUAACAGAUGCUGGCGAGGAUGUGGAGAGAAAGAGGAACACUCCUCCAUUGUUGGUGGGAUUGCAAGCUGGUACAACCACUCUGGAAAUCAUUUUCAACGUUCCUCGGAAAAUUGGAUAUUCCACUACCUGAGGACCCAGCUAUACCUCUCCUGGGCGUAUACCUAAAUGAUAACUCCAACACACAACAAAGACACAUGCUCUACUAUGUUCAUAGCAGCCUUAUUUAUAAUAGCCAGAAGCUCAAAAGAACCCAGAUGCCCUUCAACAGAGAAAUGGAUACAGAAAAUCUGGUAUAUCUAUAAAAUGGAGUACUACUACUCAGCUAUCAAAAACAAUGACUUCAUGAAAUUCAUAGGCAAAUGGAUGGAACUAGAAAAUAUAAUCCUGGGUGACAUAGCCUAAUCACAGAAAACCACACAUGGUAUGUACCCACUCAUAAGUGGAUAUUAGCCCCAAAGCUCGAAUUACCCAAGAUAGAAUCCACAGACCACAUGAAACUCAAGAAGAAGGAUGACCAAAAAGCAGAUGCUUCAGUCCUCCUUAAAAGAAGAAACAAAAAUAAUCAUUGGAGGAGAUAUGAACAGAGACUGAAGGAAUGGCCAUUCAGAACCUGCCCUACCUGGGGAUCUAACCUAUAUAUGUAUAGUCACCAAAACUAGACAGUAUUGAUGAAGCCAAGAAGUGCAUGCUGACAGGAGCCUGAUAGUCUCCUGAGAGGCUUGGCCAGAGUGUGAAAAAUACAGAGGUGAAUUCUAGCAGCAAAACAUUGAACUGAGAACAGGGUCCACACUGAAGGAUUAGAGAAAGGAUUUAAAGAGCAGAAGAAGCUUCCAACCCCAUAAGAACAAUAAUACCAACCAACCAGAGCUCCCAGGGACUAAGCCACUACCCAAAGAGUACACAUGGACAGACCCAUGGCUCUAGCUGCAUAUGUAGGAAAGGAUGGCCUUGUUAGGCACCAAUGGGAGAAGCAGUCCUUGGUCAUGCCAAGACUGGAUCCCCCAUUGUAGGGGAAUGUCAGGAUGGGGAGGUGGGAAGCAGAGGAUGGUUGGGGAGGGGAAACACCUUCAUAGAAGAAGGGGAGGAGGAUGGGAUAGAGGACUUAUGACCGGGAAACUGGGAAAGGGAAUAGCAUUUGAAAUGUAAAUAAAAAGUAUCCGAUAAAAAGGUAUAUUUAUAACAUAAAAACAAACAAAAAAAUAGUAAGAGGAACCAUCUGGUUCUAUUUGAGAAGGGACCUUUUUUGACAUAGGGUAAUAGGAUGCCUCAGGCUGUCUGAAACUUAUGUUCCUCCUGUCUCAGCUUAUUAAGAACUGGGAUCUCAAAUGCGAUCCACUAUGACAGGCAUUUAUGUGUGUCCAUAUCCAAAGUUAUGGGAUUAUAGAUGUGUACCAAUGUCCCCAUUUAAGAUCUGGCUUCUUCUGUAAACUUCUGAUUUGUUUUAACAGACUCAUCACUUUAAUUGCUUAAUGAUGAUUAAUACAUACAUAAUAUUGACUUUUGUUUGUUUCCAUAUAUUUGUUUUGUGAUCAUCUAGAGUGGCCAUAUGCCAAUGUGUAUGGUAGGCUUGUUAUGUAAAUAGAGGCUUGCAAGUGUUGGAUGAAAUUGAAAAAGCUUUGAAUGGACCUAGCAGAAUGAUGGGAUUGAUCAUUGCUGGGAUUCUUACUAUAGAGUAUAUUAUAGCUAGUGCUACAACUGACAUAGCAUUGUUACAAUUUGUUCAAACUGCUCAGUUUGAUUUGUCUGAAAGUUAAUAAUGCCCUGUAAUUUGAUACUGCAAAGCUGCCUCUGGAUGGUCAGAGUAAUUAAAGAAAAGUUUGCCUUCCUGGUCUUCAUUUGCUCAUUUGUCCUUUUCAGAAUUUGCCUUGAGUACUCUUUUGGUUCUAGGAUUAUGCCUGUUACCACUUGUGAAUAAGUGCACCCUACCUUCACUUUUUGAACAGCUAUGCAGAUAGCCAUCAUAUAUGACUCAAAACUGAAAGUUAAUAGGUUACAUCUCCUGUUGCAAAGGCUGAUAGUCAAAAAUGGGUAAGAUUCUCUCAAAGACGGAUCAACCUAGGAUAGGGCAUGAAUGCUAGGAUUCAUGUACCAAUGAGAGGUAAUGUCAACACUUCUUGAGAUGACCCAUAAAAUAUACACAGUGUUUCUGUGUGAAUAGCUGUGACAACUUUGGCUUGUAUAAAAUAAAGGAGAUGCCCAGACCCAUUUUCUGCUUCUCUGGUGAGAGAGAGAGAGAGGAAUAAAAAUUAAAGCAAGGCAGGUCAUGAACUGUUGGCAGAUUUCCUGGCCUGCAAAAGCAUGGAAUGAUAUAAGGAGUUGAUGCUCAAGGCAAGUGUCUGAAUAUGACCUUGGUUGUAGGAAAGGGUUAUAGAUAUUAGGAUUGGCAAAUAUAUCUUAUGUGUAUAUAUUUCUGCAAUUGCUUCUGUUUGUUGUGGUUUUGUUUCCCAUGGUAGUGAUUAUAUAAAAGGCUAUGAAAAUACUCUUGUUGCUGGCUUAGUAUUGACCUAUAGUCUUCUUGAAAAAGGAAAACGGGAAAGCUUCAAUAUUUCCCCCACAUACUAUUAUUAUUUCAAAGUUCAGAAUUUUAACAAUUGAGUUCUGAUAAGUAAUUGAAUCAUUCACAGUUUAUAAUUCAGUCACCAGCUUAAGACUUUAAUUUACCUUUGGUUGUCUUUUAAAUAUAAACUUAAUGAUGCUUCUCAUCAUACUAAAACCAUCUGUGUUCUAUCUUUAUAUCUAUAGCUGUAAACCUAUAAUUGUCAGUAGGUCUCAAAGGCAUGAGUCUACUCCUAUUGUCUAGCAGGACAACUACUUUUCUUGAAAUAUGGAUUUCAAUACAAUGGUAAAUACUAAUAUCUAUCCUUUUGUAAACUGAAGUUCAUAUAAGUCCUAAAAUCUGCCUGUCAGAGAUCAAAUGGACUCCACAUAAAGUACAGCUGACUGUUCUUUAAAUGGAAUUUUUCUUGGGACUUCUUACCUCCACAAUUGCUAGACAAUUUUAAUUUCUGUUCCUAGUCUAUAUUUGUCUCAGCAGAUUUUCAUUCAACACUCCAUGCAGGAAUUACCUGUGGAACUGCUGAACUCUAGACUUGUUGAAAGCUGAUGUUAACCACUUUAGUCGAUGUGAUUGCUUCAUGUCUUUUAUCUGUAUCAGCUAAUUAGAUGAUUUUGAUAAAUGCCCCAUUGCCCAGCCUUUGACUAGCAUUUCAGCCUCCCUGAACCCCCUCUUACAACGUCCUAAUGUCAGCAGGAAGCAGAUACAGAAGAGAGAUACGACAUCCACUGUCCCACUCUACAGGCUGAAAUGCUAAGUCAAAAAGGAACCUCCCUGGGCACACUCUGAAAACAACCCCAUGUCUCUUGUCAGGUUUUGUAAAUGCUUGUGUAUCCUUGCCUUAUAUGCUGAUUAUUGGACAAAUAAAUGUUGCUAUAUCUAGAGAAUUGUUUAAUAUAGCCUGUGAUUAUUGCACUGUUAGGAAUUGUAUAGGACCAGAUUCAGUGCAAUUUUCUUUGCCUAUAAUUAGACUAAUUGUGUAUCUGACAUUGUCCAAAGAAUUUCUGUUCUGGCACCUCACCAACUUUCAUUUGUUAUGCUUCUAGUUAAUGUUUUAGAACUCUAGUACUCUGAGUAAACUACAAAAACUCUAAGAAUUAGGUCAUGCUUUGGUAAGGAGCAAACAUAUGAUUGGGAUGAUCAUUGCCAGUAUUGUUGCUCUCAUAAUUGCCAGUGCUACUAAAUGUAACCAAAGCCCAGAGCAUAUAAUAGAUUUUGGAGAAAAGAAUAGAACAAAGAUUUGACACAUUGUGUGAUAUAGGACAGAUCAUUGGAGAUGAGGUCCAAGGCAUGAAAUUCUUGGAAUGUCAUGUUUGAUAUCAAUCUGUACAACUCUAAAACUAUAUAAUGAGAGCAUGUUUUGACCAGAGUUAAAUGGCACAUUCAAACUAUAUGGGAGAAUUUCAGUACUAAUUUCAAUUUAUUGACCCCGCAUCUGAGGUUAUAAGUUUAAUAAAUGCAAAUUCUGUGUGUUUUGAGGUUGCUAGCAUUGAAAAUUAUAUUCUGAAAAACUUAUAAGCCAUAUUUCCUUCAUGGUCUUCACUUACCUCUCAUAAUUGGCAUAGCAGUAUUUGGCUUUAAAAUCCUUUUCAUGACAUGUCUAUUAUCUGUUCUUUUUUAACUGAAUCAUCAGAGCACUUACAGAUGUCAAAGCACAGUUACAUAAAUUCAAGUUCCACUGUCUUCCCUAGCAUAAAUUGGUAAUCAGUAGCGGGUAAGAUUACCUUGUAAACCUUCUCAACCUAAUAAAGGCCAUGAGUAUAAGACUAUUUGUGUGCCAAUGAAGGGUAAGAGCUGUGAUUUCAGAUGGCAACCUAAGACAGGCACAACUUUCUGCUCCAUGACUGAAAAGGUGUGCACCUUUUAUACAUAAAAAUGGGAAAAUGGGGGUUGGGGAUUUAGCUCAGCGGUAGAGCGCUUGCCUAGGAAGCGCAAGGCCCUGGGUUCGGUCCCCAGCGCCGGAAAAAAAAAGAAAAAAAAGUCAAAAAUGGGAAAAUGUAGGGUGCACAUCCAAGUUAACUUUGGCUGACUCCAUGCUUAUGAUUAAUCAUGAAUGAGUCUGCUGACAACUGUCUUAUUUUUCAUUAAGACAUGUGUUAUAUCCUGCCAAGUGCUUCUGCUUAAGCAUAUGACCUUGUGAGACUGUUCAAGAUUGAAGGAAAUGGCCUUGGUAAUCCAUAGAUACUGUGUACCACAAAAUCACUAUGUAAUCAUUUGUGAUUAAUGUUUACCUUCCUGGAAUUGCUCAUGCUUUGAGUUGCUUGCCUUUAAAAGUCACUGAGAAAAUAUAAUCAGUGAACAGUAUUUACUGUUAGUUCUCCCGACUUCUAAUUUCUUUGACUCUUCUAUCCUAUCCCUACUCCCCUAGUCAUUAUGGCUUUCCCAGUGAAUGAAAAGCAGGCUCUGGCAAUAUGUAGUCCCAGAUAUUUUAAAAACUUAGACAGAAAAAUUACAAAUGUUAGGCACCCCUUGGUAACAAUGUGAAUGCCACUUAUUGCACCUAUUCUGAUAUCUUGCUGUACUGGUAAUUGUCAUAGUUCAUAGGAGUUUUAGGUGGGUACAACUAUUAAUAGCUUUCCUACUCUGUUUGAAAACACCAAACUGCCAUGGAGCUAUUUGUUGCUUUCUAUUAUUCUGGGCUGUAUUGGUGAGCUUAGUAGGUGGUUGUGUUUUGAUAUUUUAGUUCCUACUGUCAGUACUGAACAUAAAUAACUGUAUGUGUAUAGUUUGUUUGAAAACAAUUUCUCCCAAGUAAGAAAGAAAUAUUUUUUAAAAUACAAGAAGUAUACAGAACAUCAAGCAGAAAGGACCAGGAAAGAAAGCAAUCCAUGACACAUAAUAAUCAAAGAUUAAAUGUACUGAAAAGAAAAACACUAAAAGCUAUGAAAGAAAAAGACGAAGUCACACAUAAAGGUUCACACAUUAGACUAACACCUGAUUAAGGCUAAUUCAAGACAUGGAAAGUAGAAAAUUAAUGUAGCCAAAAAUUAAAGAAUUUUGUAUUAUAUUUAUAGUUCGUUAACUUUAUAUUAUACUAGGAAAUGAAUUUCUCAUGUCAGAGGAGUGAAUGUGUGACUUAGACAAGUCAAAGGACCUGCAGGGGACAGUCCUGAAAAAAAAUAAGAAGGCAUAAAAUGAUGAACUUUAGAGGGGUGUACUUCAGAAUAACAUUCUUUUCCCAAAUAGCCAAAUGAAAAACCCAGAACUUUGGUAAAUUCUGAGGUAAAGAAAAUACACUUAAGUUUAAUCAGUGGACUGUUAGUUGCUACUGACAUGUGAGUGCCACUUAUUGCACCUAUUCUGAUAUCUUGCUGUACUGGUAAUUGUCAUAAUUCAUAGGAGUUUCAGGUGGGUACAACUAUUAAUUGCUUUCCUAACAUAUCAACUUACCUACUGCUUGAUAUAGCAUAGAAUCUCAACUUCAAGUUAGAGGCUUCUAAGUUAUAUCCAGCAAGAAUCACUUUAAUGCUGAGAUAUGCCUGUGAGACUUAUUUAGCAACAGGCAAACAACCAGUCAACCUGAAACUUGUGCAUUUGGGGGAAAGUCAUUUCAAAUACUUUGAUUAUGGGAUGGAACUUUUUCUCUGAACACAAUUGAAAUCAUGUCUGAUACUAGAAAUCUAGUCAUAUUUAUGGGGCUAAUGAGGUGAUGGACCUUAAAAUUUAUCACAUCAGUUUACUAGGUCAGCCCAAUUCCUUACAGCAUUCUAAAUAUUACUCUUAUAUCCACAAAUAAUGGGGUCAUCACCCCUCAUCACAGAAACAUCCUUUUACAGAAAAUGGAGACCAUCACAGAAAACCAAAAACUGGACAACACAAUGACAAGAUAAAUGGAUUGUGGGAAACCCAGCACCAGUAGAUACAUGUACAUCAUAGGUCCACUGUCUAUAGUUCAGGGAACAUUACAGAAGUGGGGUUGCAAAGACCAUAAGAGCCAACAUAACUGAAAGUCUGUUUUGAAAUUGCCUCUCAGAAAAAAAAUGGAUGCAAAACCACAAUGAUGGUAAUAUCAAUGCAAUGAUAAAUUACAGAAAACUAAAAAAUUACAGACAACUAAAGAUGGUUGGAGAAAUAUUAUGUCUCUAAUAGAUUGUCCAAUAAAGAGCAUUCUAUUUGAAUGCCAUAUACACAAAAGAGAGCAAAAUAGAUUUGUUGUAUUUCUAUAUGUAUAUAUGUAUAUAUAUAUGCAAACAUGUAAAUUAAAACACACAUAUAUAACAAUACUGAAACAGUGACUUUGAGAUUGUGGUGCAUGUGAUGGACUGAAGAAGGGAGUGCUAUAAUUCAUUUUCAACAAAAUUUUAAAAUAAUAAUAGUAAUAGAAGUAAACGUAGAAUUUCUAUUAAUGGGAGUUCAGGAAGGUCCAAAGAAGAAUUACUGAGGAAAUUAAUUUCUUUACUGGAGGUUUUCUUUAAGAUUUCCAUAUCUCAUAUUUGUAUUAGAGAGUCUUUCUAGGAAGGCAAACUGUGAAAAAAGAAAGUUUGACUUUGAGAAAGAUGUCUCAGUUUAUGAAAAGAGAUACGACAAAUAUCUAUGUGGUUUGUGAGUAUGUGAAAUGCAUGUGUGAAUGCAGAAUUCACAUAUAUGUGAAUGUCUAUGGUGUGUGUGUAUAUAUGUGUGCGCACACACACAUGACUCUGUUCAUUUGUGUAUGCCACAAAGCCUCUGUUCAUUCCUGUCUCCAUCUCCCAUCUGCAGGCAGAAGCUUCUGGUUCGGAGAUGCUUCUGCUACAACACUCAGUUGUUUGGUUUUUAAUGUUUUGAUGACAUGAACUCAUAUCACAAAGCCUAUGUGUCUAUUGCUUUAGACACUGAACUACCUUUUUAGUCCAUUUUUUGUAUUGAUAAAAUUGUUAUCCAUAUCAAACUCAUCAUAUGUGAUGAUAAAUUUUGUUUGUUAAUGAAAUUUUAUCCAGAACUAUCUAUUACACAUGAUUCUAGGCACAACUCUGAAGGAUUAUUAAAUGUCAUCAACUUUGAACCUUGCUUCUGAGAAAUUAUUAGGAUUAGGUAAUUGAGGUGGAAAAAUAACGCUGUAAUUGGGCUAUACUAUUCUUUAGGCAUAGUUCCUGGAAUGUAUAUAAAGGAGAAUGCUCACUGAAUAUGAGCAUUCAUUGUCCUCUGCUUCUUUUUUUUUUAAAUACGUCUUUUUUUACCCCAGAGCUGAGGACUGAACCCAGGACCUUGCGCUUGCUAGGCAAACGCUCUACCACUGAGCUAAAUCCCCAACCUCUGCUUCUUAACUCAGUGAGUCACUUCACUACCUGUAAACUUCUGUCAUCAGAACAGAAUUGCAAAAGAAACUUUUUAAAAGUAUUUUUACAAUGCACAGAAGUAAGCCUGAUUUUAUUAAUUAAUUAGUUGAUUUUUAGCCAUUGGAAAAGUUAUGUGGCAAGAAUGGCUCAGUGGUUAAGAGCACUGACUGCUCUUCCAGAGGUCCUGAGUUCAAAUCCCAACCACCACAUGGUAGCUCCUAACCAUCUGUAAUGAGAUCUGAUGCUCUUUUCUGGUUUGUCUGAAGAAAGCUACAGUAUAUUUAUAUAUAAUAAAUAAAUCUUUAAAAAGUUGGGUAAGACAUAUCUCCAAAUUUCAUGUAUGGAGCAGAAUAUAGAAUACCAUUUUGAUAUUACUCCACUUACUUGUCUGUAGAACCUUCCUCCUGAGGAGAAGCAGAUGAAAUCUUUAAUACUUCAGCAUUAUCAUUAGACAAGAUUUUCUUACUGUGAUUAUCAAUGGCUUCUUUUAUUUUAUCUGUUUACCAACAGUAUUUAGUGAACCUGAUGAUGUUGUUAUGUCAUCAGAUCUAUUUGGAAAAUCUUUAUAAAAUAUAUUGUCAUCAUCCCCAUAUAUCUCAAGAGAGUUUUCAAUAAGAACUUUUACAAUAGCAAAAUGUAACACAAGGCAAAAACAAGAUCCUCAUUUCACAUAUUUUACAAAUUUAAAGUCAAGUAAAAAAAUUAAAAUAAAAAUUAUGAGGAAAAUAGCAGUUACUACAAAUAUAUAAAUCAAUGAAAUGAACUCUGAAAUGGAGACUCUAAGUUCUUUGCAUGUUACUAAAACUUGUUACAAUUGCAAAUAAAUUUGCAAACAAUAGAGAAACUACUAAAGCAAAGCAAAGUUUCAGAACUGAUAUGUUGCCAAGAAUAAUUAUAAAUGAAUUAAUUGCUUGAAGGAAUCUUGACUAUUUUGUGUUGUUUUUUGAGAGGCUUGUGGAGAGGAGAAGGAAUUUCAUUGAAUGGAGUUCCCCUUUUAUUCUAGGCACCUCAAUACUUGAUACAUUAUUUGUGACAACUUUUGAGUGGCUUAAUUGACUUGGACUUCCUGGAAGAAACUUAUCAUUGGUUAGAAUUUAGGGUUAUAAUUGCCAGGUGCUAUUUGCAGUGUACUCUCUCUACUUCAUGUUUUCGGUCCAAUUUGAGAGACAUCAGUUUUCAGCUUCCAGUUUCGUUGUCCUUGCUUCCUCUUUUGCUUCUCUGACAUAAUUUGAAGGAUUGUAAUAUCUCUGCUUCUCUUAGUGCCAAAUAAUCAUUUACUUGUAUAAGUUGUCUUGGUCAUGUUGUUUUAUUAAAGCAAUAAAAAGUUACUUAGAGGAGAAGUUGAUGAGAAAAGGGAAUAUAAAUUGAAAAAAUGUCUCCAUCAGAUUGGCUUAUUGUGUAGGGAAGUCUAUGUGACACUGUCUUGAUUAACAAUAUAAAUUUUAGGACCCAGACCUCCAGGAUGGAGUCACCUUGGUGCUAUUGGUCAGGCUAAGAAAAAAAUAUGAGGUACAGGUCAGUAGGCAGAACUACUACAUGGCUUCUGCUUAGGUUCUUGCCUCCAAGACCCUGCCUACUUCAGUUUAGGCCCUGAUAUUUCUCAGUAAUAAACUGUCAAAUAGAAGUAUAACAUGGAGUCCUCCACAAGUUGCUUUUCAACUGUGAAAAUAUAACCUGCCUUCCAUAAGUUGAUUUUUAAUCAGUGUUUUAUUACACCAAUAGUAGGAUGUUUAGAUAUUUUCUAAAUUGAAAAACAUUAAUGUCCCUUUUCUUCUGAGAUGGCGGAUUAAGUCAACUCUGUUAAUCUCGUGUUUCUUCCCAAGAUGAACAUCUUUAUGUUUGAGCAGUCUUGGACUAAAUAGGAGGGACAUGAUUCUCAGGAAAAUCACACUUAAAUGAUUGUCUUCUUUUAUGUGCACACUGUUCAGAAUACUUUUGCUUCCUUUUCUUCAUACCUGCUCCUACAAAGAAAUACAUUUUAAUAGAACUGUCCAUAUAGGGAAAAUCAUUAAUUUUUAUUAAGAGUGGAAAUACUAUUCCUUCACUUGAACUGAACAUGCAGUUUAACAUAGGGUUUGAUUUUAGAGUGCCAGUAGUUGUGUACUUUGGAGAAAAGAGUAUGUUAGUAGUCUAGGCCAAGUAGAGUCCUGGGUAAGAAAGCUAUUCAAACAAUGUCUUGUAUUAUCCUACUCCAGUGAGUCAUAUAACCAUGACUUCCUUCAUGUGGGCCUUAUUCCUGGAAGCUAUUGGUUAAAAUAUACCCUUGAUUUUUUUUAUUGUCUGUUGUUUUAUUACUUUUUAAAAUGUAAGAUCUUUAUUGAAUGUGUGUGAAUUUCUCAUCAUGCAACCCAAUAACUCCCCUUUUCCAAUCCCAUAUCUUCUCUCCCCUUAGAAAUCCCCCAAAUCCAAAAUUACAAAUUAAAUAAGUAUUUAAAUUAAAAUUAAAUUCUAAAAAUUAACUAAAACAAAUAAAAAUUCAUCUCUCUGAGAUGCGAUGUGCCAUGGUGUGUCACAUUGUCUAUACCCUUUUACCCAAAGAGUUUUACUUGCAAAUGUUCAUUGAAAUGAGUCAGUGGUCUAGUUCAAGGCCUCUGGAUUUUGCUACAUCAUCAAUAGUGGAAGCUCCAAGAGACUGUUCCCCUCCUAUAUUCUGUACUUCCUGAUGUUUCCCUUAGUCAUGGAGAUCCUUCAGCUUUGAAUCUGCAGGGCCAGCCCCUUUACAUGCUUCAGCAGCUGCACCUAUGUCCUCUACAUACAUGUAGCAUAUAUGCAGCUUGAUCUUCCUUUAGAUCCCUUAACAUUUAUUGUGGGGCCUUUCUAUGACUCUGUAGUCUGCCUCUGGAUCCCUUCCUUCUAGCUGGGAAGCCUUGUCUGGCUUCAGUGGGAGAAGAUGCACUUAGCCCUGUUGGAAAUUCAUGUAUGAAGGAGAUUUGGUAUCCAUCUGGUUUACUUCUCUGAAGAGGAGAAAUGGAGGGAAGAGGUUGUGGGGAUGGAAUUUGAAUAAGAAUGGGAGUGGUCUGCAAUUAAGAUAUAAAGUGAAUAAAUAAAUGAAUACAUAUAAGUUUAUAAUAAAAUUAAUAGUUACAGUAAAGCCAAGGUACAUAAGACUGAAAAUUAAUUAAUGCCAGCACACAUUAUUCUUUCUUGUAUAAGUAGGAGUUAGUGACAAAAUAUAGAACAUUCAGAAUAUAAUAUACACUUGUUAUUUAUCAUUACUCAUUAUAUUGCAUAUUUUGUAUUAUAAAACUGUGUACAAUUUGCUUUUAUAUGGCCAGAAAUGCAGUUGUUGUGAAUUUUUUCUUCAUUAUAAGAGUCUCACCACUAUGAAACAUAACUACUAUGUACCCCAACGUAGUAUGACAAUGAAAAAAAAAACAAAACAAACACAACACUAUAUAAACAUUAUUUUUCAACUUCAUUCUAUUUUAUUUGGAAUACCAUAAUAUGUGGAGCAUAUUGUUGACUAAAAUAUCAAUAUGUAAAAUCAAUAUCUAAAAAAUGAAAGAAAAAAUGAUUCACUUACUCAAACUACAUUAAUAAUCUCCCUUCUCAAACUUUCCUAAAACAGAUCAAUACAACUUCCUCUCUGAAUAGUGCAAAUCUAAGGUGUCCUUUAAAAGCAGUGAUAUCAUUGAAGUAUCCCCAAUACAUGGUUCACAAUGAGGACUUUGUUUCCAAAGGAAGAAAACAACUGAUCCCCUUAUUGGUUUUUUGAAAUCAUGUCUGAAAACUGAAUUGCUGGAAGUAGAAUUUCAUAGAAACUGAGGGGCUAUGUGAACAGAUCAUUGUAAGUGGCCAAGUGAUUCACGAAAGAGUCUUUAAUCUUGAAAAACAAAUGAAAAAGUUAUUUUAGGAGAAUAUAGUUUGUGGCAUCUGCAGUAGGAAACUAAACAGGAUUUUACGUUUGUUUUUCUAACUUUAAUGUUACUCAUGAAACUCUAUUAAAUACAAAGAAAAACCAAGAUAAAUGUUUAGUCAUCCAACUCAAUAUGCAAUCUCAAUUCAAAAGAAGACUAUAUAGCUGAAGUUUUGCCUUGUCCAGCCUCAGUGAGAGCAUGUGCCUAAACCUGAAGAGACUUGAUGUGUCAGGGUGAGAGAAUACCCAGGGCAUUCUAUCUCAGAGAGAAGGGGAUGGACAAUAUAAGGGAGAAAGAAGAGGUGGGCACCAUUCAGGUUGUAAAAUGAAUGAAUGAAUGAAUGAAUGAAUGAAUGAAUGAAUGAAAGAGUGGAUUCUUGCGUGCAAAAUGGCAAUAAUAAUAAUAACCAAUGAAACAGACAAACAUACAAAAACCAAACUGUUUAUCCUGGAAAUGAGCAAACUCAAUAAAUGGAGGGACAGAAAAUACCUCAUCCUGAUUGUUCAAUUGGGUGAAUAAGUACUUUUAGUUCAUAGUAAGGAAAGUUCUAAUAUGCAUGUACAUCUUUCUUACAGAACCGCCUGGAACAGGGUGAACUUUAUUACUGGAGCACCCUGGGUUGCAUUAAUAUGGUCUCACAGUUUCACAUCUGUUCUUUAAAUGUGUAAAUAAUCAAGUAUGUAAAUUAGUUGUAAACAGCACCUUGUUUAAUGGAUAAAAAUGUCACUUUGUUCAUGAAACACCACAAUCACCUUUUAUGUUGUACCAAGGAGAAAGUGAGAAAACAUGGAAUAUUCCCAGGGAUUCUUGUACCUUUAUAGUGCUCUGAAUGCACAUGGCUACCAUCAGGCACUGAUCUUCACUUUUGUCUGUGUGAUGUGACCCCAGCUUUCUGGAAAUGAGAGCCAGACCCAUUUGGCAAGAAGCAUGAUGAAGAAAGAACCAGUACUUUUGCCUAAUGCUACAAAACAUGCCUUCUCUCUCGAUGUCUGGGGCCAUAGCUGUACAGUCUACUGAGAGGCAAACUUAUCAUGUAGCCCAAUUAAAUUAAAAGGAUAAUAUUUGUUCUAGACUCAUUGAUUUUCCAUGGCAAGAUACAGGUUAAUAUUCUUAAUUAUUUGACCUUGGGUUUGGUUGGAAAUAUCUGAUUAAGAGAAAGUCUCUCUUUGGUAGAGAAGGAAAACAAUUUCAUGUAUCUACUGGACAGAGCACAACAUACAACUCUCAAUAACCUAUUAUAUGUCAGUGUUAUUAUUUUUGAGGAAUAUUUUGGAUAAGUGUGAUUUAAGACAUGUAUUUUGUAAAACACACUGUUAUCACUCUUGUUACUUGUUCUGUUGCUACAUCACAGGGUAUAGCUAGAGGCGAAAUGAAUGGCCGCAUUUGCAAUGCGAUUUGAUAUAUAAGGAAGUUAGUUUCCAACAGAAGGUGUUAAAACUGUGUCUUUGAGAUGAAUUUUUAGCUUAUCAGACUUUUAUCUACCAUACCUCUUAUCCUACGGUCUUAAUUUUCCUUAGUUGAAGGAAACUGUCAUCAUAAGUUUAUCGCAAGGAAAGAAAGUACAUAACUGAAAGGGAAUAAUAAUAAGAAAUACACAAUUUUUUAAAAAUAAAAAAAAUAAAUAAAUUGAAAAAAGAAAGAUGUUGAAUGUUUGGGAUGCAAAAUUCAUCUUUUCUUUUAAGACAGAUGCUGUAACGAACACUAAUUCUUCACUCCAAUCUACUUCUUGUUCAGUUUGAUACUUUUCCUUCAGGGACCAGUGCCAUUCAUUUGCUAGUGUUUUGAAUAUAUUAUCUGAAUCUUGUUUCUUUCCAGCAAUGAUAGAUAGCAUAUCCUAUAUGAGAGGAAGACAAGCGUCUAUUAUUAUGGAUCCAUACUUCUGAAGCACAAAUAUGUCUCUUAUUACGAACCAAAGACAAAGCAAUUAUGGGUACAGGGCUACAAAUGAGAGGAAUGUAAAAGACAUUGAAAUUUUUCUUUGUUAGCUUCCAAAUAUAUUUUUCCUCUACUCCAUUUUUCCCAAUGGGAAACAUUUGGGUUUUAUUGGAAUCACAUAAUUUUCAGCAUUUAAUCACACUUCUAAUCCCCAAGCAUUUUCGUAAAUCGUCCUCUCUUAUAAUUUCCUUUCUUGUAUAAAGAUACUUCUCAGGAAUUAUAUUCUCAGUUACAAUUGGGACAUUAUGCUUUCAUAGGUCAAAUUAUUAUUUUAUUUACUUUUCUUCUUGACCUUUGUUCUGAAUCCCAAAAUCUGUGUUUUUAAGAAAGCCUUUUCUCAAUACACUUCCUAGACUUUUAUUUCUGUUUUUGGUGACUUGUAUUUUUCAACUAUCUCUGUCUAAACAUGCUGUUCCAACCCAAACAAAUUUCAAUCCUCCUAUGGUUCACUUGGUAAAAAUGCUUACAAUUCCGAAGGUUAAUCCAUAUUUUUAAAACUCUCAAAGUUGUGAUGAUUACAAUCAUGAUUUCCAGAAACCUUUCCUGUAACAAACCUAAGGGGCAGCAAUGAAUAUCACAUGCCUAACAUAUAAACUUUUUCACAUGCAGCAUGAAUUCCUGGCAAAGUUAUAAUGCUAAAAUGGAUGCUGGACAGUAAAUAAAUCUUCCCAAUGGCAAUUCAGUAACUUAUUUAAAAUAGAUCAAGGCAUGUUAAGUGGCUUUUGAAUAUAGUCUACAUAUACAUAUAUAAAAUGAUUAAUAUAUAGCAAAGAUUAAUGCAUAUAUCUAAUUCAUUGGUAAUAUAAAAGUCUCUAGAUAUUUGGAAUUAUAAGAUCGAGUAAUUUCAGAGGCUAUGACAUUAAGGGAGACUCCAGAGAAAUAAGAGUGAUAAAGGAGCUGCAGUAAAUAGUAGUUGGUGACUCGGUGGAAAACAUCCAUAAAUCCAUUUCUCCAACAAGCUGGUGGGUUUGGGUCUUUGCUGCUGAAAUCCGUGCAAAAUGUGGGAAUACUAUUUAUUUUUAUUUUUAUUUUCUUCAAUUUUCUUUCAUGGCAUGAUUCAAACUUCAAUGGUAUCUCUAGUUUAAAAGGUCUUAAACUCAGGGAUAGGUUAUCUAAGAAUUCAUCACUUUGAUGAAAGAAUUUACUUAGAACAAAGGUCCCUAGAAAUUAUGCGAAGCAGGAUAGUUGUAAAACCCAAAAGGAAACUCACCAGUAUUGGAGAAGGAAGACUUCCGUCUUAACAGAUACUCGUGAGAGACUUGCCAAAGAGUUGUUUAUUGGUACUGGUGGAGUUUGAUAAUUCCCACCAAGCUGCUCUUUACUUGGUGCUGGUUGGGUUAUAUACACAUUGUCUUGGCUGGUAUCGGUGCUACAAGUAAUCCCCAGGUUUAAAAAAGAAGGUAUUUUCUUAGAUAAUCUCUGAAUCUAAGAAGUAAGGACGGUUGUUUUAAUUGAAGUCACCUGGCCCUUGCAUGCCAUUUUGAUAUUAUAGCAUGGAUUCCUUCUGCAUCCCCACAAAUACAAAGAAAAUAGCUGGUCAAUGUUAUAACAAUUAUAAUAAUGUCAUUGCUUACUAAUGCACUGCAUAUCUAGUUGUAUGUGACCCAUAAUUCUGGUAUAAUCAGGAAAUUCUUGUGUUUGCCUUGAAAGCGAUACACGCAGGUAUUAUAGUACUGAUCUUUUAGUUGUCCUGCGUGACUUUCUGACUGAACAGCCAUGGGAAAAUGUAAACAGAAAUAUUAUCAUUUUACAAAACAACUUGCUUGACUGCAUUUCUAUGACAGACCUUGGCUUUACCCUAUGAACUCUGAACUUAAAUAUGAGAUCAUAAAUCUCUCCCCUAUGGGUAUGUUAUGCUAUAUUAAGACUUCCGUAAGAGACAAGCAAGAUGGCACAUGCCUUUAAUCCCAGAUCCUAGGAAGUAGGGCUAAGAGACUCUCUCCGAGUUUGAGGCCAGCCUGGAUUACAAAGCACUUUAUAGCACAGCAGAGCUGUUACAGAGUAUAAAGUGAUUUGCCAAUGGGUUGCUAAUUUAUGUAGUCUAAAACUAUAUGUUAAGACCCAAUAUAACAAACUAAGUGACAUUUCUAUACAUAUAAUUAAUUAAUUAAUUAAUUUCUUGGAUUUAUAUCUUAGCUAUACUCAGGACCACUAGAAAGAGAUACCAAAAUUUCGAGGCAAAUAAGUGAAGUUUUCCUUCAUAUUUUUUGUGUAAUUCUUAGUGCUAUUUGUUAUAAAUCAUAUUUUCAGGGUUAAAUCAUUCUACCUUUUAAGUUAUGGUAAGAGAACCUCUAUGCACACCUAUAAUCCCCUCAUUGUGAAGAGGAGCAUCUGGAAUUCUGGACAGUACAUUAAGGCCAGGGCAUAUUGUUCGACUGGGGCAACUGCUGUGUCCGUUUUCCUUUAUCUCUCUCAUGCUAGAAAGAUUAUUCCAGUAAUGAGAAACCGUUCCUCCAGAUGGGAAAAAUAAUGCAUUCUCAUAAUAAAUUUUAGCCAAGUCUUCUCCGAAUAAUUUUGGGGAGAUUUCAAUCACAAACUUUACUAGAGAAAUCUGUGACAACGUGGGGCAAACACACAGGGUCUCUGUCAUUUUUCAGUAGUUGAAAAUCACUUCUGUAAUACCUCUACAUCUCUUAGUGCCAAAUAGUCACAUACUUGUAUAAGUUGUCUUGGUCAUGCUGUUUUAAUAAAGCAAUAAAAUAUCACUUAGAGAAGUUGGUGAGAAAAGGGAAUAUUAACUGAGAAAAUGUCUCCAUCAGACAGGUCUAUAGUAUAGGGAAGUCUAUGUGACAUUGUCUUGAUUAAUAAUGGAAAUAUUAGGGCCCAGAUCUCCAGGAUGGUGACACCUUGGCGCUAUUGGUCAGGCUAAGAAAAAUAUAUGAGGUACAGGUCAGUAGGCAGAACUACUACAUGGCUUCUGCUUAGGUUCUUGCCUCCAAGAUCCUGCCUACUUCAGUUUAGGCCCUGAUAUUUCUCAGUAAUAAACUGUCAAAUAGAAGUAUAACAUGGAGUCCUCCACAAGUUGCUUUUCAACUAUGAAAGUAUAACCUGCCUUCCAUUAGUUCCUUUUUUAACAGUGUUUUAUUACACAAAUAGUAACAUGUUUAUAUACUUUCUAAAUUCAACAACACUGAUGUCCCUUUUCUUCUGAGAUAGCAGGUCAAGUCAACUCAACUCAUAUUUCUUCCCAGGAUGAACAUCUUUAUGUUUGAGCAGUCUUGCACUAAAUAGAAAUGAAAUGAUUCUCAGGAAAAUCACAUUCAAAUGAUUGUCUUCUUUUAUGUUCACAUUGUUCAGAAUACUUCUUCUUUUUCUUCAUACUUGAUCCUACAAAGGAAUACAUUUUAAUAGAACUGUCCAUAUAGGGAGAAUCAUUAAUAGUAAGAGUGGAGAAAUAUUUUAUUCCUUCAUUUGGACAGAACAUACAAUUUAACAUACGGUUUUAUUUUAGAUUGCCAGUAGCUGUGCACCUUGGAGAAAAGAGUUUGUUAGUAGUCUAAGCCAAGUAAAGUCCUGGGUAAGAAAGAUAUUCAAACCACUUCUUGUAUCAUCCUACUCCACUGAGUCAUAUGACCAUGAUUUCCUUCAUGUGGGCCUUAUUCCUGGAAGCUAUUGGUUAAAAUAUACCCUUGAUUUCUUUUAUUGUCUGUUUUUUACUUUUUAAAAUGUAAGUUCUUUAUUGAAUGUGUGAAUUUCUCAUCAUACAACCCAAUACCUCUCCUAUUCCAAUCCCAUAUCUUCUCUCCGCUUAGAAAUUCCCCAAAUCCAAAAUUACAAAUUAAAUAAGUAUUUAAAUUAAAAUUAAAUUCUAAAAAUUAACUAAAAGUUAAAAAUUCCUCUCUGUGAGAUGCGAUGUGCCAUGGUGUGUCACAUUGUCUAUACCCUUUUACCCAAAGAGUUUUACUUGCAAAUGUUCAUUGAAAUGAGUCAGUGGUCUAGUUCAAGGCCUCUGGAUUUUGCUACAUCAUCAAUAGUGGAAGCUCCAAGAGACUGUUCCCCUCCUAUAUUCUGUACUUCCUGAUGUUUCCCUUAGUCAUGGAGAUCCUUCAGCUUUGAAUCUUCAGGGCAAGCCCCUUCAAAUGCUUCAGCAGCUACACCUAUUUCCUCUACAUACAUGUAGCAUAUAUGCACCUUAAUCUUCAUUUAGAUCCCUUAACAUUUAGUAUGGGGCCUUUCUAUGACUCUGUUUUCCAUCUCUGGGUCCCUUUAUUCUAGCUGGGAAGCCUUAUCUGUUCUGAGUGGGUGAAGGUACACUUAGCCCUGUUGCAAAUGACGUAUGAAGGAGAUUUGGUAUCCAUCUGGGUUCGAUACGUCUCUGAAGAGGAGAAAUGGAGGGAGGAGUUUGUGAGGAUGGGAUUUGGAUAAGAAUGGCAGUGGUCUGCAAUUAAGAUAUAAAGUGAAUAAAUAAAAGAAUACAUAUAGGUUUAUAAUGAAAUUAUUAGUUACAGUAAAGCCAAGGUACAUAAGACGGUAAGCAAAAUCUUACUGGCAUAAAUUAUUCUUUAUUUUAUAAGUAGGUGUUAGUGCUAGAAUAUAGAACAUUCAGAGUAUAAUGUACACAUGUAAAUUAUCAUUAUGCAUUAUAUUGCAUAUUUUGUAUGAUACAAUUGUGUACAAUUGCCUUUUAUAUGACUAAAAAUGCAGUUCAUGUGAAUAUUUUUCUUCAUUAUAAUUGUCUCGGGGUUGGGGAUUUACCUCAGUGGUAGAGCGCUUGCCUAGGAAGCGCAAGGCCCUGGGUUCGGUCCCCAGCUCCGAAAAAAAGAACCAAAAAAAAAAUAAUUGUCUCACCACUAUGAAACAUGACUAUUAUGUAACUCAAAGUAAUGGUGCAAUAAUAAAACAAAGUGAACACAGCAUUAUGUAGUCCAUAUUUUUUUCAAAUUCAUUCCAGUUUCCUUGGAAUACCAUAAUAUGUGGAGCAUAUUGUUGACUAAAAUAUCAAUAUGUAAAAUCAAUAUCUAAAAAAUGAAAGAAAAAAUGAUUCACUUACUCAAACUACAUUAAUAAUCUCCCUUCUCAAACUUUCCUAAAACAGAUCAAUACAACUUCCUCUCUGAAUAGUGCAAAUCUAAGGUGUCCUUUAAAAGCAGUGAUAUCAUUGAAGUAUCCCCAAUACAUGGUUCACAAUGAGGACUUUGUUUCCAAAGGAAGAAAACAACUGAUCCCCUUAUUGGUUUUUUGAAAUCAUGUCUGAAAACUGAAUUGCUGGAAGUAGAAUUUCAUAGAAACUGAGGGGCUAUGUGAACAGAUCAUUGUAAGUGGCCAAGUGAUUCACGAAAGAGUCUUUAAUCUUGAAAAACAAAUGAAAAAGUUAUUUUAGGAGAAUAUAGUUUGUGGCAUCUGCAGUAGGAAACUAAACAGGAUUUUACGUUUGUUUUUCUAACUUUAAUGUUACUCAUGAAACUCUAUUAAAUACAAAGAAAAACCAGGAUAAAUGUUUAGUCAUCCAACUCAAUAUGCAAUCUCAAUUCAAAAGAAGACUAUAUAGCUGAAGUUUUGCCUUGUCCAGCCUCAGUGAGAGCAUGUGCCUAAACCUGAAGAGACUUGAUGUGUCAGGGUGAGAGAAUACCCAGGGCGUUCUAUCUCAGAGAGAAGGGGAUGGACAAUAUAAGGGAGAAAGAAGAGGUGGGCACCAUUCAGGUUGUAAAAUGAAUGAAUGAAUGAAUGAAUGAAAGAGUGGAUUCUUGCGUGCAAAAUGGCAAUAAUAAUAAUAACCAAUGAAACAGACAAACAUACAAAAACCAAACUGUUUAUCCUGGAAAUGAGCAAACUCAAUAAAUGGAGGGACAGAAAAUACCUCAUCCUGAUUGUUCAAUUGGGUGAAUAAGUACUUUUAGUUCAUAGUAAGGAAAGUUCUAAUAUGCAUGUACAUCUUUCUUACAGAACCGCCUGGAACAGGGUGAACUUUAUUACUGGAGCACCCUGGGUUGCAUUAAUAUGGUCUCACAGUUUCACAUCUGUUCUUUAAAUGUGUAAAUAAUCAAGUAUGUAAAUUAGUUGUAAACAGCACCUUGUUUAAUGGAUAAAAAUGUCACUUUGUUCAUGAAACACCACAAUCACCUUUUAUGUUGUACCAAGGAGAAAGUGAGAAAACAUGGAAUAUUCCCAGGGAUUCUUGUACCUUUAUAGUGCUCUGAAUGCACAUGGCUACCAUCAGGCACUGGUCUUCACUUUUGUCUGUGUGAUGUGACCCCAGCUUUCUGGAAAUGAGAGCCAGACCCAUUUGGCAAGAAGCAUGAUGAAGAAAGAACCAGUACUUUUGCCUAAUGUUACAAAGCAUGACUUCUCUCUCGAUGUCUGGGGCCAUAGCUGUACAGUCUACUGAGAGGCAAACUUAUCAUGUAGCCCAAUUAAAUUAAAAGGAUAAUAUUUGUUCUAGACUCAUUGAUUUUCCAUGGCAAGAUACAGGUUAAUAUUCUUAAUUAUUUGACCUUGGGUUUGGUUGGAAAUAUCUGAUUAAGAGAAAGUCUCUCUUUGGUAGAGAAGGAAAACAAUUUCAUGUAUCUACUGGACAGAGCACAACAUACAACUCUCAAUAACCUAUUAUAUGUCAGUGUUAUUAUUUUUGAGGAAUAUUUUGGAUAAGUGUGAUUUAAGACAUGUAUUUUGUAAAACACACUGUUAUCACUCUUGUUACUUGUUCUGUUGCUACAUCACAGGGUAUAGCUAGAGGCGAAAUGAAUGGCCGCAUUUGCAAUGCGAUUUGAUAUAUAAGGAAGUUAGUUUCCAACAGAAGGUGUUAAAACUGUGUCUUUGAGAUGAAUUUUUAGCUUAUCAGACUUUUAUCUACCAUACCUCUUAUCCUACGGUCUUAAUUUUCCUUAGUUGAAGGAAACUGUCAUCAUAAGUUUAUCGCAAGGAAAGAAAGUACGUAAGUGAAAGGGAAUAAUAUUUGAAAUGUAAAUAAGAAAUACACAUUUUUUAAAAAUUAAAUAAAUAAAUAAAUAAAUAAAUAAAUAAAUAAAUAAAUGAAAAAAGAAAGAUGUUGAGUGUUUGGGAUGCAAAAUUCUUCUUUUCUUUUAACACAGAUGCUGUAACUAACACGAAUUCUUCAUUCCAAUCUACUUCUUGUUCAGUAUCAAACUUUUCUUUCAGGGACCAGUACCAUUCAUUUGCUAGUGUUUUGACUAUAUUAUCUGAAUAUUGUUCCUUUCCAGCAAUGAUACAUAGCAUAUCCUAUGUGAGAGAAAGACAAGCUUCUAUUAUUAUAGACCCACACUUGUGAAGCACAAGCCAUGGCAAUUAUGGGUGGAGGGCUACAAAUGAGAGGAACGUAAAAGUCAUUGAAAUUUUUCUUUGUUAGCUUCCAAAUAUAUACUCCCCUAAUCCAUUUUCCCCAAUUUGAAACAUUGGGUUUUAUUGGAAUCACAUAAUUUUCAGCAUUAAAUCACACUUCUAAUCCUCAAGCGUUUUGGUGAAUGGUCCUCUCUUACAUUUUCUUUUCUUCUAUGAAGGGCCUUCUCAGGAAUUACAUUCUCAGUUACUAUUGGAUGAUUUUUCAUUCAAAGAUCAAAUUAUUAGUUUAUUUACUUUUCUCCUUGGCCUUUGUUCUGAAUCCCAAAAUCUGUUUUUAAGAAAACCUUUUCUCAAUAUACUUCCUAGACUUUUAUUUCCUUUUCCAGUGACUUCUAAUUUUCAACUAUCUCUGUCUAAAUAUGCUGUUCAAACCCUAGCAAAUUUCAAUCCUUCUAUGGUUCACUUGGUAAAAAUGCCUACCAUUCCAAGUGUUAUUCCAUAUUUUUAAAACUUCCAAAGUUGUGAUGAUUACAAUCAUGAUGAUUUCCAGAAACCUUUCCUGUAACAAACCUAAGGGGCAGCAAUGAAUAUCACAUGCCUAACAUAUAAACUUUUUCACAUGCAGCAUGAAUUCCUGGCAAAGUUAUAAUGCUAAAAUGGAUGCUGGACAGUAAAUAAAUCUUCCCAAUGGCAAUUCAGUAACUUAUUUAAAAUAGAUCAAAGCAUGUUAAGUGGCUUUUGAAUAUAGUCUACAUAUACAUAUAUAAAAUGAUUAAUAUAUAGCAAAGAUUAAUGCAUAUAUCUAAUUCAUUGGUAAUAUAAAAGUCUCUAGAUAUUUGGAAUUAUAAGAUCGAGUAAUUUCAGAGGCUAUGACAUUAAGGGAGACUCCAGAGAAAUAAGAGUGAUAAAGGAGCUGCAGUAAAUAGUAGUUGGUGACUCGGUGGAAAACAUCCAUAAAUCCAUUUCUCCAACAAGCUGGUGGGUUUGGGUCUUUGCUGCUGAAAUCCGUGCAAAAUGUGGGAAUACUAUUUAUUUUUAUUUUUAUUUUCUUCAAUUUUCUUUCAUGGCAUGAUUCAAACUUCAAUGGUAUCUCUAGUUUAAAAGGUCUUAAACUCAGGGAUAGGUUAUCUAAGAAUUCAUCACUUUGAUGAAAGAAUUUACUUAGAACAAAGGUCCCUAGAAAUUAUGCGAAGCAGGAUAGUUGUAAAACCCAAAAGGAAACUCACCAGUAUUGGAGAAGGAAGAUUUCCAUCUUAACAGAUACUCGUGAGAGACUUGCCAAAGAGUUGUUUAUUGGUACUGGUGGAGUUUGAUAAUUCCCACCAAGCUGCUCUUUACUUGGUGCUGGUUGGGUUAUAUACACAUUGUCUUGGCUGGUAUCGGUGCUACAAGUAAUCCCCAGGUUUAAAAAAGAAGGUAUUUUCUUAGAUAAUCUCUGAAUCUAAGAAGUAAGGACGGUUGUUUUAAUUGAAGUCACCUGGCCCUUGCAUGCCAUUUUGAUAUUAUAGCAUGGAUUCCUUCUGCAUCCCCACAAAUACAAAGAAAAUAGCUGGUCAAUGUUAUAACAAUUAUAAUAAUGUCAUUGCUUACUAAUGCACUGCAUAUCUAGUUGUAUGUGACCCAUAAUUCUGGUAUAAUCAGGAAAUUCUUGUGUUUGCCUUGAAAGCGAUACACGCAGGUAUUAUAGUACUGAUCUUUUAGGUUCCUGCGUGACUUUCUGACUGAACAGCCAUGGGAAAAUGUAAACAGAAAUAUUAUCAUUUUACAAAACAACUUGCUUGACUGCAUUUCUAUGACAGACCUUGGCUUUACCCUAUGAACUCUGAACUUAAAUAUGAGAUCAUAAAUCUCUCCCCUAUGGGUAUGUUAUGCUAUAUUAAGACUUCCGUAAGAGACAAGCAAGAUGGCACAUGCCUUUAAUCCCAGAUCCCAGGAAGUAGAUUUAAGAGAAUCUCUCCGAGUUUGAGGUCAGCCUGAACUACAAAGCAAGUUACAGCACAGACAGAGCUGUCCCAAAGAGUAAACCUGAUUUUCCAUUGGGUUGCUAUUUUGCGUAUAUAAAAAUGUAUGUUUAGACUUUAUAUAUUAAAGUAAGUGACAUUCCAUUACAUAUAAUUAAUAAAUUUCUUGGAUUUACAUCUUAGCUAAACUCAAGACCACUGGAAAGAGAUACCAAAAUUUGGAGGCAAAUUGUAACAAUAGAAUUUCUUUUAACAUGCAUAAGUGAAGUUUUCCUUCACAUUUUUAGUAAAUUCUAAUUGCUUUUUGUUAUAAAUCAUAUUUUCAGGGCUAAAUAAUUUUACCUUUUAAGUUAUGGUAGGAGAACCUCCUAUGCACACCUAUAAUCCCCUCAUUGUGAAGAGGAGCAUCUGGACUUCUGGACAGUACAUCAAGGCUGGGGCAUGUCAUUCCACUGGGUCAAAUGCUGUGUCCAUUUUCCUUUAUCUCUCUCAUGAUAGAUUAUUCCAGUAAUGAGAAACCUUUGCUCCAGAAGGGAAAAAUAAUGCAUUCUCAUAAUAAAUUGAAGCCAAGUCUUCGCCAAAUAAUUUUGGGGAAUUUUCAAUCAGAAGUUUUACAAGAGAAAUCUGUGACAACGUGGGGCAAACACACAGGGUCUCUGUCAUUUUUCAAUAGUUGAAAAUCACAUCUGUAAUACCUCUACAUCUCUUAGUGCCAAAUAGUCACAUACUUGUAUAAGUUGUCUUGGUCAUGCUGUUUUAAUAAAGCAAUAAAAUAUCACUUAGAGAAGUUGUUGAGAAAGGGAAUAUUAAUUGAGAAAAUGUCUCCAUCAGACCGGUCUAUAGUAUAGGGAAGUCUAUGUGACAUUGUCUUGAUUAAUAAUGGAAAUAAUAGGGCCCAGAUCUCCAGGACUGAGCCACCUUGGCGCUAUUGGUCAGGCUAAGAAAAAUAUAUGAGGUACAGGUCAGUAGGCAGAACUACUACAUGGCUUCUGCUUAGGUUCUUGCCUCCAAGAUCCUGCCUACUUCAGUUUAGGCCCUGAUAUUUCUCAGUAAUAAACUGUCAAAUAGAAGUAUAACAUGGAGUCCUCCACAAGUUGCUUUUCAACUAUGAAAGUAUAACCUGCCUUCUAUAAGUUGCUUUUUAAUCAGUGUUUUAUUACACCAAUAGUAGCAUGUUUAUAUACUUUCUAAAUUGAACAACACUGAUGUCCUUUUUCUUCUGAGAUGGCGGGUUAUGUCAACUCUGUUCAUCUCGUGUUUCUUCCUAGGAUGAACCUCUUUAUGUUUGAGCAGUCUUGCACUAAAGAGGAAUGAAAUGAUUCUCAGGAAAAUCACACUUAAAUGAUUGUCUUCUUUUAUUUGCACAUUGUUCAGAAUACUUUUGCUUCUUUUUCUUCAUACCUGAUCCUACAAAGAAAUAUAUUUUAAUAGAACUGUCCAUAUAGAGAGAAGGAUUACUAAUUAUUAAGAGUGGAGAAAUAUAUUUUAUCCCUUCAUUUGGACAGAACAUGCAGUUUAAUAUAGGGUUCGAUUUUAGAUUGCCAGUAGCUGUGUACUUUGGAGAAGAGUAUGUUAGUAGUCUAAGCCAAGUAAAGUACUAGGUAAGAAAGCUGUUCAAACCAUGUCUUGUAUCGUCCUACUCCACUGAGUCAUGUAACCAUGAUUUCCUCCAUGUGGGCCUUAUUCCUGGAAGCUAUUGGUUAAAAUAUACCCUUGAUUUCUUUUAUUGUCUGUUGCUUUUUACUUUUUAAAAUGUAAGUUCUUUAUUGAAUGUGUGUGAAUUUCUCAUCAUACAACCCAAUACCUCUCCCAUUCCAAUCCCAAAUCAUCUUUCCCCUUAGAAAUCCCCCAAAUCAAAAUUUAUAAAUGAAACAAGUAUUGAAAUUAAAAUUAAAUUCUAAAACUUAACUAAAGCAGAUAAAAAUUCAUCCCCAUGAGAUGUGAUGUGCCAUGGUGUGGUGUGUCACAUUGUCUAUACCCUUUACCAAAGCAGCUUUACUUGCAAAUGUUCAUUGAAAUGAGUCAGUGGUCUAGUUCAAGGCCUCUGGAUUUUGCUACAUCAUCAAUAGUGGAAGCUCCACGAGACUGUUCUCCUCCUAUAUCUGUACUUCCUGAUGUUUCCCUUAGUCAUGGAGAUUCUUCAGCUUUGAAUCUGCAGGGCCAGCCCCUUCACAUGCUUUAGCAGCUGCACCUAUGUCCUCUACAUACAUGUAGCAUAUAUGCAGCUUGAUCUUCAUUUAGAUCCCUUAACAUUUAGUGUGGGGCCUUUCUAUGACUCUGUUGUCCAUCUCUGGGUCCCUUUCCUCCAGCUACAAAGCCUUGUCUGUCCUGAGUGGGUGAAGAUCACUUAGCCCUGUUGUAAAUGAUGUAUGAAGGAGAUUUUGUAUCCCUCUGUGUUCUAUACUUCUCUAAAGAGAAGUAUAAAUGGAGGGAGGAGGUUGUGAGGAUGGGAUUUGGAGAAGAAUGGGAAUGGUCUGCCAUUAAGUUUAAAAGUGAAUAAAUAAAUGAAUAUACAUAGGUUUAUAAUAAAAUUAUUAGUUACAGCAAAGCAAAGGUACAUAAAACUGUAAAUGAAAUCAUACCAGCAUACAUUAGUCUUUCUUAUAUAAGUCGAAGUUAGUGCUAAAAUAUAGAACAUUCAGAGUAAUAUACACUUGUUAAUUAUCAUUAUGCAUUAUAUUGCAUAUUUUAUUUUAUAAUGUGUACAAUUUGCUUUUAUAUGACCAGCAAUACAGUCGAUGUGAAUAUUCUGCCUCAUUAUAAUAGUCUAAUCACUAUGAAACACGACUAUUAUGUAACCCAAAGUAGUGGUACAAUAAUAAAACAAAGCAAACACAGCAUUAUGUAAUCAGUAUUUUUUUCAACUUCAUUCUAGUUUCCUUGGAAUGCCAUAAUAUGUGCAGCAUAUUGUUGACUAAAACAUCAAUAUGUAAAAUCAAUAUCUAAAAAAUGAAAAAAAGAAAUGAUUCACUUAUUCAAACUACAUUAACAAUCUCCCUUCUCAAUCUUUCCUGAAUAGAUCAAUACCUCUUCCUCUCUGAGUAGUGCAAAUCGAAGGUAUGCUUUAAAAGCAAUGAUAUCAUUGAAGUAUCCCCAAUACCUGGCUCAUAAUGAGGACUUUGUUCCCAAAGGAAGAAAACAACUGAUCCCCUUAUUGAUAUUUUGAAAUCAUGCCUGAAAAUUGAAUUGCUGGAAGUAGGAUUUCAUAGAAAUUGAGGGGCUAUGUGAACAGAUAAUUGUAAGUGUCCAAGUGAUUCAUGGAAGAGCCUUUAAUCUUGAAUAACAUAUGAAUAAGUUGUUUUAGGAGAAUAUAGUUUGUUUUUGGCAUCUGCAAUAGAAAACUAAACAGGAUUUUAUGUUUGUUUUUCUAACUUUAAUGUUAUUCAUGAAACUCUACUUAAUACAAAGAAGUAUCAGGGUAAAUGUUUUGAAAACCAACUCAGGAUAAUCCUGUAUUCCUGUCUCAUUGUAAAGAUUUACCAAAGCUAGGCAUAAGAUAUAUAUGUCAUAUUGCCUCUUUGGUGUUAUUUUUGCUUAUCCUCUAUUGCAGGAAAUAGGCAUUAGAUACUUGGGGCUAUGUCAACAGAUAAAUUAUAAGCUGUCAUCUGACUCACAGAAAAUUUUCUGUCAAUUAGGUCUAAUAUUCUCAAAAGUUGUCUUAAAAGAGUAACUUUUGGGUAUAGUAGUUUUUGUAAAAGACUGAACACAGAGACAGUUAUUUUAAGACAAGUUUACUCAAUCUGUAAAUAUGAAGAAAGGGAACAGAGUAAUUGUAUUUCAGUUUGUACUAGAAAUAUUGCUUCAUACCGUCCCCACCCCCAAGAGAAAAAAGGAACAAAUUUAAUUUGAACAUAAAGUUGAGAUUAUAAGUAGGGGUCAUUGUGACCCCUCAAGUUAUACUUCUCUUUGAAAAUGUCUUUGAAAUGUGAACAAAAGACACCUUUUGCUGUCAUUGAGUACUUUUUGUAACUAUUUCAUAUAUAAUCUCUAAUGUGUGAAAGCAAAUAUUACUUCUACUAUGAUGAUAUUGUUCACCAGCUGUUACCUCUGCACAGUGGCUACUUUCUCUUCUUCAUUGACCUGGUCAAGUACCCCAAGCCAUUCUUCAUAUAGUCUAGAUGUCAUCAGACUUUCUUAGAUAUUUUGAAGGAAUUCAUUAUAAAGAGAAAAAAUAUAUUUUGGGGAAAAUGAUAUAAAUUUCUCAAUACACAUUCGAGUCUAAAUUUAUGUUGAGUUUUAACUUUCUUCACAGCUAACAAACUUUAUCCCAACUAGGGCAUUUUCUGGUAUAUAGGACCAAUAAGUUUAAUCCUUCAAAUCUAGAAACUAAGAGCAGAUUUUCAGAUGUGCUCGGAUUGCAGAAAAAUGUCUUCUUUGCUCAAGGUGCCUCUCAUGAACAGCUGAGCAAUCUAGUACAGAUAAGAGACCAAUUACUCAACUUGAAUACUCUUUCUAAAUGAUACAAACAUACAAUAAUUUAAUGAAAACAAGAACAACCAUAGUACGCUAUUAUUUCAAUUCUAAGGUGCAGGAAAUCAUGCUUGUCACUGGAAGCAUGAGGUCACAUGAGGUCAUGUUUCUUAGAGUAGGUCCUGUUACCAAACAACUGUGAUUCCCAGCUCUAUUCUAAAUAUUUAAGCUAAUAUUCACAGAUAAUAUAGCCCUUACCCAUCCAUCAAAGAAGGUUGUCUUUGCAGUGGAUGGAGACUAUUAGAGGAAACCACAGCUACUCAAAGCAAAUAGAACAAAAUACCCUGUGGCUCUGAGCUACAGGGUAUACAUAUACAUAGUAACUCCUGAACCAUAGACUCUGAGCAUUGGGUAAAGUAUCAAAAAAAUGUACACCAGAGUAUCAGGAACUUUGCUUUGAGAUUGGAUCUCAUAGAAAUGAAACAGAGACUUCACUUUUGAUAGGCCAACAAUAUCAUUGCUUAAACAAUUUCUAAACAAAACAUCAUCAAAGUUAGUUACAUUAAUGCAGAAUGAGGGAAUCUCAUGACACAAAACUUCCCGAUAAAGAACUGUAGGCACAUAAAGACUACUGAGAGUGAAUAUGUUAGCCUUUCCCAAAAAUUAACUCCAUUAAUUGUAAGCCAAUCACGGUUGGUUAUCUCAGAAAUAGUAUAUACACUACCAAGAAUAAUGAACUCAUCAGAUUUUUUAAAAUAUUUUGGAUUUAUCUAUCUAUAUAAUUAUAACAGUUAAAGAAAUUGGGACAUGAACUUGAGCAUAAGUGGGAGAUUGAGGGGACACAACAAUAAAGCCAAGGAAAAGGUGGAGGAAAAUAAUAUGAUUGAAUUUUAAUUUUAAUGAUAAAAUAGUUAUCAUUUUAUGGUGCAGAAGUGAAGGCCUCGGUGGUAAAGAAUACCUGUUUCACAGACAAGAGGACCUGCAUUUGAGUACCUAUAUUUUGUGAACAGAAACAAGCAGAUCAGGAGAUCCUACUUGGUAUGUGUAGAGAAGAUCUAUGUUAAGGAGUCACAUGCUUUAUACUGAGGAAGAGAAGCCUGACUCUCAGACAUAAUGUAGAGAGUGAUAGAGGAUGAACACCCCUUGUAGCCAAAUGCCUUAGAUUAGGUUUGCAUACCUGGUGCAACUCAUAUGCAUGUAUGAAGUGACCCUCCCUGUGUCCACAUGGAGGAAUUAAAUGAAAGAUACUUAGUUACAUUACUGCUCAUUAUGGCUGGUUUUUCUUUGAAUCCCUAUUUCUUAUUCUGUAUUAGAGGAACCUUUGUAGUUACCAGAUUUCUCUCACACGCAUCUAUUCUGAGUCAAGGGAAUGUAUGAUGAAGUAAACUACUCACAUCGAUUAGGAGGAAUUUUGACGGUCGAUGAUGCAAGGACUUUCUCUAUCUUUAAGAUACAUGCCACCAUAUGCGCAGGUCAAUUUUUUUAUGCUUAUACCUUCUCCAUAACCCAAAUUUCCUUUACUGUUUGGCAUGAUGUUAUGUUGGGUGAUAUUGUGAAUAUACCCUCAGUUUUGGUUCCUUUUUCUUUUAUGAGGGACAGCAUAUCCUGAGAGGAAAAUGGGAAAUACCUGUCAUGCCAUAUGCAGCACAGAGCACAAUUUACUUCUUGCGAACCACACCAAUGAUGUUCACAGCUGCAGUGCAAGGGCCAGCAUGGACAAAGAGGACCUUGAACUGGCUUUUUGACCCAAUCUUUUAUUGUAGUCAAUGUUCACAAAUAUGAACCCCCCAAAGCUCAGGCAAUAUUUAGUUUAUUAGAUUUUCCACACCAGUAAAGAAAUCCAAAAUUUUUAGUAGAUGGAUCCUAGUGAAUAGCCCUCUCUUAGUUUCCUAUUGUAUAGCCAAUGGAUUGAUAGAUGCACAAUUGUUUCUCCACAUCGUGAUAGAUUUCAUGAGGGUGGUGGGUAUUUAAGAAGCAGGAUUUUGUCCUAAUAACAGCCAGAGAAGUACCAUGUAAGACUCCCAAAAUUGCUGUGGUGGAUUGCCAUCAUCACAAAUCGAUAUCAGCUCUUUUUCAAAAAAUUUCCCUGUCUCAUCAAUAGUCAGGACUGUGCACAUUUGGUCAUAGUGAGACAUGGAGUACUUACAGAACAAUGAUGUUAUGAAAGGCCUUUUCUUAACUGUUUUCUCCUUUGCAGCUAAGAAAGAGAUGAGAUCAUUACAUGGAGCAGUGUCAUUUCUACAGCUCGUUUGAAAAACAGGAUUUCAAUGGCAAAAUGUCCAUGUUUUAAUGGAUUAGUCAUCCUAUAAUGUGUAUUUGUUCUUCUUCCUUAUAGUCUACAUUGUUAUCAAUCUUAGAGACACGUUCUAGUAUUCUCCAAUUGGAAUUCUCACAAGAAGGUGCCGUCUAACUCCAUACUGCCUCAUGAAAUACUCGAUAAAUGGGUUUAAUAACUUCCUGAAUAUGUAUAGCCAUUUGGCUUUGUGGUCAUAUCCUAUUCUCGCAUACAGCAGUUUUGUAUUGCUCUCAACUGUAGUGAAUCUCCUCCCAUUCCUAGUUUUCUUGAUGAAAUUUUAGAAGAACCAUUGUCAAAUUUCUCUCAUCAGCAGCAUGUCCCCUUCAUGAGAAAGUAUCCUUGUCAAUUUUGUCAGUCUCUGGAUGCUUGCUCUUUUUCUCUUCUAAGACUUCUUUGACCAUAAUGAAAUAUUAAAUAAAUUAGUUGAUACAUAUACAUUAAAAAUAAAGUAGUCAUAUAACAAAAUAUAAUAGAAACAGUCCCCCUCGAUUUAGAAUAUACUAGCCCUACUUUACGGAAACACAUUAGGCAUUUGCACAAAAAAUAUGGCCAUUCCUCUUUUUCUUUUUUCUUAGUUUGUUUUCUUUUUCUUUUUGACUUUUACUUUUCUUUUACAGUUCCCUUUUUUCGAGCCCCCUUACCUUUUUUGAGCUUCCUUAUCUACAACUGUACUCCCAAAAGUUACUUACAACUGCAAACACCUUUUCCCAGCACACCACUUCCAGAGGUAUUCUUCACUGUAUCCCUUGUAGUCCAGCCUUCCUGCUGGGUGCCACUGUGCUGGAGCCAGUCAACAGGAAAACUACUACAUUGAGAGUGAGAACAAUUAUAGGAAAGGCAGAAGAUUCAAAAGACAGAUAUGGGAGGGAUUCUGGUCAGUGUCAUGCCACAAUCAUGCAUCUUUUCUCAGUGUCUUUUAAAGGUAAGCAACAGCAGCAUGACCACUUCUAGGAAGUUAAACAAUGACCACAAAUGCUUAUAUAGGAAGUUUAUAUUUGACUAAGGCCAUUUCUUUCAGGCAUGCAGUCUUUCAAAGAAUUAUGCUUAAGUGGAGAAACUUGGCAAGAUAUAACACAUUUUAAUUAAAGACGAAGCAAUCCACAGACUCAUAAUUAAUCACAAGCAAGAAGUCAUCCAAAGUUAAUUCCAGAUGAUCUCUCCACACUUCUCAAACUAUUCCAUAAAACAAAAACAGAAGGUCAGAACAUGCUGGUAAGAUUGUGGAGAAAGGGAAACAUUCCUUCAUCGCUGGUGGGAUUGCAAACUGGCACAACCACUCUGGAAAGCAAUCUGGCAGUUCCUCAGAAAAUUGGAAAUUGUUCUACCUGAAGACCCAGCCACACCACUCGUGGGCAUAUUCCCAAAAGAUACUCCACCACAGCACAAGGACACAUGUUCUACUAUGUUCAUAAAAGCCACAUUUGUAAUAGCCAGAAGGUAGAAACAACCCAGAUGUCCCUCAACCAAAGAAUAGAUACAGAAAAUGUGGUUUCCUUACAUAAUGGAAUACUAUUUACCUAUUAAAAACAGGGACAUCAUUUGCAGGCUAAUGGAUGGAACUACAAAAUAUCAUCCUGAGUGAGGCAACCCAGACCCAAAAGGACAUGUAUGGUAUGUACUCACUGAUAAGUGGGUAUUAGCCAUAAAGUACAGAAUACCCAUGAUACAACUCACAGACCAUAUGAAAUUUAACAAGAGGGAAGACCCAAGUGAAGAUGCUUCAGUUCCACUUAGAAGGGGGAACAAAAUAAUCAGAGGAGGCAAAAAGAGAGAGGGACAUGCCUGUGAGAGGAGAGGGAGAGGGGAAAAGAAGACAGAAUCAGGUAUUGGCGGUGGGGAGAAAGAGAGACAGGAGAGAAGGCCAGAGGGCCAAGAAAAUUAGGAGAUGGUGGGGCCAGGACAGUAGGGGAAACCUCUAGAAAAUCCCAGAGACCUGGGAUGUGAGAAUCUCCCAGUAUUCAAUAGGGGUUGAAAUGCCAAACAAUGGGGAGACAGAACCUGAAGAGACCACAACCAGGAGAUAGACAAAGCCCCUAAGAGAGGGAUGAGAUCACCCAUCCAAUUUCAAAAUUUUUGUUCCAGAAUUGUCUAAAGGAAAUGCAGGGACAAAAAUGGAGCCAAGCAGUGACCAAACCAACUUGGGAUCCAUCCCAUGGGCAGGCCUCAAAUCCUGAGACUAUUAUUGAUGCUAUAUCCUUUCUCCACAUCCUUGCCAACAUGUGCUGACACCUAAGUUUUUGAUCUUAGCUAUUCUGAUUGGUAUAAGGUGGAAUUUUAGGGUCAUUUUGACAUGAUUUCCCUGGUCACUAAAGACUUUAAACAUUUCUUUAAGUGCUUCUCAGUCUUUUGAGAUUCCUCUAUUGUGAAGUCUCUGUUUAGCUCUAUGCUCCAUUUUUUUUGAAUGGGUUUAGAUUUUUUGGAGGUUAGUUUCUUGAGUUCUUUACAUAUUUUGGAUAUUAGCCUUCUGUAGGAUGUAGAUUUAGUGAAGAUAUUUUUUCCAGUUUUCAGUUUCAGGAAGUCCUAUUUAUCAACUCUUCAUCUGAGAGCCUGAGUCAUUUCAUCUGAGAGCCUGAGUCAUUGAAGUUCAGUUUAGGAAAUGCGCUCUCACCCUCCACCUCCAAGCCAAGGAGUUCAAGACUGUUUCCCAAGUUCUCUUCUAUCGGAUUCAGUGUUUCUGGUUUUAUGUUGAAGUACUUCAUCCACUUGCACUUGAGCUUUGUGCUAGAUGACAAAUAUGGAUCUAUUUUCAUUUUUCUACAUACCAACUGCCAGUUAAACCAACACCAUUUAUUGAAGAAGCUUUCUCUUUCCCAUUGUAUAUUUUUGACUUCUUUGUGAAAGAUCAAGUGUCCAAAAGUGUGUGGUUUUAUUUCUGGGUCUUCAGUUCUAUUCCCUUGAUCAAUCUGUCUGUACCAAUACCAUGCAGUUUUUAUCACCAGUGCUCUGUAGUGCUAUUUGAGGUCAGGGAUGGUGACUCCCCCCAGAAGUUCUUUUAUUAUUAAGAAUUGUUUUCCCCAGGUUGGAGAGAUGGCUCAAUGGUUAAGAGCAUUGACUAUUCUUCCAGAGGUCCUGAGUUCAAUUCCCAGCAACCACAUGGUGGCUCACAACCAUCUGUAAUGGGAUCUGAUGCCCUCUUCUGGUGUUUCUGAAGACAGCUACAGUGUCUUUAUAUACAUAAAAUAAAUAAAUCUUAAAAAAGAAAAAAAAAGAAUUGUUUCCCCUCUCCUCGGUUUUUUGUUUUUCCAUAUAAAAAUGAGAUUUUUUUCUUUCCAUGACUUUGAAGAAUUGUUUGGAAUUUUGAUGAGGUUUGUGUUGAAUCUGUAGAUUGCUUUUGGUAGGAUGGCCAUUUUUACUAUGUUAAUCCCAUCAAUCUUUGAGCAUUGGGGGUUUUCUUCCACUUCUUUCUUGAAAGAUGAAGUUAUUGUCAUACACUUUUUCACUUGUUUUAAUUAGUUACUUCAAGAUAUUUUAUAUUAUUUGUCACUAUUGCAAAAGUAUUGCCUCCCCAUUUUUUUCUUAGCCCAUUUAUCCUUUGUAUAAAGGAAGAUUAUUGAUUUGUUUGAGUUAAUUUUAUAUCUAGCCACUUUGCUGAAGUUGUUAUCAGCUGUAGGAGUUCUCUGGUAGAAUUUUUAGGAUUGUGUAUGUGUAUUAGUCAUACCAUCGGCAAAUAGUGAUACCUGGGCUUCUUCUUUGCCAAUUCCUAUCACCUUAAUUUCCUUUUGUUGUCUUACUGCUCUAGCUAGACAUUCAAAUACUAUAUUGAAAAGAUAUGUGAAGAGUGGGUAGCCUUAUCUGUUUCUUAUUUUAGUGCAAUUGCUUCAAGUAUCUCUCCAUUUAACUUAAUAUUGGCUGUUGGUCUGCUAUAUAUUGCUUUUAUUUUUAGGUAUGAGCCUUUAAUUCCUGAUCUCUCCAAUACUUUUAACAUGAAGGGGUGUUACAUCUUGUCAAAUGCCUUUUCAGCAUCUAAUGAGAUGAUCAUGUGAUUUUUUUCUUUUGAGUUUGUUUAUAUAAUAGAUUGUAUUAAUGAAUUUUCAUAUAUUGAGCCAAGCUUGCAUCCCUGGGAUGAAGACUACUUGAUCGUGGUGAAUGAUGGUUUUGAUUUGUUCUUGGAUUCAGUUUACAAGAAUUUUAUUGAGUAUUUUUGCAUUGAUAUUCAUAAGCAGGCUGGGGAUUUAGCUCAGUGGUAGAGCGCUUGCCUAGCAAACGCAAGGCCCUGGGUUCGGUCCCCAGCUCUGAAAAAUAGAAAAAAAAAGAGAACCCAAAAGAUAUUCAUAAGCAAAAUUAGUCUGAAGUUCUUUUUUCGGUCUUUAUGUGGUUUAGGUAUCAGAGCAAUUGUGGCUUCCUAGAGUGAAGUAGGUAAUGUUCCUUUUGUUUCUAUUCGAAGGUCUGGUAGGAUUCUGCACUAAAGAUAUCUGGCCCUGGGCUUUUAUUGGUUGUGAGGUUUUUUUAAUGACUUCUAUUUACUUAGAGGAUAUGGACCUGUACAGAUAGUUUACCUGCCCUUGAUUUAACCUUUUAUGUGCUAUCUGUCUAGAAAAUCAUUUCUUCUAGAUUUUCCAGUUUUAAUGAGUAUAAGUUUUUGUAAUAUUAUCUGAUUAUUUUUGACUUUCCUCCGUUUAUGUUGUUAUGUUCUCCUUUUAACUCUGAUCUUGUUAAUUUGGAAACUGUCUCUAGGCCAUUUAGUUGGUUUGUCUAGGGGUUUUCCUAUCUUGUUCAUUUUCUCGAAGAACCAUUUUUGGUUUUGUUGAUUCUAUAUUAUUCUCUUUGUUUCUACUUGGCCCUGAUUUAGACUAUUUCCUGCUCUCUACUCCUCUUGGGUAUAUUUCCUUCUUUCUGCUUUAAGACUUUCAGGUGUGUAUUAAGUUAACAGUGUAUACUCUCUCCAAUUUCUUCAUGAGGGCACUAAGUGCUAUGAAUUUUCCUCUUAGCACUGCUUUUAUUAUGUCCCACAAGUUUGGGUAUGCUGUUUCAUCAUUUUCAUUGAAUUCCAAAAAGUAAUUUCUUCUUUAUUUCUUCCCUGUCCAAGUUGUCAUUGAGUAGAGCAUUGUAUAGUUUCCAUGCAUAUGUGGAUUUUUUAUUGUUUUUGUUGUUAUUAACAUCUAGCCUUGAUCUGAUAGAAUGCAUGGAAUUAUUUCAAUCUUCUUGUAUCUCUUGAGGUUGCUCUGUGACCAAUUAUAUGGUCAAUUUUAGAAAAGGUUCCAUGAGAUGCUGAGAUAAAUUCUUUUAGAGAGAAAUUUUCUGUAUAUAUCUUUUAAAUCUAUUUGGUUCAUAGCCUCUGUUAGUUCACUGUGUCUCUGUUUAGUUUCUGUUUCAAUGUCCUGUAUAUUGGUGAAAGUGGAGUGUUGAAUUCUCCCACUAUUAUCGUGUGGGGUUUAAUGUGUGUUUUGAGCUUUAGUAAAGUUUCUUUUAUGAAUCAAGGUAUCCUUGCAUUUGGAACAUAAAUGUUCAGAAUUGAGACUGUUUCUCCGUGGAUUUUUCCUUUGAUGAAUAUGAAGUGUUGUUCCCUAUGUCUCUUGAUAACUUUUGGUUGAUACUCCUGUUUGUUUCAUGGGAAUAUUUGCUUGCAAGACUUUUUCUAGCCUUUUCCUCUGAGGUACUGUCUGUCUUUGUCAUUGAGAUGUGUUUCUUAUAUGCAGCAAAAUGUUGGAUCCCACUUUCAUAUCCGGUCUGUUUCUUGUGUCUUUUUAUUGGAGAGUUGUGUCCUUUGAUAUUGAGAAAUCUUAAAGACAGAUUGUUAGUUUCUAUUAUGCUCAUUGUAGGUGGUAUUAUGUGUAUGUGAUCCUCUCCUAUUAGUCUUGUUGUGAGAUGGUCAAUUUCUUGUCUUGCUUUGUUUUGGUUUGGCUGGUUGGUUUUUUUUGGAGGGGGGUUGUUUGGUUUUUGUUUUACUUUUGUUUGGUGUAGGUCCCUCCUUGUAUUAGAGUUUUCUGUCUAGAAUCCUCUAUAGGGCUGGAUUGGUAGAUAAAUAAUUUAAAUUUGACUUUGUUCUGGAAUAUUUUGGUUUCUCCAUCUAUGAUGAAAAAGAGUUUUGCAGGUUAUAGUAGCCUGGGCAUUUGUGUUCUCCUUGGAUCUGAAUGACCUCUAUUCAGUUAAUUUUUGCUUUUAGUCUCUCUGUUGAGAAACCUCGUGUGAUUUUGAUAGGUCUGCCUUUAUAUGUGACUUGGACUUUUUAUCUUACAUCAUUUUAAUAUUCUUUCUUGUUCUGUGCAUUUAGUGUUUUGAUUAUGAUAUGAUGAGAGGAUUUUCUUUUUCUGUGCAUUUAGUGUUUUGAUUAUGAUAUGAUGAGAGGAUUUUCUUUUUCUGUCCAAUCUAUUUGGUGUUCUAUAGUCUUCUUGUACAUUUGUGGUCAUCUCUUUCUUUAGGUUGGGGAAGUUUUCUUCUAUGAUCGGCUGAAGAUGUUUUCUGGUCCUUUGAACUGGGACUCAUCCCUCUCUUCUAUUCAUAUAUAUAUUAGAUUUGCCCUUUUUAUUGUAUCCUAGAUUUCCUGGAGGUUUUGCGUUAGGAGUUAUUUAUGUUUGGAAUUUUCAUUGACCACUGUGUCAAUAUCUUCUAACAUGUCUUCUGUUACUAAGAUUCUUUCUUCUUCUAUCUCUUGUAUUCUGUUGCUGAUGCUUGCAUCUGUAGAUCCUGGCCUCUUUCCUAGGUUUUCCAUUUCCAUGGUUUUUUCCAUUUGUUUUUCUUUAUUGUGUCUAUUUCCAUUUUUAGGUCUUGUACUGCUUUGUUCAAUUCUGUUGCCUGUUUGAAUCUGUUUUUCUGUAUUUCGUUAAGGAAUUUAUUUCUUCUUUAAGGGCUUCUCCUUUUCUAACCUGUUUUUCUGUAUUUCAUUCAGUGAGUUAUUUCCUCCAUAAAGAACUAUAUUAUCUUCAUGAGAAUGGAUUUUAAGUCAGCAUCCUGGUUGUCAGGUGUGUUGGGAUAUCCAGGGUUUUCUGUGAUGAGAAAACUUUGUUCCGAUGGUUCCAAAGUAUAUUGGCUUUUCUUGCUUAUGGUCUUGUGCUUGCCUUUCACCAUCUGGUUAUCUCUGAUGUUAACUGUCCUGGGUGUCUCUGUCUGGAGCCUGCCUCCUGUGUCCCUGGGUUGCUACAGGUCCUCUUGGGAGGCCUUCAGACUUGAGUUUCUGAAGGGAAUGGAUACCAAUGAUCUGUUGCACUGGAUGCAACAUAUCUCCUAAGAGAUUUUCAGACUGUGCAGUCUGUUGCCCUGGUUGCAACAGAUCUCCUGGAAGGCUUUCAAACAGUAUAGUCUGUUGCCCUGGGGAUAUCAGAUCUCCUGGGAGGCUUUCAGACUUUUCAGACCCCUGUGGAGUCUUCAGAAAGGCAGAGAAGUUGGAUAAAGCAAAUCUCCUGAGGUGCCUUUAGUUUGUGGGUUCUUUAGAGGGACAAGCAAGCCAUUUAUCUGGCUCAGCAGAAGGCACAGGCAGGAAGGAAGGUAGUGUUCAAGUGAAGGAGAUGUAUCUUGAGUCUGCUGGACUAUUCAGGGGUUGCUGCUGCAGGUUUUUUGUUUGUUUGUUUGUUUGUUUGUUUGUUUGUUUGUUUUUGGUGAGGGGAGACCUCCCUUACCUGUUGCCCUGGGUGCAGCAGAUCUCCUGGCAUGGCUUCAGAAUGUGGGUCUUCAGAUGUCAGACAAGCUAAUAAUCUACCCAGGCAGAAGGCACAAGCUAGAAGGAGAAGUUGAUCCAAUUUUAAUUUCUAAGUUAUUGAAAACUCAAAUGUAAUUUAAUUCAGUGUUCUGAAUAACCAUUUUUUCUAAGUCAAUUGACAAUUCAGGCUAUGAAAUUAAACCUUACAUAAAGAUUUCUCCCAAGGAAUGUUGUUUUUAGAUAGUCAUUAUUUUAAAAUUCUCACAAAAGUGUUAUCAAAUAAGUUAUCAUUAAAAAUAAACUUUUAAACUGUGCAACACAACUUUAGACUCUGAAAAAUACACAUAUAAGUUUAUGCAUUAUGUGAUAGAAUAUCAGAGAUAAAUAUAUUUAAUAUGCAUGAGUCUCAGACAUUUGCACAAUGAAAUGCAAUUUGGCCAUGAAAAAAGUAAGAAAACUAUAUUUCUAAUCUGUCUUUAUAAAAAUCUUGGGUAUAAAAUCAUCUGUUUAAAACUUAUAAACAUAGUCUGCCUACACAUGUAAUUCUUAACACUACAAAUUGCUUUAAUCCUUGGAUUCUGGACUGUUUUGCUGAUAUAGAUGAUUCUAGAUGAUGAAUGAGCACACAGAAAGACACAGCCUAUGUUCCAUGUACAAGUCAUUCCACAUUCUCAUUUCAGUUCUAAAUUUGUACUGCAAACAUCUGAAUUUAUAGCAGGAUGGCUAUCUUUACCUUGCAAUAUAAAAUCUUGUAUCAUGAAAUUUUAAAUGACUGUCAGGAGAAGUGAAAACAACAAUCUACCUAGAUUUAACAGACAUUACUUUUCUUUUUUUCACAUUGUUUAAUAAAACAAUACAUAGCAGAUUAAUGAUAUCAUCACAACAAAAACAAUGGCAAUAAGUCAAUAGUUAAGGAAGAUUUUCAAUAAUAUGCACAAGAAGUAGUAAAAAAAUUGAAAUGUGACAUACAAGUCAAAGUACCUAGCAAAACUCUUUAAAAUGGUCAAGUGAACUUACAUUUAGUAGCUCACCUAUACUCAUACCAAAAGGCUAACAUAAUCUUUAUCCUAAAACCCAACAUGUGAAGAGGUAUAAUUAGGCAAUAAUAAGCUCCAAUACUUAUCCUGGUGUUCAUGACCAAAGUUCAUUCAGAUUAUUUCAGAUAAAAUUACACCCUAUGAACCAUCCCCUAGAAGUAGCAGUGGCCUGUAGGUGUCCAAGAUAAAUUAAGGUUCUCCCAACCUGAUGUCUUAUGUUCUUCAGUGACUACCAGCAAUCUUAUUUUUACUGGUAGUACAGAGAUCAGAUUCUACCAUUUUCAUAUAUCUAUAUUAUGAGUUAAAUGAGAAUAUAAAAUAAUAUUAAGCUUACUGUUUUUGUCUAUAUAUGUAAAUUUUAACUAUAUUUUUUCUUGAUUGACUCUUGUUCAUUAAUCUGUUUCUAAAAGCAUAGCACUAUAUUUUUCCUUCAGUUUUAAUGAAAACCACCUCAAAUACUGGAUUCACAGUAUGUAACAUUUUUCUAACAAAGAAAUUGAUUGUAUUAGAAUAUGUGUCAAAUAUGCUAAAACACAACAUGAUACAUCAGGUAUCAUGCACCAGAUGUGAAAUUUGGUAAUUCCAAUAAUUUGCCUAAAUGUAAAUAGUUUUAUAAUUUCUGUAAAAUUAAAUAACAACUAUAAUUCAUAUGAACUACAUAUAUUAAAACAAAGAACAUUAUUAACUUGAAUAAGUAGAAAGAAGAUAAAGGAGAAAUGAUGGAAAAAUGAUGAAGAAGCAUCAUUCAAUGUGGUGGCUGCUAAGCACAGUGAGUUAUGUAAAUAUUAAUGAAAAUUCUUGAAUAGUUACAAAACUUAAUUUCUAUCAUAUUAAAUAAUAUAAGCACUCUCCAGCACCUUUUCUUUAUGAGGGACAGUAGCUUAGAAAAAAGAAGCUUGGGAUUCCUGUUAUGGCCUUUAAAAGCUGAGUGUAGAUUAGCAACUCUACUGCCUCUACUCAUAGCUGAGCAUUCCAGUCAUCCCAGGAAGUACUCCAGGAGCCCAACACACUGAACUGUACUCACUGCCUUUGCAAAGGGGGGCUCCAGACAACGGCAUAAGUCACCAUUAUACAUGGGUUUGAAAGCAGGUCUCCAGAACGUUCCUUCUAAAACAUAAGAAAUAAAAUUUGCAAUUACAUAUAGUUUUUAGCUAUCUGUGGUAAUCAAUGCAGAAUUCAUUUUUCAUUGAUGUGGGUAUAAACAUGGUUGUAAUGAGGAAUCCCUUCAAAAUUAUUUAUUGAAGCUAUAGGAUUUUGUUAUUUGGGUUUUUACAUUGUUUUAUUUUUAUUAAUAUGUUAAUUCUAAGUUACUUGUAUAUAUGUACUACAUGAAGGGUAUGUUUUUGCUUAUAAUAUUGGGAAGCAAAAAACAAUGAUUUGGAGAGCAAUAUAGUUUAGUAACAUGCAUUUGUAUAAGAAAAGUCUGAUGUGAGAUUAACUCACUUGCAAAGAAAGAGACUUGCUUUUUGAGUAAGCUAACUAUACACUUCUGCUCUCUCCAAGACAACCAGGAAGUCUUAGACCUUAUUGUGCUCCCCAAGUUACCUUGACCCCCAGUUAAUAUAUUAGCAUAGCCAACAUUUUCUCUUACUAUAAAGAUUUUAUGAUUACAUGUGUGCUUUCAUAAAAAUGUUACUAACAGAAUAUAAUUUGGAAGUUAAUACUCUUUAAUUAAAUAGUACAAUCCCUUAUAAGUGGUUAAAAAUAAUACUCUUAAUUUUGCUAAUAAAGUUCUCUGCUGUCCUAUAUGCUUGUUUUUACUCAAAGAGAAUUGAAUACCAGACAUUUAGCUUAGCUAUACUACAAUGCACCUACUUGGCAUUCGUGGGUUUAGAUGUGACAAUACACUGUGAAUCCUGGGUUAGUAAUCCAGAUGAAACUUUUUUCUACCCCCUCUAAACUGCUUUAACCACAUCAGAACAAGCAGUCUUCAUCCUGGUGCUGGGAGAGACCUCUGCAUUCUUGUCAUUCUGAGGCAUAACCCCCUGUGUUACUUAACACUGGGUUAAUCAGCCUGAUUUUGAGUGACUGUAGGUUCCUCUCUUGUAUAGUCUUCAGAACUUUCCGUUUAAUCCAUCAAAACUAGAAUAACCUGAGUGACUCUUCUUAGCUUAGAAUAUAAGGAAUUUGGCUACAGGAGAUCAUCUCAUCUCUUACAGACAUUAAAAUUGCAAAAGCAAUUGCAAAUUCCUCAUAUUAUUUUAAUCAUUUGAACAUUUCUAAUGUUUUAAUUGCUCAGAAAAUCUCAUUUUCAGUUUUUAUUUUUAUUGUUUUUACAGCUAUCAAUUUCUCAGCCCUUUACAGUUAUGAAAGACUAUUGAGUUUACUGCUUGAGGGAAUAAGGAGCAGUUUUUCAGAUUCAUGGCCACUACCUAAGAAACGUCUACCAAUAUGUUUUGUAAAAAGCAGUAUGAUGUGGCGGUUGUGGGGUGGGUGCCUUAGCAAGCCCAUGUUGAGACAUUUCCCCGGGACAGUUUAAAAUGAAGCUUACUGGGAAAGGGAAUAACACUCGAAAUGUAUAUAAGAAAUGCUCAAGUUAAUAAAAAAAAAUGAAGCUUAUUUUGGUGCAUGAGAAGGGGAAUGAGAAUGGAGUAGAGGCAGAAAAAGAAAGAAGAAAGGUAAGUACAGUGAGAGAAAAAAGAGAGAAAGAAGGGAAGAGGACCACUGGGAACUCAUGGCAGGGCGGGAGUGGGGUUCAGAGAAGGAGGGAAAGAGUAUGACCAGAGGCCAGACAAAGAGAAGACGGAGACAGAGAGGUCUGUAUGAUGGUGGAGGGGGCAAAGGGGAGGGGCGGGGGGCACAAACAGUCCUUUUAUAGCAAGCCAGGCUCCUACCUGGCUGUUGCUAGGUAACUUGGUCAGAGCCUUGAAGAAAUGCUAGUAUCUACAGAAGGAGUACCAAGACAGGAUCUCCACUGAUUCAAACUACCAAUUAUCAUUUGAGCUAAUGGCAUCCAGUUUAUAGAAACUUGAGCAAAUGUAAAACAACUAAAAUUUUAGCACCUUCAACUUCUAAUUAUCUGGUAAAAAAUGGAACAUCUUUUCCAGUUCUUUAUUUUAUCAGUGUUCUAUAACCUUCAUUUCUCUGAUCAUUUAUUUCCUUAAAUAAUGAAUUCAUAUGUACAAGUUUGUUAAUGUGGUUUAUUUUUCUAGAUUUUUGUCAUGCUGAAUGGAAAUGAAUUCUUUAUAUUUUAUUUUUCAUGAUAGAUUUUUAAAUUAAAGAUUUAAAUGAAAUAUAAUUAUAUAGCCCCCAUAUUUCUGUGUUUUCCUUUCAACUCUUCUCAUGUUCUCUUCAUCCAGUUCCUGAUGUCCUCCUCUUUCUUUCUAUUAAGUUGAUGGUAUCUUUUUAUUACCUCUGAGAUAUAUAUAUAUAUAUAUAUAUAUAUAUAUAUAUAUAUAUAUAUAUAUAUAUAUAAUAUAUGUGUGUGUGUAUUGCAUAAAAUAUAAAUACACCCUGCUGUCUGCUGUUCAUACCACUCAUGCAUAUGCUUUCAUGGCUGAUAAGUUGCUUUUAAAUAAUCAGUUAGAAGGCUCAUUCCUAGGAAAGACCAAUUCUCUUCCUCUCAGCAAUUAUCAGUUGCCUGAAGUUCUUUAUAUAAGAGUAGCCCAUAAUAUGUCUCUUUCACAUAGUAGUUUGUCUAUUGAUAUUGUUACUGCUUGUAUCUUGGGUCUUGGUUAGGCAACCCAAAUAACUGAAUCAUGGGGAUAAUUUCCAGUAGACAAUCUCAUUGCAAAGUUUCUGGUCCCUUUAUUCUUAGAAUCCUUCACCACUAUCUUCUUUGAUGUUCCAUGGAUCAUGAAUAUAGAAAUUUUGUAUAGAUCCAGUGUUAUAACUGAUAUUCAAAUUUUUUACAUUUUAAAUCUCUGCUAAUUUACAUGAAAUAUUAAAUUUGCUUAUCAUUUGCUAACAUAUUUCUGUUGGAGAUUAAAAUUCUCUGUGUAUGAAAUAGAAUUGCUUGCAAAUAGAUAAUUUCCUUCAUUUUCGUUUGCAUGUGUUUCUUUUUUCAUAUGGUCUGCUACUGAACUUUCAGGGAAAACACUGAUGACAGUUAAUAUUUCUAUCUUUCUUAGAUCCAAGGGAAAAGAAUUUCAAGUUUUACACAUUCAAAAUAAUAUUGACUCUAGUUUGUUGUACAUGAAAUAUGCAUUGCUGAAGUGUGUUCCUUCUACAAGUAUGCUGACUUUUAACAUGGGAUUGUACUUAUGGUUACCAAUUCUCUUUUAUUCAUCUCUUGAGAUGAUGUGCAUUUGGUCUUCAUUCUGCUGUGUUGAAUUACAUCUAUAGAUCUGUGCUUAUUAAACCACCUUGACACCCCUCCCAUAAGCCAUACUUUGUCCUGAUGCACCUUCUCCUUGACAUGAGGUUUGAAUGGCUUCUAAAAUGCUAUCUAUAACUAUACUCAGUGGGGAUACAGUCUGUUUUUUUCUUUCCCCCUUUAAUAAAGAAAACUCAUUGUGCCUCUGUAGUUACAUAACUCUAGAACUUAAAAAAUGUGAUUUCUUUAGUGACCUAUUUAUUUAGGUGUUUAUUCUUCAAGAACAUAUGAAAUAUCUCAGUGCUUAAGGCACUGUAAGCCUGAUUACUCAAGUUUAGUCCCAAACCUACAUGAUAAAAGAAAGAUAUUGAUUCUUGCAAGGAGUCCUCUGACUUUCAUUUGUGUGUCAUUUUAAACAUGCAUCAAUGCAUUCUCAUGGGCACAUACCCAAACACACAAAGAAAAGCAUAGCUAGCUAUAUUUUUCAGUACCCAUUUAUUUAUAUACUUCUCUUAGCUUACAUUGCUAUUAAUUUUUGUUUGAUUCCACUGUCAUCUGAUAUUAUAAAGGCAUAAUUUUGAUUAUUUUUAUUUAUAUGCUUUAUAGCUUUGAGUUCUAUAUUAGAGAAUAAAUGGGUGAUGAGGAGAAUAUGUGUUCAGCAGACGUUUUUUAAAAAUAGAAAAGUGUGGAAGUGUUUGCUAACUAUGUGGUAGAUGAUAAAGUUUAACUAUAAAGUUCUUUUUGUGGAUAUUUUAGCUUAGAUGGUUCAUUUACUAAUUAGAGUGGAACAUUGAUCUCAUAUACUAUUAUUACCUUUUGGUCUAUCUGGCCCUUUUUGUCCAAAGUGUUUCAUUAUAUCUUCUUCAUGGAUUUUUCUCUUUAGUGACAUGUGUUAAUGUUCUUAUAUCUCACCCAGUUCACAAUAAUUAUCCUUCUGGAAAAGUGAGGCUACAGAGGUCAAUUAGCAACCCAUGUUUAGUCAAGCCCAGAGCAAUUAUGUGGACAAUUAGUUCAAUGUAGUAUGAAACCACAGCUAUCACCAGUAGAUGCUAAAUUCCUAGCCAUCAAAGAUGGAUUUUCUUAUACUCCACCCCUUUAUUGACCAAGCCAAGUAUCCUGCCUCUUGCUCUAUACUUUUCUCUUCUCCUCUGAACAGCCUCCCUUACUCUUAAUCUGUGGCUUCUUAACUCUAGGGUCCAUGAAUUAUCACAAUUCCUUUUCAGCAAGACCUCUGUGUAGUAUGUCUUAAACAUUAGGUUCACUUUCAAUAUGGCGUAUGAUCACAACAGUAUGAUCUGUAAAGAGUAGCAAAGUGAAUGUCAUUGAACUGCUAAAAUGUCAGAUCAUCAAUCUGAUCAUGAUUCUUGACUUAUAGGAAUUGUAAGCUAUCAUUGUAAGUAGGAAUGAAAAUCUUUCAGCAUGGCCUCAUAGGUAUCUUUUGUGUAGAUUUUUCUUUUUCCUACAAUUCUGAGACAUAUCCUACGUGUUCCUGUUCUCUGUAUCAUCCUCCUUAUCUGAUGCUUUCUCAAGUCUCAUGACUCCAUUUGUAUGACAUUCUUCCAGUCUUUCUCCACUAUGUAGAGACCAUCUUUGUUUUUCUGACUAGCUCGGUUACAUUAUAGAACUCCUAAGUAAGCAUAUUUUUAAUUAAUUUUGAAGCAAUAAAUCAUGAUAAUAUAUCCUUUCUUCAUAUAACAUGCCAUCCUCUCCAUCAACUAAGCCAUACUCUACAUUUCAUUAGAAAACAGAUAGGCCACUCUUGCUCUUACCCUACUCUUCUCUGCUCUUAUACCCACUUCCCCUUUGCCCUAUGGAUGGCCAUAAAAUAGUAAUUACAGUAGAUUACAGAAAGAAAAGAAUAGAACUUGGGGGUGCAGCUGUGUGGAAGAGGGGUUAGGAAACCUAAGAGGGUUACAAUGAGAGCUGUAUAUGAUAAAAAAAUACCAUGCACCUAUUAAAAAAACAAAAGAUUUUUAAAAGAGGUCUAUACUAGCACAUAAGAUAGCAACAAAACCAAAAAGAAAAGACAGGUGAUGUUGACUCCUCAAUUUCCACAUGAUAGUGGCCUAUCUGAAACAUUUCCUCCAAUAGUAUGUUUGUCCUCUAAUGGCUCUUUAUUAUUGUACUUUUAACAAUUAUUUCCUUUUACAACUUGGAAAUAGUGAGAAUUUAGAGUUUUUAAUGACCAGUAAUUUUAAUCUACUUUCACACUGUCAUGGUUGAGACACUGUUUAUCUUUCCCAUUACAUAUGAGAAUAUUGCCCAUUGCAAUUUAGAAUGGACUGCUCUCUUUUAAAUGCUGAAAGUAGGAACGUUACUACUGAUGUGAGGCCAGCUGAAGGUUUUCUGUAAUGUUUUCGGUUUUAGUUUCCCUCUAAAAUCUCAAAAUAUUUUUCCCUAGUUUGGAAUGUAUGUUUAUUCAUUUGAAGUCAUGACACUUCCAUAUCCAAUAGAGUUUACAGUUUUAUAUCUGAUUGGACUUGUAUGCAUGAACUGGUUCUUAUUGAACUACUUUUCUCAAAGAAGCUUUACCAAGAAUCAAUUAUAAGCAUUUCAGAAAAAAAUAAUGCUUUCUGGACAUGGAAGAACUUUUGCACCAGUGAACUCAAAGUAGCUGUUGUCUAUCCAACAAACCCGUCACAACAAUGUUUCAUCCAAAACAACAACAACAACAACAACAACAACAACAACAACAGUAAUUCCUCUCAAGUCACCUUUCUGUGUUAGUGUCUUGAAUAGAGACUAACAACUUCCUUCAGUGGAAUGUAGUGACAUUAAAGUAAAUAAAUACACAUAGUAACAAUUAUUAUGUUUAAUAUUAUUUUUGAAGUUAUGAAAACUCAAAUUAUUAAAAAGUAUUUUGAAGAUCUCCCCUGUCUACUAAGUCCUCUGGGCACCCCAAGAUGCACUGAGCUUCCUGCUAUCCCCUGUGGACCUCCAGUAUCCUGAUAACUCUCUGCACACCUUCACCAAACCUGCAGAUCCAGAAGCAUGUGCAGGUUAGAUUCUCUUCCCACACCGAUCUUCUCAACCCACUGCGUCUUCUGGGGCACUCUCAGCUACCCUGAUCAGCCUGAAAUCCCCACUGAACCCCAUCCUUCUGCCACCAUCUUCAUCAAACCCCUGUAUCCUAAACUAGGCAGUCCAAGGGCACUGAUAAAAAUCAUGCUGCACCAAGAUCAUCAAGGUUAGGACCCCUUCUAAUGCCUACUAUGGAAGGAACAUCCAGGGACCAAAGCUAUCUAGAUGCAUAAAGGUCCUCAAAAGAACACAAUGAACAAUAACCAGAGCAAUAUGACACUUUCUUUUUUUCUGAUCCAAUCGAUAAGAUAUAAUUGCCCACCUAAAUAUAUAAAGCCUUAUACACAUUCAUCCCUUAAGAACAUUCAUAACAACCAGUAAAUGUACAGAGUGGAAUCUUAACGUCUGCCUCUAUCUUCUCUCAGAGACUUCUUCCUCCAGUCUCCUUCCAUUUCCGAAUAUGACACGUUCAAGUCACAGCUCCUCUACUAUAAGUCCUGGAUAUCCUCACACAAUUGAAGCACAAGAAAAUGACCUGAAAUCCAAUCUUAUAAGUAUGAUAGAGGCCUUUAAAGAAGAAACAAAUAAAUCCCUUAGGGAAAGAAAGGAAAAUAUAAUUAAACAGGUGAAGGAAAUAAAACUGUUCAAGACCUGAAAAUGGAAAUAGAAGCAUGAAGAAAACAAAAACUAAGGGAAUCCUAGAGAUAGAAAACCUAGGGAAGAGGACAGGAACAAUGGGCACAAGCAUCACUAACAGAAUAUAAGAGAUGGAAGAAAGAAUCUCAGGCAUUGAAGAUACAGUAGAAGAAAUGUAUACAUCAAAGAAAAUGUUAAAUCUAAAAAUUUCUGGUACAAAACAUCCAGACAUUCUAGAAUAACACAAAAAGACCUAAUUUAAGAAUAAUAGAAAUAGAUGAAGGUAAGAAGCCAUAGCUCCAUUGACCAGAAAGUAUUUUCAACAAAAUCAUAGAUGAAAACAUUCUCAAUAUAAAGAAAGAGAUACCUGUAAACAUAUAAGAAGCUUAUUUAACACCAAAUAGACUGGACUAGAAAAGAAAAUCCUCCUGCCAUAUAAUAAAACAAAAAAUCUAUGAAAUGAAGAAUGACUAUUAAAAAGAAAUAAAGAAAAAGUCAUUUUAAUUAUACCAGAUUUCUCAACAGAGAUGCUAUAAGCUACAAGUGUCUGGACAGAUAUUUUGCAAGCUAUAAAUAACCAUAGGUGCCAACCUAGGCUACUAUACCAGCAAAACUGUGAAUCACAAUAGCUAGGGAAAAUAAGAUAUUUUGAGACAAGUUCAAAUUCAAAUAAUAUCUAUCCACAAAUCCAAGCCUACAGAAAAUACUAGAAGGAAAAAACUAAAUCAAGGAGCAUAACUAAUCUAAGAAAACACAGAAAAUAUGUCAUUCUGUACCAGCAAAAACAAGGGAAGUAUACACACGUGCGCACACACACACACACACACACACACACACACACACACACACCAAUCACCAAUACCAGAAACAUCAAAAUAACAGAAAUUACAAUCACUGUUCGUUAAUAUAUUUCAACUUUAGUGGACUCAAUUCCCUAAUAAAAAGAUACCGGCUAAUAGAAUGGAUGCGAAAACAGGGUCCAUCAUUCUGCUACAUACAAGUAACAUAACUCAUCAAUAUAGACAUUACUUCAGUGUAAAAGGCUGAAAAAAGUUUCUAAGCAAAGAGACCGAAGAAAAAUGGUGGCAUAGCCAAAGCAAUAUAUAACAAAAUAAACUUUCAACUAAAAUUAAUCAAAAGAGACAAAAUAUUUCAUAUUCAUCAAAGGAAACAUCUACCAAGUUGAAAUCUCAAUUCUGAACAUCUAUGCUCCAAACCCAAGGACACCCAUAUUUGUAAAAGUAAUACUACAAAAACUUAUAUCACACAUCGAACCCCACACAUUAUUAGUGGGAGACUUCAACACCCCACUCUCACCAAAUGAGAAAUCAUUCAGACUAAAACUGAAAAGAGAAAUAAUGAAAGUAACAGACAUUAUGAAUCAAAUGGCCCUAACACAAACACAAAUAAUGUACCUUGUUCUCAGCAUCUCAUGGAUCGUUCUCCCAAGUUGAACAUAUACUCAGUCACAAAGCAAACCUUAACACAUACAAAAAAAAAAUUCAAAUGAUGUCUUGUAUCUUCUCAGAUCACCAUGGACUAGAGCUGGACUUCAACAAACAGAAAUGCCAAGAAGACCCACAUCCAUGGAAACUGAAAAACUGUACUCAAUGAUCUCAGGGUCAUGGAUAAAUAAAUAAAUUAAAGACUUUCUAGAAUUCAAUGAAAAUGAAGUCACAACAUGAUACCUAAGUUCAUGGGACACAAGGAAAGCAGUGCUAAGAGGAAAUUACACAGUGCUAAGUACCUCCAAACAGAAAUUAACAAGUUCUCAUACCAGUGAUUUAAAAGUAUACCUGAAAGCUCUAGGAAAAAGAUACCACAGAUGAGUAGAAGACAGGAAAUAUCCAACAGCAUGACUGAAACCUGUCAAUUAGAAACAAAGGCAACAAUACACAGAAUCAAUGGAACCAAGAGCUGGUUCUUUGAGAAAAUCAACAAGAUAGACAAGCUUAGCCAUAAUAAUCAAAAGACGUACAGACAGUAUCCAAAUAAACAAAAUCAGAAACAAAAAGAUAGACACAACAAGACACUAAGGAAAUUCAAAAAAUCAUUAUGUCUAACUUGAAAAGCCUAUACACCACAAAAUUGGAAAAUAUUAAUAAAAUGAAUGAUUUUUCUAGACAAACGCCACUUAGCAAAGUAAAACCAAGAUCAUGAUCAAAAUCACAUGAUUAUUCCAUUACAUGCUGAAAAUGUCUUUAACAAAAUCUAAUACCCCUUCAUGUUAAAAGUCACACAGAGAUCAGGGAUACAAUACACAUAGGGCCUUGAAACAGCUGGACAGAUAACAUCGAUAAUCAAAAGAAAGGAGAAUAAUUUUAUGCAUGCUUAGACUUAGUUGGUUCUCUCUCUCUCUCUCUCUCUCUCUCUCUCUCUCUCUCUCUCUCUCUCUCUGUCCUCAUUUAAUAUUUCAGAUUAGAUAUCUAGCAAAGUAAAAAAUUUAUUUUUUUGAAAAUCAAAUUUUCUUAUGCAUUUUCACACUCUGUACGCUCCACUAUCAUUUAUCUGAAAUAUGAGCUUAACUACCAGGUACUCUGAACUUUCUGAACAGUGACACAAAGUUUUACUCACUGUCAAUAGUGUAAUAAAAAAUGCAUCUAAUUGGACCACUUUGAACACUAAUGCACCACUACAUCAUGCUUUUGCUUGGAACUAAAUAAUCCAAUCAUUCAUACCCAUCACUACUAACACCAGACCUGCCACAAGCAGUAUAUCAGGCAGUAUAUGCCUCUCUGUAUGCAUCUAGAAUUCAAAUUUCAUGACAUGACCUUAAAGAGGCUCUUGGAUAUAUAAGUAAGCUAAAAUUCUUUUAUUUUCUAGUGAUGAUGUAGGAUGUGGUUUGAGACAGUUUCUUUGUAUAUCCCUGGCAGUCCUGGGAAAAAAUAUAUACAUACAUACAUACAUACAUACAUACAUACAUAUAUACAUAUAUACAUACAUACAUACAUACAUAUAUACAUAUAUACAUAUAUACAUAUAUACAUAUAUACAUAUAUACAUAUAUACAUAUAUACAUAUAUACAUAUAUACAUAUAUACAUAUACACAUAUACACAUAUACACAUAUACACAUAUACACAUAUACACAUAUACACAUAUACACAUAUACACAUAUACACAUAUACAUAUAUACAUAUAUAUAUGUGGCUGACCUUGAACUCAUUGAUCUGUUUGCCUUUACUCCCUGAGUGCUGAUAUUAAAAUGAGCUCCACCCCUGCAAUAGAAAAUAGCCCUAUAUUCUAUUGUGUCUUCAGAAGAAAUAACACAACAACAAAAAAAUGAAGGAGAAAAGAUAAUGUAGAGCAGAAGGAGAGGCUGGAGUGAGGGGUUUGUAAGUCAAGGAAGUACAAAGUGAACCAAAAACCCCCCAGGAGUUAGAAAAGCCACGUUGAUAGGAUUUCCUUCAGAAUAUCAGAGAAAUCUACCCUUCUGAUACCUUAUUUUUAAACUUCAAUCCCUUUGAACUAUGAAACAAAUAUGUUUUGAAUUAUAUACCAAGGUUGUGAUAUGCAUCAUCUACAUCUAGACAUGAGAGGACCCUUCCUUCCUCCACACUUAUUUCUCUGAAGAAUACGAGAUCAAUUCUCUAGCAGUCCCAUUUGAGUUAAACAAUCUGGUUUAUAGGAUAUAAAUAUUGUUGACAAGAUCCAGGGUACCCAAAUGGAUACGGACUCCAAACUUGCUGAUUAAUUUACUGCACUCACUCUAAUAACUUUGUCUUCUUAGCUCUAAGAAUGUGCAGUGUUUCUGUCUCGUGACUAUUAACCUUGCUUUUCUCUCUUAAAUAUCCUUCCAUCUAUAUUAUGUCUGCUUGACUCUUAACUCACUCAUUCAUGCUCAUAGACCACAAUGUGUUUAACUAUUCUAACACUUCCAUAGUCACAUAAAUAGCUUAACUAUCUUUAUUUUUAAUAAACACUUGACAUCAUCAGUUACUCGCUUCAUAGAGAAUUUGUCAACACUUUAGUUUUGAAUUUAUCCAAAUAGACUUUGGAGGGUUGUAAAAUGGUGCCUUGCACAGGGUUGCUUGUUUCCAGGUCUGAGUGCCUGCGUUCAAUUCCUGGAACACAAACGGUGAAAUGAGAGGUCCAACACAGGUAAGUUCACUGACUGCCACACAUAGACCAUGCUAUAAGUUCUCUCUCUCUCUCUCUCUCUCUCUCUCUCUCUCUCUCUCUCUCUCUCUCUCUCACUCUCUCUCUCUCUCUCUCUCUCUCUCUCUCGCUUUCUGUAUCUGUCUCUGUCUCUCUCGUUCCUUCUCUCUCCUAUUUCAAAAAAAUUUAAAAAUAUAUAAAAUAUAUAAAAAAUAUAUAAAAUUUUAUGUGUAAAUGCUGGUAUGUGGCUGGAAGGCCAGCUCAGAGGAUCCAGGAGCUUCUGUAAUGAAGUCUGAGUACAUUGUGGCUCAUAAACUGAGCCCUCACCUAAAACUAAACAAGCAAACAAAAGCACAGUACAAACAGUCACAAUUUUCUUGUUCAUACGUUUACUUUGAAAUAAUAAACUCAAAGAUUUUUUUUUUGGUUCUUUUUUUCGGAGCUGGGGACCGAACCGCGCUUCCUAGGCAAGCGCUCUACCACUGAGCUAAAUCCCCAACCCCAAGCUCAAAGAUUUUUAAAAUGAAUAUUUCAUUAUGUGGUAUGGGUAAAUAUUCUACAAAAUACACAGAUUCACAGAUGCCAACUACAUUGAAUGAACAUGAUAAUAAUUUUCCCCAAUAUAUUAGCUCAUCAUUUGUGUUCUCUAGAGCAAAAAGGUCAUGCAGCAAAGGAGAAAUCAUCUGAAGACUUCUCUAAAAUCCAUAGGACAAUUUGGCUAGUCAAACACACUGAAAGUAUUCAAUUUAUUUUUUCAUCUCUGAAAUGUUCCAAUGUAAUUUUUAAAAAGUUGUAAGUAAUAACAUAUUUCUAUUUCUUGAGACAUAAAAUUUUCAAUUCAAAAUUAUCUGCAUGAAAAACGAACUCCAUUAGCCAAAACAGUGUUUGUUGGGUUUAGAUUUUGAUAAGACUCUUUGAUCUUUUAUUAUAUAGUUUAUGUAUACUUAAAUUAGUGAUGAUUUUGGUGUUGGGGAUUUAGCUCAGUGGUAGAGUGCUUCCCAAGCAAGCGCUAAGGCCCUGGGUUCAAUCCUCAGCUCUGACAAAAAAAAAGUGAUGUUUAACUUUAUAUCUAUGCAUGCACAGUGGUAAACUCUGCUUCAUAUUUGGAAUAUAGAAAUAAAUGAAAACUAAUUUGCUUACAGUAAUGCAUACUAAUGUGCUUUAAAAAAUCAAAGAAGAAAUAUUCUGACACCUUUUGUAAACCAGAUAAUAAAAUGUUCUGUUAUCUCAUUAGAAAUUGUCUUUUAAAAUACAAACAACAUUGGGUUUUCCACAGCUAAAACAUCAUAUAUAGGCAAAUAUGUAUAUCUCUUUCCCUGGAAAAUAAAGGAAUGCAUUAUAUAUGUCUACUGGGUUUCUUCAUAGACUUAUCUAAAUCAACUCUUGUGAUAUAAUGUGAAGGUUCAUGAGGUGUUUGGUGUAGUAAAACCUAUAGUAGUUUUAGGACUUAUCUACCAAGAAGAAAGAAAAUCCUCCAGUGGCAGUGCAGACAAACUGGAUUGAAAGGAUAAAGAAAUACCUCUUGCUUGCCAGCACAAACCCAACAGCAACAAAAGGUCCUUAUCAGUAUGAGGAAUCCAGGAAAGGUAAGAAAACAAAUGCUUUAACUCGAUCAUUCUCUGGUCUCCACAUGUCUCUUACAUAAUGACCUGGAGGCAGCUGCUCAUGACAUUAUUUACAAUGUGUCACUUUUCUUGUUGACAAAAUAUCUGUUGAAAUCGACUUUAAUAAAGAAGAGUUUGCUUUAACUCAAAGUCCUGUCAUAUACAGGAAAGGUGUGGCCAUAUUAGCAGGAUGCUAAUUACAUUGCUCAUGCCUUAAAGAAGGGUGAAUUUGCUGCAUGGAUAGUUUUCCCUUAGAAUUCAGUACAGCAGUUAGGAUGUGCCAUUCCACCUUAAUGCAUUCUAGAAACCCCCUCUGAGAAAUUCCCAGAUCUUGGUGUCUGACGUUACAUUAAGAUAAACCACCCUACUCUGCUUGAACAAUAUUUUGAAAAAAAAAUUAUUGUUUCAGUGUUAACGUUCCUUUAAUUUUUAUUCAUCAAUCCGUGCAAUUAAACAUUCAGAUUAGGUUUUUUUUACAUUAUUCCCGCUGUUUAUUAUUUUUUAUUUUUUUUAAAUUGGAUAUAUUUCUUUAUUACAUUUCAAAUAUUAUUCAUGUUCCUGGUUUCCUGUCCAUGAGCCCCCUAUCUCCUUGUCCUCCCUGAUAAGGGUAUCCAUCCCCUCCAUCCGCCCUCCUUACCACCCCCUCCCUGACAUUCCUCUACACUGGGUGGUGUUUUAGUUCCUGGGAGCUCUGGUGGGUUGGCAUUAUUAUUAUGGAGUUGCAAGCUCCUUCAACUCUUUCCAUCCUUUCUCUAAUUCCUUCAAUGAGGCUCCCUUUCUCAGUUCAGAGGUUUGCUGCUAGCAUUCGCCUCUGUAUUUGACAAGCUCUAGCUGUGUCUCUCAGGAGAGAUCUAUAUCUGGUUCCUGUCAGCACGCACUUCUUAGCUUCAUCAAUCUUAUCUAGUUUUGGUGGCUGUAUAUGUAUGGGCCACAUGUGGGGCAGGCUCUGAAUGGCUGUUCCUGAAGUCUCUGCUCUGAACUUUGCCUCGAUAUCUCCUCCUAUGGAUAUUUUUGUUCCCCCUUUUAAGAAGGAGUUAAGCAUCCACAUUUUGGUCAUCCGUCUUAAGCAUCAUGUGGUCUGGGGAUUGCAUAUUGAGUAAUUCAAGAUUUUUGGCUAAUAUCCACUUAUCAAUGAGUGGAUACCAUGUGUGUUUUUCUGUGAUUGGGUUACCUCACUCAGGAUAUGUUCUAAUUCAAUCCAGUUGCCUAUGAAUUUCAUGAGGUCAUUGUUUUUGAUAGCUAAGUAGUACUCCAUUUCUUUCUCAGUUCUCAGCCUGUUUAUCUUUUGAGUAGAGGAAGGCCACUGAUUUGUUUAAUUUUCUGCCCAGCGAGUUUACUGAAGUUUUUUUUUUUUUUUUAAUCAGGCUUAAUAGGUCUCUCGUAGAACUUUUGGGGUCACAUAAGUAUACUAUCAUAUCAUCUGCAAAUAGUUAUAUUUUGACUUCUUCCUUUCCAAUUUGUAUCCCUUUGACCUCCUUUCAUUGUCUGAUUGCUCUGGCUAGGACUUUGAGUACUAUAUUAAAUAAGUAAGGAGAGAGGGGUAGCCUUAUCUCUAGUCCCUGAUUUUAGUGGGAUUGCUUCAAGUUUCUCUCCAUUUAGUUUAAUGUUAGCUACUGGUUUGCUGUAUAUGGCUUUUACUAUGUUUAAGUAUGGGCCUUGAAUCCCUGAUCUUUCCAGGAUUUUUAUCAUGAAGGAGUGUUGAAUUUUGUCAAAUGCUUUCUCAUCAUCUAAUGAAAUGAUCAUGUGGUUUUUAUCUUUGAGUUUGUUUAUAUAAUGGAUUACAUUGACGGUUUUCUGCAUAUUAAACCAUCCCUGCAUCCCUGGGAUGAAGCCUACUUGAUCAUGAUGGAUGAUUGUUUUGAUGUGUUCUUGGAUUCUGUUUGUAAGAAUUUUAUUGAGUAUUUUUCUGUCAAUGUUCAUAAGAGAAAUUGGUCUGAAGUUCUCUUCCUUUGUUUGGUCAUUGUAUGGUUUAGGUAUAAGAGUAAUUGUGGCUUCCUAGAAGGAAUUUGGUAGUACAUUGUGUGUUUCUACUUUGUGGAAAAGGUUGGACAGUAUUGGUUUGAGGUCUUCUGUGAAGGUCUGAUAGAAUUCUGCACUAAACCCAUCUGGUCCUGGUCGGAAGACUUUUAAUGACUGCUUCUAUUUCUUUAGGAGUUAUGGGAUUGUUUAGAUGAUUUAUCUGUUCCUUGUUUAACUUUGGUUCCUGGUAUUUGUCUAGAAAAUUGUCCAUUUCCUCCAGAUUUUCCAGUUUUGUUGAAUAUAGGCUUUUGCAAUAGGAUCUAAUAAAUUUUUAAUUUCCUCAGAUUCUGUUGUUAUGUCUUCCUUUUCAUUUCUGAUUUUGUUAAUUUGGAUAUACUCUCUGUGCCCUCUGGAUAGUCUGGCUAAGGGUUUAUCUAUCUUGUUGAUUUUCUCAAAGAACCAGCUCCUGGUUUUGUUGAUUCUUUGUAUAGUUCUUUUUUUCUACUUGAUUGAUUUCAGCCCUGAGUUUGAUUAUUUCCUGCUUUCUACUCCUCGUGGGUGUAUUUGUUUCUUUUUGUUCUAGAGCUUUUAGGUGUGCUGUCAAGCUGCUGAUGUGUGCUCUCUCCUGCUUCUUUUUGCAGGCACUCAGAGCUCUGAGUUUUUUACCAGAUAAGCUUUUUAAAAAAUUAUGUUCAACAAUUAUCUUUUUAUUGUAGUUAAGUUUUUCAAAUUCUUGCUGUUUUCAAUAUCUCCUGGUUUCAUCAUCCCUACUGAGAAAUUACGUAUACAAUCUUAUAAUUAAUUGUUUGCUUUGGUCUUCUUUUAUUUUCCUGCUUUAUGAUAAAAUUUUCAUUAGCCUAAAUGUGUUAUUAAUUUUUCUUGUUUCUUAAAUAUUUGUUCAAUAUUAUAUUCACAACUUUAAGUUCAAAGGAUCAGUUUUCUGAACAGAUCUUCAUACACUAUAAAUUCCUUGUUGUAUGACCAUCUCUAAUAAUUUUAUUUUUAAUUUUUAGGUAAUGCCUGAUUAUAAUUUAAAUAAGGACGUUGACAAAAAUUAAUGAACCAUUUGCACAAAAAAUAUUUGAAUCAACAUUUAUUCACUCCUGGAAGAUAUUAAAUAUUUCAACAGAAUAUUCCAAUGGAUGGAACUUUUUCCAGCAUCUGGAUUAUUUUCCAGGUUAGACACAUGUUUGUCCACAGACUUGUCUUCUCUGAAUGAAAUCCAAAAGUUGUUUUUACUCCUAGAACCCUCAAAGCCUCUCUGUUUUUUGUCUAUCUAUUUUGCUCACUGUUGUUGAAUCUAUAUUCUUCAAAUGUGCCUUUACCAAGUCUCCAAAAUCACUGUGAGUAUAUGAUUCUCUGGGUAUGAGGUUGUGUAGUCAUGUCAAAUUAAAAUUUAAUAUUCCACAUACAGUCUGCACAGACAAAUAUAAGAAAUUUUGUAAUAACAUUUGUCUUGGUUAGUGUUGAUAGCUGAAUGCGAUUUCUUAUUCUACUGUGGAUCAAUAGAUCAAGAUUCCUUCAGAGAGGAAAGGCAAGUACCCAAAGGUUUUCUUCUAAUGACUGAAACACGUGGUCAGAAGACACACUAUUAACACUCGUCCUAAUAAUUUUUCAGCUAAAGAGUUGGGAAUGUAAGGAAAGGAAAUGGCUAGACUAUUCAAGAUUCUACUGGCAGAUUAUUUGUGAUGGUUGGUCUCUUUUUGCCUCCUAGAACAUUCAAGAGUACUUCAAGAGUUUUCCUCCCAUCUCUGGUGCAUCAAGUCUCAGCAGGUUUAGGAGCAUCCUCUCCCAUUGAGGCCAGCCAAGGUGGCUCCUACACAGGUGCCAGAGGGCCUCUGAUCAGCCCUCUGAUCAGACGUAUGUAUGAUGUAUGCUCUUUGGUUGGUGGCUCAGUCUCUAGGGUCCAGACCAUGACUAUCUAAUGACAUUAUAAUGAUCAGCAUUCAAAAGAACUUGAGUCCACAGAACUCAAGAAAUUUCACAGCUUUAUCUUCCCUUCCUGGGCUGUUUAUGAAAUAUCUAAACUCAAAUGCACAGGGACAAUUCACCUUAAAGCCCAGGCUCAGCAAGAAACCAGCAGUAGAGAAGUGAGUCCACCACCUUCCUUAAAGUGCCUUUUCUUAGUUCCCACUUCUAUUUGAAAUAAUAUAUUGCAGCUUAUUGUCAUUUUCUUCCUUGGAGGAGGCACAUUGUAGAAAACAAAAGAAAAAACAAUAGAAUAUGCUCCAGAGAUCUCUAAAUUCUGAUGUCAAUGUUUAGCUUGUUUAUAGGGAGAACAUUUCAUUUUUCCAGGCAGGUAGUCACCAUAAACUGGAAUUUCAAUGCACUAUGUGCACAUAAGUAUGUGUAAUCAUUUUUGUCCCAUCAGAAUAAAAGUUUUAAGACCUGGCUCUUCAUGGGUUCCCCUCAUGUGGUUUCAUGGUCAAAAUAGAAAAUUACCUAUGAACUGCAUUUUCACAAAUGAAAGCUACAUAAAAUAUUAUAUGCAUAGAAUUGAAGAUAAUUUGCUGUGAGACUGAAUAGAAAUAGCCUAGGCAUGUAGUCCAGUCUUAAAUCUCAUUUCAAAUCACACAAAUAUAUUUUAUGUCUAUCUUCUAGACCUGCUUCUAGACUUGAAAUGGAUGAAAUAUUUAUGUACUGGAGCUUUGAAAAUUUUUAAAAUAUGUUUUUCAAAUAGAAUGCUUUCAUAAUUUUCCCUUAUUCCCCUUUCUUGAAAACUUCCCACAUAUACUUCUUGAAUGCUUUUAAGUUCCAUAUUUUGGAAAAUUAUUUUCAAAAUUGUUCAUAAACAUAUAUGUAUAUGUAUAUAUAUAUAUAUAUAUAAAACAACACAUAAAUACUUUUCAGUAUGAAUAAUAUUACUCGUGACUUAAGGACUUAUGAUUUUGUAUUAGAUAGCGAGUCUCUCAGUAUGUUCUAACUACUGUUUAUAUUAUAUUUUGUUAUAUGACUUUUGUUUAUUUUUAAUGCACUUCUUUUAAGUAACUUAUUUAAGAUUUCAUUAUGCGCUAAUAUUCUAAGAGAAGUCUUAAAAGAGAAAAAGAAACUUUGAUCUCAGAUUUGAACUAACACAAUGGAAGCAAGGGUCCAGAAUCUGACAAAAUAGUCAUGAAUAAUUUCUCAUGGAGGGGACACACUGCUGAUGAGAGAAAAUUGAUAAUGGUCUUCUAAAAUCUCAUCGAGAAACCUAGAAACCGGAAGAGAUUCACUAUGGUUGAAAACAAUACAAAACUACUUGAUGGAAUAAAGGUGAAGUUGGUUAUGAAGCAAGAUAUAACCAAGAUGGCAGCUGCCUGCACACAACUCAGAAGCUUGUUCAACCUAUGUGUCAGGUGUCUCAUGAUGCAGUGCAAAGUUAGACUGCACCAUCUUGUGAGAUUUCCCACUGAAGAACACUAGAUCAUGUCUCAAGAUAACUAAGAGUAUAGAAUAUAGAGAAGAAUACAUAGUCAUUACAGGAAGACUAACCAAUUACAACAGAGACAUUAUGCAAUUGAAAUUCUGAUUUAAAAAAAACUAUAUAAAUGACACUGUUCCUUGUAAUGAUCUCAUUUUCUACUUAGAUGCAAAGGAAAGAAGAGUUAAGAAAAGAAGGCCUUUCAUAACAUAUUGUUCCACAGGGGCUCUGAGCCCCACCAGGACAAAGUUUUCACAGUUGCUAGAGUUAACAAGACACGAAACCUACUAGGAAAAGACCUGACUUCUAUUUGCCAUGAUGGAAAACUCCCCACAGUAAUUCUGGAAUGUUUUAUGUUACUAUCUGCCUUAUGGACAAGAUCCUGCUUCUUAAAUGAACCCUAAUCUCUUCAAUUCCAUCAGCAUGAAGAGAAACAAUUGUGCAUCAAAUCAUUGGCUAUACAAUAAGGAUAUGCUGUCUCUCAACAAAGAAAAUGGAACCAAAACUGAGGGUAUAUUGGCAAUAUCACUAAACAUAGCAUCAUGUCAAACAAUAAAGAAGUUGGAUUGUGAAAAAGAUGUAAACAUAAAAACAAUCCAUCUGUGCAUAUGGUAGCAUGUAUCUUAAAGGAAUUACUUCAAAUUAUCAAAGGAAAUUUGCUGACAUCUAGACUAUAUGAAGAAUGACUUGGGGUACAUGACCAGGUCAAUGAAGAAGAGAAAGUAGCCACUGUGCAGAGUCCUUAUUUCAAAUACCUCCCACCAGGACCAAAUGUGUAUGGUCUUGUCUAUUGAUAAGACAGAAAACCUACUUGAAAAAGAGCUGACAACAAUUUGUGAUGAUCGAAAUCUGCCCACAGAAAUUCUGGAUAUGCUGUUCUUCAUCCAAGAAAAGGGGCCCCAAAUUCAGGAUAUAUCCAUAAUUUCACACAACAUAGCAUCAUGAAGAAGUUGGAUUGUGAAGAAGAUGUAAACAUAAAAAAAUAAUCCAUCUGUGUAUAUGGUAGCAUGUAUCUUAAAGAACUUGCUUAAACAACCAGACUGUGGGACUAACAAAAGUGAAGCUUCUCCUGCAUUUCUCUGAGGCCCAAUCCCAAAGCAGAUAUCCUGAUCCUCUGGAAUUACUUCAAAUCACUUAAGAAAGUCUGCUGACAUCUCGACUAUAUGAAGAAUGACUUGGAGUACCAGACCAAGUCAAUGAAGAAGAGAAAGUAGCCACUGUGCAGAGUCUUUUAGAAAACUACUGCACUCACAUGUUACUCUUCUAAGACAACGUUUCAAAUUAUUAUAUUAAGUUGAGAGGAAUUCUUCUGUGAACCAGAUGACAGCUUAUGAUUUAUCUGUUGUGCCAAGUAUCCUAUAUCUGCCUAGUUCCCACAAUAAACGAUUAGCAAAUGAUAUUGCCAAAAAGAUUUCUCUUAUAAACUUUCCAAUUGAAAACUCCCUGAAAUUAUUUGAAGAAGACUCAGUUUUAGUUUAUUAUGAGACCUCAUUAUUUCACCCUUAUGGAGUGGACUCUGAUUCCCAGAAUAAUCUUUCUAAUCCAGAAGGCAUGCGUGCUAUAAAAGGAAAAGGGCAUGCAAGAGCUAAGUGAAUUCAACUACAACAAACGAUGACAUACCUUCUUUCAUAGAAUCAGAGAAACCUGAAAAAUACAUUUUUUUAUAAAUCAAUUAAUUACUUGUGAAUCUGAUACCCGCAAAGUCAAUGUAUACAUAGCCCCACCAGCACCAAACAAAAAGCAACUUGUUGGGAAUUAUCAAAUUCUGCCAGCACCAAUAAAGAAAAAAACCCUUCUUAGCAAGUCUCUCAUGGAAAUCUUUCUUCUCCAAUACUGGAUAUAUUAGCUAUCAUUGCUGAAAAGGGACAAAAGUCAUAUAAAAUACUAAGAACACUAUCAGUUGAAUCACACUGGUACACGAGGGAUAAAAUUGAUGCUGAAUAAGAAGAGGUGAAUUGGAGUCAAGAAUCAGUCCUUGUUAUAGUAUCUGCUUUAUAGGGGGAUUUCAUUCUAAAUAUAUAAAGAAACUUGCUUUCUACAGAUUUAUGUAAUUUAUUUGGUGUCUCUGAUCAAGAAAUUUGAUCAAAAGAUUCUGCUAUCCAAAGAUAAUGAUACAGUAAAUUCUUCGGGAACCAUACAAAGAUAGAAGAAAUGCAUUUUUAAAGUUUUCUACCACAGAUGCCACAACAAAACUUCAUCCUACUAAAACACCUUAUUCAUGUGUUAUUAAAGAUUAAAAUUUCUCCCAUGAAGACUUAGACUCUUAACAGUUUAUCUGUUCACAUAACCCCUAUAUUCCAUGGCAUUCUACUUCCAGCAACUCGUUAUUUGGGAAUGACCUUUCCAAAAAGAUUUCUAUUGAAGAAAUUCUAACUGAAAACUAGCUCUAGAUAUUUGGAGAUGACGAUCAUACAUUUUAUAAAGAUAUUCCAAAAAGGUCUGAUGACAUAAAAAUGUCUUCAGGUUCACUAAAUACUGUUGAUAGAGCAUGUGCUAUGAAAGAUGCCAUAAGUGACCCCCCUGAGAAAACCUUCUUUAAUGCUAAUGCUGAAAAAUUAAAGAUUCCAUUUGCUGCCCCUCAGAAGGAAGGUCCUACAGAGAGCAGGGCACAACAAACAGCUUCUAUAUGUUCCGUGUUUAACAGUGGAAUCAAUGGCAGAGGAUGACUGAAGAUGCUUACAGCUCAUUCUACUUCAAAGUUCCUUUCCACCUCCCAUUCAACAAUAGAAGAAUAUAUCAUUACAAGACACUGCAGCUUUUAUAUUUUACAUUAUUGUUACAAAGAGUUGUCACUGAUCAUUUUGACUUUAUGCUAUAUAUUACACAUUCUUUAUUAUUAUAAUGAAUGUUAUUAAACUAUAAUAUUGAUUAAACU